AUUGGUAGUGGAGUUUAUGAAAGCGGAAGGAAAGGAAGCAAAGGCAGCUGUACUGGAGAAAAUAUCUGAAGGGAAUUUGCUGCUGGAAGAAGCUUUUAUCAAGAUCAACAAAGGUAAAUCUUUCUUUGGUGGAGAUAGAAUUGGUUACCUUGACAUUGUUCUUGGUAGUUUACUAGGAUGGGUGAAGGCAAUCGAGAUGAUGGAUGAAAUGAAGAUACUGGAUGAAACCAAGAUGCCUAGUCUAGCAGAAUGGGACAAGAGAUUUUGCUCAGACAAUGUUGUGAAGGAUAUCAUUCCACAGCCUGAGAAACUUGCGGAAAUUCAUCGCAAGUUUCACCAGAUGAAGAAAGCUACCUCAAAUUAAUAAUGUUGCUUAUUUCCGUCUGUACUUUUUUUGGAAAAUGUGUCUCUUCCUAGAUCUUGUUUAAAUGGACGAAAAUAAAAGAAGUUUGUGUUGUUACAGACAAACUCUCCUUGAUAGAGAUUAGUACAUCUUGAUCAAAGAUAAACACUGCAUAUAUAUGCAUUCAUGAAUUAUUGAUGCAACGGAAUGAUUCAAUUACAAAGGGAAAUAUCAUUUGUUGUCUGUCCAUAAUCGAAGCGCUUUAGUGAGGAACUCUGCUUCAUAUUUGACAAUUUAUGUAUUUCUACCAGCUCGGAACAGAUUAAAAUGCAGAGAAUGAAAAUGCGUAAACAGCAUAUUAAGUUGCAGUGGUUACAUUGACAUUCGGACCCUUCUAAAGUUGGAUGCUUUUUGCAUUUGGUUGCCCUUACCGACUGUUAUUCUGCAAUGUUUAAUGUCGGAAUAAAAAAUUGUAAAUUAGUUCAUCUUCUGAAACUUGCAAAUAGAUUAAUAAUACUUAAAACUAUUACCAUGCAAGGUAGAUCAAUUGCAGAUCAACCCAAUCUAUAAAUAAAUAUUAGUCUAUCAAAUCCUAGAAGGAGGUUGAUUAAUUCUUGGUAAUUUUGUUGUUAGAAAGUACAAACAUCAAAGUGUUAAGCAAAGAUAACACUAAAAUACAUAUUUGUUUAUCAUAGGAUUAUGCAAAGAUAACAUUAAAAUGCAUACUUACAAGUAUAUGUGCCUGCGUGAUGCGCGGACAAUAUUAAAAAAUUAUAAUCUUCUUUAUUUGAUCAUAUUGAAUUCCUAUUAUUUUUAGUUCAGAGGUCACAACUUAUCUUUAAUAUAACAAUAUAACCUUUGCACUCAAAUUCAACAUAACUUGUCAUCUCCUUUUUUAAGAUUAUCUAUUUAUUUUAUUAUAUGUAGUUACUUUUAAUUGAGUAAUUUCUAAUGUUUUGUAUUUUAAUAGUAGGAAAACAAAAUAUAAUACAUUGGCAAUAUUCUUAAAACUACAUAAAAAUAUGGAUAGAAGAUAGUUUUCAAAUUUAUACACAGACUGAUAACUAAUAAGUAAAAUUUUAUGUGGUAAGAUUAAGCCUAUUAAAAAGACAUGAUAUCUAUUUUAUGGUUGACAACGUAUUCCAUUACACGAAGUUUGAUUGGUUUAUUUUUAAAAAUCCCCUCAUAAAAAGUGUUUUUUUACUUAUCCAAUGUUCAACUAUCUUAAAUUUUUUUUUAUUCUCAAAAGGGAAAAGGGUCAAAUUUACCCUCUACUUUGAAAAAUUAGCUAAAUAUACCCUUCGUCAUACUUUGUAGUCAAAUUUACCCUUGGUGUCAUACUUUUGGGCCAAAUUUACCCCUCUACUUUAGAAAUUGACUAAAUAUAUCCUUCAUCAUACUUUGAGGUCAAAUUUACCCUUGAUGUUGUCAUACUUUGAAAUCAAAUUUACCCUCGUUGUUAAGAAACUUUUCAUAUGUACACUUUUUAAAUAGAAAAGCUCAAAUGAACGUUAAAUAUCCCAUUUUUUAAAAAUAAAAUACACCUUAAUCUAAACCUUCUGAUCUGACUCAAGCCACAAAAAAAGACACAAAUAAUAAAUAUACCCCCUUCAGUUUUGUUGGCCAAUUUUUCAGCGAUAUUAAGCCACUAGAUAUUUAUCAAGCAUAGCUCAUGAAAAAUUGAUUUGCAUCAGUGCAAACAUAAAGAAAUAUAUUUCUUUCUCAGUUCGUGGAUCUGCAUCAAUGGAAAACUCAUGAAAAAUGGCACUUAACAAACUAAUGCAAUAGAUUAUACCCAUUGAAUAUUUCUCUGGAUGAUUGAGUUAAGAAGUCUCCUUAUGUGCCAAUCGGGCAUCUCUUCAUUCAUAUAUAUUUAUAUGCAAUUUAGAUUUAUACAAAAUUUUUAUCAUGUCAUUUACUCAAAAAAUUUAUUCACUGGUUCUAGAAGUUUGAUACACAUAGAAUUGCAUAUCAAAAUUUGAAAUUUGAACGUAAUCAAAUAAGAGCAAAGUUUGUAAUAGACGUUUUCUCUAGUUUCAUGCUUCUCCGUUAUCCCAUUUCAUUUUACGUUUUGUUCAUUUGUAAACUACCUACCAGUGUUGCACGUUGAAAAAGAAGUAUUUUUGUUAGUUGAAAAAAUUCGACCAACAAAACUAAGGGAGGGGUAUAUUUGUUGGUAUAUUUUUUAUGGGUUAGAUUAGGAUGUGAUUUAUUUUUAAAAAAAUUAGAGAAUUUAACGUUGAUUUGGGCUUUUCUGUUAAAGGAAGGUUGAAAGUAAAAACUUUCUUAACCACGAGGGUAAAUAUGGCCCCAAAGUAUGAAAUCGAGGGUAAAUUUGACCUCAAAAUAUGACGAAAGGUAUAUUUAACCAAUUUUUCAAAGUAGAGAGGUAAAUUUGGCCCCAAAGUAUAACAACGAAGAUAAAUUUGACCCCAAAAUAUGACGAAGGGUAUAUUUAGCUAAUUUUUUAAAGUAGAGAGACAAAUUUGACCCUUUUCCCUUCUCAAAAAGAUACUAUCAGCAAUAUAUAGUGAUGUUAUGUAUGUAUGAAAUGUAUGUAUGAAGGAAACAAAGACUGUCAAUAAACAAAUACAUAACUGUCUCUUUACGAAGAAAGUCUUUUCUAAACAUAUUCAUUCUCCUAACCAUAUAAAGUAUGUUUUUAUAACUUGCUUUUAGUUACAGUUAAUAAAGUACUCCCUCCGUCUCAAAUUACCUGUCCCAAAUUUCCUAAUUUGAUGUCCCAUUUUACUUGUCUUUUUUCAUUAAUCAAGACAAGACAAAUUUUUUCUUUCAUGUUUUUUUCCUUUGCAUUAAUUAUUUUUUCUUCAAAUUAAGAUGUAAAUAUCAUUUAAUAUGGGUACUAUGAUAAAUUAGGCUUGCUAUUAAUUAUUUUUCUUAAUCAAUGUGUUAUCUCAAUUUGAGACGGAUAAUUUGAGACGGAGGGAGUAGCUUGGAAAAAUAAUCAAAUUGACAACCCAAGUUCUUCACCAAUUCCGUAGAUCCUAUUUGACUGCCCAAGUACUUAACUCAGUUCCCCUAAAAUAUCCCGUAACCAUAACUGAUCAUAGACUCAUUGUUUGGUAUAAAACACCAUUUUAUGGAGUCACCAUUUUAGGUGAAAAUAUCAUUCACCUAAAUUAAUAAAGUAAUAAAGAUUUUAUUUGAGAUUAAAAAUUCUAGUGUUGAUGCUCCUUUCUCCAAUAUAAUAUGCUUGUCUUCACAACUAUCCCCUUACAAAAAAGAAAUUCAUUAUUACGAUUUGAUGACAAAAUAGUAAAUAUUAUAUGGAGAAAAGUGUGUAUAUCCUGGUAUAAUAUAUUUUAUGUUGCAUGAGCCAAAUAAUGAUAAUUAUAAGAUUAAAAUGUCGAAAUUACAAGAUUGAUGGCAAAAGAUCAUUAUAAUAUAAGGAAAAACCAGUUGUUGUUCACAUCUAACAGUAUCUAUCGCUAGUUAAGAUGGUCAAGCUACAUUACAAAAUAAUAGUUUCUUGAAAAAAGGCUCAAAUAUGUCACUGAACUAUCAGAAGUUGCUCAUUUAUGCUAUCAGUUAAAAGUUCAGCUUAUUCAUGCCAUCGCCGUUAAAAAUUCAGCUCAUUCAUGCCAUUGUUUUUGAAUGGUGGGUUUUCAAAAGUUGAUUUGCCACGUGGCCUCUUAUUAGAGGUUCACAUCAUUAAAUUGGACCCACUAAAAACUUGAUCCAUUAAAAAAAAUCCACCCACUCCCGAGCUAUUACCUUUAUCCACUUUCAAAUUUUUCUCUCGCACACAAGGAUAUCAUUUUCGUAUAUCAUCUUCUUGCGGUACCAAGUAAUAAGUUGCUUCAUUUCUCUAUCCUAAUGUUGAAAAAAUAAUUACAGGUUUGCAUUUACAAUUAUUUAGGCAGAAGUAAAACUGAAUUGCUGCUUAUUUACAAUUAUUUUUAAGCUAUACAAAAAAAAAUCUCUUCAGUUCUUCAGAAUUGGAUUGCCUUGAGAAGAAUUCAACGACAAAGCCACAUGUCUCUCUAAAAAACAUAUGAUGAAAUGAUAGUUAGAAGUUGGCUAAAGACUAAUGUAUAAUGAAACAUUAUGGUACUAACCUCCUAUCGCGAUGAGCUUCUCAACAUGCGAUACAAUGUGUUUUCCAUAAGUGUAUUUCUUGAGGGAAGUAAGGUAUAUUUUAAUACGCGAAAGAAUUAGUUCACAACUUUGAUCAUCACAUAUCUCAAGAACCUUUUACACUACAUAGUUAUAAGAAUCCUUGAUAACGAAUUAGUCCUCCGUCCUUAUAAUCAUAGAUUUCGGGCAUCGAAGCUCAGACAAGAUGAUAUAAGAAAAUGGUAUUAGGAUUUUUCGGAUAUCUGAUUGAUCCCUGCGUGCGAGAGAAAAAACUAAAAGCGGAUUAAGGUAAUAGGUCGGGCGUGGGUGGUUUCUUUUUAAUGGAUCAAGUUUUUAGUGUGUCCAAUAUAAUAACGUGGACCUCUAAUAAGAGGCCACGUGGCAAAGCUGUUUUUGAAAAUCCAUCAUUAAAAAAUAAUGGCAUGGAUGAGCUGGUUUGGUAACAGAGAUGACAUGAAUGAGCUGAACAUUUAACUGAUUACAAAAAUAAUCCCUUUCUGAUAUCAUAUUUGAGCCCUUCCCCUAUUUUUUGUUUUUUGGAAUCAGUAUAAGGUAAUCUAGUGCUAGUGGCAAAGGGCUAUAGUUGUUGGCUUGAAGACGCAGGUUUGAACCUAACUGUACAUAUGUCAUCUUUUUAACUUGAAUUAUAGGUUCUAUAGGAAAUAACUACCCUAUGUUUAAGGUUAGGUCUGCGUACGCCUACCCUCCACAGACCCUAUUUUGUUGGAUUGUACUGGGUAUUUAUUUAUUUUUUUUAAUCAGCUCGCAUAUGCAUAAUUUGGCUGGUGAAAUUAAGGAGAUUGUUCUUGUAAUUUAAAAAAUUACGCUCUUAAUAGUCUCACUUGAGAAUAUUUUAUUCAAAAGAACAAAAGAAAGUAGGACUAUGAUGAUUCAUUAACGUUGUACUAAUCUCAAACACUAUUUUGCACAUAAAACUUUGAGAAAAUAGGCAAAGGUACAAAGUGUACAAUCACGGGGUUCAGAGACUCAUCCACUUCUUAUUAACAUGUGGCCUUCAAAAAAGAAUGAGUGAAAGAAAAAGAAGAACAACUCUAUAUCUUGAGCAUCCUCCUCCUAAUCGGGUCAUCUCUUCAAUCGAAUUUGCAAGUUUUGUCACUCCUCAUGGAACAUGUGGAAGCUUUAGCCAUUGUCAAUGCAGGAGUCAUGUUGGGUGUAUUUAUGCAUUCUAGCUUUACUAUUCUAGCCUUUUUAGCCUUGUUUUGAGGAUGAUUCUUAUGCUAUGUGUGUUAAUAAUGAUAUAAAUGAGCAAUUAUGUGUUCAAGUACGUGUUUACAAUGUUUAAUGAUGUUUCCACAUGAGUUUUGAUUCAAUUCGACCAUUUAGAGUUCAACCGAGAAAGCUAGUGUGACUAGCUUGAGCUAGGUGUUGUCUAGUCUCUUGUGUUGAGUUCUAAUGUAUUUUAAUGAGUUACUAAGGUUAUUAGUAUGUUUUGAUAUGUGAAACAACUUAUUUAUAAUGUUCAAGGGUCAAUUGGAUCAAUAAAAGAGUGAAAACAAUGAGUUAAAGCUCAAUAUGAAUUUAGCCUAUGCUUAGCUCGUGUUUCUAGUUCAUCGGUGAGGAUGUUGUGUUGUUUUGAGCUCUUAAUUUAUGUGUUUAAUGAUUUAUGAUGCUUGGUUCAUGUAUUAUGAUGAUAUAUUAAGGAUAUAAAAGCUUCAAAUCAAGUGGAAACAACUCAAUAAGGCUCGGAAUGCUCAACAAAAGUAUAUGACGUAAGUUGGAUGCAAGUUGGACCCCUGAAAAGUAUUGGGCGAGUGUGGACUGUAAUGGUGUCCAAUGGAGGAGUUCAAAACAUUACUAGAUUUAUAAGAGGCCCAAGGUUUUGAAAGUAUGACUCGUGUAUCUUAAUUUGGAGUUUCCAGAGGCCCCGCGACACAUUGAAAUCGCGAACAACUACUGGAAUUUGACAGAUUGUUUGACAAUUGUGAAUUUGCAUGUCUCUGCGUCAUGCCGAUGCCCAAAAUUGGGAUAAUUCUACCCAUCUAAAGUAAAAUAGCGUGGAAACCAAAUACAAGUCGGUUUAUGACUUGUAUACUAUAAAUAUAACGUCUCAAACUCCGUUUUGAUCAUCUUGGGACCUCUAGGAAACCCGAGAUCAACUUGAAACAUCAUUGGAGGAUACCACAACUUAUUUUUAGGUUUUGUCACUUUAAUUUAGUUUUUUUUUUAUGAUUUGUAUCAUCAUUCCAAGGGAUUGGAUGAUGAAUAUUUCUAUUAAAGGCUAAAAUCCUCUUUACGGGUUUGAGGACAAGAACAUGAAUACUUUUAAAUAUUCUUUAUUGUAGUUUAAUUUUGGAUUAUCAUAUGGGUUGUUCUUAAUUUUUUGAGCCUACUAUUUUAAUGAUUAGCUACCAUUAGAAUAAAUCUAUAUUUUUAUGUGAAUCCAGGAGGAGAAUCAUAGAAUAGAACGAAGAAAUUAGGGAGCAAGGUUCUUAUUUUCUUAUAAAAUAAGGGAUGACAUCUAGGAUAGGGAUAUACCUAGAAGCUUACUUGGUUCUCUUGCAAGAAGAUAACUUCAUGAAUCUAGAAGAAUUUUUGUAUCUCUGCAGGAGUUAUAGGUACAAUGUUUACUAGAUAGAAUAUUUGAGGUCGUGAGACUAAAAUCGUCACAUAAACCUUGCGAAUCAACAAUCCAAUAACUAAGUAAACUGCGAUAGGAAUAGAGAUUUGUAUGAUUGUUCGAAAUACCUCAACCCUGGGUUUUCUUCCAUUGAUUGUCCCAAGUAUUUUAUUUUUACGUAUUAUUUAUUUUAUUUUUAAUUUGCAAAGUUACAAACUCUCUCCUUGCUUACUUUUUCUCAAUUAGUUAAACUAGAAUUAUAUAGGCCGUGAACACAAGUUCCUGAGAGAUCGAUACUUGGGCUUUCUUGAAGCCACUAUAUUACUUAAUAAGACCACUUACACUUGCGUAUACGCUUGGGCACUGUCAAGUUUUUGGCGCCGUUCCUGGGGACUUGUAGUUAGGCAACUAUCUUAAUUUUAGUUUUUCUAUAUUGAGUUAUUAAUAGUUUUUGUUUUUUUUGUUUCUUUCUAAUUUUUUCUUUAUUCCUAUUUUUCUCACACUCUUCUUGAGAUGUCAAUCUUGGAUAGAUGAUUUUUGAGGGAUGAUGAUUCUUGUCAUUUUUUUGGAGGACCCCACCAUGAGGUUUUUUGUCCAGAUUUUGAUCCAAGCAUUUGGAGGGGACCUGUUUGUUUCCAACCUUUGGAGCAACCCACAAGUUGGUGUGUGGUUUGUUACAGUCUAUAUCACUCUGCAGAUAUGUAUUCUUUUAAUACUGAUUUAGUCAUAUUUGCGAAGACAACUAUGGAGGUUAAGGAUAUACCACCACCACCACAAGAAUCGCAGCCAUUCGACUGUCAUCUUUCUUUUAAGAUUGAAAUUGAGAAGGUGAAUAAAAGUGGGAGUGUUGAGGAUAGUAUAAAUUUUGAAGUAGGAUUUGUUGGUCCACACUUCAAGAACUUUUCUAUAUUAUAUUUAGAUGAUAUCUUGUCUGUAGAAUCAUUUAAAAUAGUGGAAGAGUGUAAAGAUGAGGAACAAGAAUCGUAUAUUCUUGAUUUUACAUCGGAUAAACAAUAUAAAAACACACCUCACCUCAAGGCCGAGUGGUUCAUCAUGAAUUGUCCAUUACUCGGUUCAUUAAUCUCUGUACCACCUCCAUAUAAUCGAGGCAAAAAGAUGGAUGCAAUAUUGGAAGUGAAAUCCAUAUCCUCAAGGUGGAGGAAAAAGUUGAUUGGGUCAUGCCGUGACACUAAAUUAGGCGCUUCUUGGGAGGCAACCCAAGGUAAGUAGGUUUUAUUUUCAGUUUUUAAUUUUUAUUUCACGUAGUUUUUUGUUUUUGGUUGAGUCACAGGUUAACGGGAAGUCUGAGUACCGUAAACUUGAGCUUGAAGCAUGGCAAAGAUGGAGUGUGGGGUUCCAUGGAUCUCCUCUUUAUGUGAAGAUGCUACUAGCUAGGCCUAGAGGCCUCAAGGAGUAUUUCUAUUUCUUACUUUUAAGUUCACUUUGGGGAUAAAGUAGAUUUUUAAGUGUAGGGUGGGGAAAUUACCAAAUUUUGACUCAAUUUAAAAAAAAUUGGUUAGGAAUAAGUGAGAUAUUCUUGUUGGUUCUAUUUUUGAUUACAUGAUGCAAGUGGGUUUGUUGAAAAAAGCAUGUUGAUUGAGUGAAUUACUAUUUUUGAGACUCUUAUGCUCAUGUUUUGUGACUCUAGUAUUUGUUGGCUUAAUUUUGAAUUCAUACUAUUGUUUGGUUGGGAGUCUAUGAUGAUCCUAUUGAGUUGAGCAUGUGCCAUGUGUGUGUGAGAUUUUUAUGUAUUCCCUGUCGCAUGUGAUGUCUAGAACUUGCCCGGUGUGUAUGUAAAGCGAAAUAAAGAAUGUCAGUUUAGGAAAUGAUAUAGGCAUUUCUUUGAUAACAAUAUUUUAUACCUUCUUUUUACCUACCCUUAUGCAUUAUCCUAGUUAACUCCCAUUGAGCCUUUAACUUUUUCUUUGGUAACCUUAUAAGUAGCCUAAUCUCUAUCAAAGCCUAAUCUCUUCUUUGAUAGACCAUAAUUUGAUCCAAAAAGCUUGUAAGUGCUUUAUUGAAAAAAAAAUGAAUUUGAGAAAGGAGUUUGAGAAAUUGAAGAAGAAAAGGGUGAAAUUGAUGCCCCAAGGUAAUAGUUAUUGGUGUAUAAUUGAUUUGUGGUGGAUGGUUGUGAUAUAAUUUAUGCUAAAAAUAUUGCCAUGAUUGUUAAAAAAUGAGAAAAUUGACUCUUGUGGUAGUAAACUAUGUGUCCACCAAGUGUUUGUAAAAAUGCUUAAACGAGAUAGGUAGACAACAGUGGUUUAAUUUGAUUGUUGGAGAUUGGUUUUAAAUGUAUAAUGUAGUGUAUUAAAGUGCUUAGAGAGGUCAGCCACUAUUCUUCGCCAAAAUAGUUCCUACCCGUCCCUUAGCCUACAUUACAACCCGAAAAAGUCCUAAUUGAUCCUAAGCUUUACAUUCGACUAUUAGUGGAACACUACACUAAGGGCAAGCCUAUGGUUCAUUAUGUGUAACUUGUGAAUUCUUUCUAAUAGUGAGCGUAAUUUGAUUCUUGUACCCAUUACAUUAUAAAUUACAUUAUUUUGAGUGAUUGUGGGUAACUCUCUUGUUGUGAGGGGCACAUGUUUGAUAAAUGUAGGUGAUUUGUAUGAUGUCCUUGAUUGAGUAAUAAGCAUGAAUUUACCAACUAGAUGAGUCAAUUCUUGAGGCUAGGUAUUUUUUGGAGUAGUGUUCUUGAGCUUUCAAUUGUGUAAAACAUGCUUAGUGUAGAAACUUGCAUUCAUGCAGUCAUUGUACUGCUAGCUUAAGUGUCUUUCAUGUAGUGGAAGUGUGGAGUCUCUUCAGCUCAUGGUAUUUAUAGUUAAGAGUUGUUCGAGGACGAACAAGGCUUUAAGUGUGGGGUGGUGAUGUUGGGUGUAUUUAUGCAUUCUAACGUUACUAUUCUAGCCUUUUUAGCCUUGUUUUGAGGAUGAUUCUUAUGAUAUGUACGAUAAUAAUGAUAUAAAUGAGCAAUUAUGUGUCCAAUUACAUGUUUACAAUGUUUAAUGGUGUUUCCACAUGAGUUUUGAUUCAAUUCGACCAUUUAGACUUCAACCGAGAAAGCUAGUGUCACUAGCUUGAGCUAGGUGUUGUCUAGUCUAUUGUGUUGAGUUCUAAUGUAUUUUAAUGAGUUAAUAAGGUUUUUAGUAUGUUUUUAUAUGUUAAAAAAAUUAUUUAUAAUGUUCAAGGGUCAAUUGGAUCAAGAAAAGAGUGAAAACAAUGAGUUAAAGCUCAAUAUGAAUUUAGCCUAUGCUUAGCUCGUCUUUCUAGUUCAUCGGUGAGGAUGUUGUGUUGUUUUGAGCUCUUAAUUAAUGUGUUUAAUGAUUUAGGAUGCUUGGUUCAUGUAUUAUGAUGAUAUAUUAAGGAUAUAAAAGCUUCAAAUCAAGUGGAAACAACUCAAUAAGGCUCGGAAUGCUCAACAAAAGUAUAUGACGCAAGUUGGAUACAAGUUGGACCCCUGAAAAGUAUUGGGCGAGUGUGGACUGUAAUGGUGUCCAAUGGAGGAGUUAAAAACAUUACUAGAUUCAUAAGAGGCCCAAGGUUUUGAAAGUAUGACUCGUGUAUCCUAAUUUGGAGUUUCCAGAGGCCCCGCGACACGUUGAAAUCGCGAACAGCUACUGGAAUUUGACAGAUUGUUUGACAAUUGUGAAUUUGCAUGUCUCUGCGUCAUGCCGAUGCCCAAAAUUGGGAUAAUUCUACCCAUCUAAAGUAAAAUAGCGUGGAAACCAAAUACAAGUCGGUUUAUGACUUGUAUACUAUAAAUAUAACGUCUCAAACUCCGUUUUGAUCAUCCUGGGACCGCUAGGAAACCCGAGAUCAACUUGGAACAUCAUUGGAGGAUACCACAACUUAUUUUUAGGUUUUGUCACUUUAAUUUAGUUUUUUUUUAUGAUUUGUAUCAUCAUUCCAAGGGAUUGGAUGAUGAAUAUUUCCAUUAAAGGCUAAAACCCUUUUUCCGUGGUUGAGGACAAGAACAUGAAUACUUUUAAAUAUUCUUUAUUGUAGUUUAAUUUUGGAUUAUUAUAUGGGUUGUUCUUAAUUUCUUGAGCCUACUAUUUUAAUGAUUAGCUACCAUUAGAAUAAAUCUAUAUUUUUAUGUGAAUCCGGGAGGAGAAUCAUAGAAUAGAACGAAGAAAUUAGGGAGCAAGGUUCUUAUUUUCUUAUAAAAUAAGGGAUGACAUCUAGGAUAGGGAUAUACCUAGAAGCCUUGCUUGUUUCACUUGCAAGAAGACAACUUCAUGAAUCUAGAAGAAUUUUUGUAUCUCUGCAGGAGUUAUAGGUACAAUGUCGUCACAUAAACCUUGCGAAUCAACAAUCCAAUACCCAAGUAAACUGUGAUAGGAAUUGAGAUUUGUAUGAUUGUUCGAAAUGCCUCAACCCUGGGUUUUCUUCCAUUGAUUAUCCCAAGUAUUUUAUUUUUACGCAUUAUUUAUUUUAUUUUUAAUUUGCAAAAGUACAAACUCUCUCCUUGUUUACUUUUUCUCAAUUAGUUAAACUAGAAUUAGAUAGGCGACAAACGCAAGUCCCUGAGAGAUCGAUACUUGGGCUUCCUUGAAGCCACUAUGUUACUUGAUAAGACCACGUACACUUGCGUGUGUGCUUGGGCACUGUCAAGGAGCAACGAUGCUAUUUUAAUUCUAAAGAAGGUUAGAUCCAGUUUAUUUUAUAAAACAUGAAACUGGUUGAUCCAGUUAGAACUCUCAUACCAAAUUUCAAUUCAACCAUCUUUGAAAUAUUGCAUCGGAUCAAAAAUCUGCAUUCUUGGAGAUAUAAUAAAUGUAUUUGGUGACCCAUGUAUAGGAGUCACAAAAAGUUAAUUUGUAGAAUCUUCCCGUACAUGAUACCUCAUAGAACUAUUAGACCGAGAAGGCACAUUCCUAAGUGUAGAAGUUAUAGAUGGUUAGAUAAACUAUUACUAAGUUACAAAUCAGAAAGAUAUUGCUUAGCAACUUAUAUGUCUCCUAGAGUAAGAACACUUUGGCUUCCCUCAACAAUUUAAUGAGAUUAUAAUAAAAAAUGGCUCCAACACUUUUGUCCUUGCUCACCGAAAACUUAUGCAUGAUUUUUGCCCUCUUUAUUCACAUAUCCAUAUACAAUUAUAUUUAUAGCAAUAUUUUAGUUAACAAACAAUACAAGGACUGUUAACAAAUAAUUCACUACUAUUCUUAUACACUACCAAAACACCUCUUAUUGGUUAAUAUCUUUGUAUCAUCAAGCAGAAGCAAUACUUGGGGCGUCUGUUGAACCUGUAAUUUACUUGGAGCUUAAUGGAGUGAUUGUGGCUUAUAUUUUUAUUCCCUACCCAUAAUUUGCAUCAUCACCCCUCUCUUGACUGGACUAACAUAGCCUAGCUGGUAAGUCUUGCCAAAAAUUCCUUUGACAUCUUUAGAUAGAUUGAAAAACUUAAAUUGUGUCUCUAGAUAAGCAAAAGCAAUAUAUCCUGGUAAUUGAUAAUUGUGAACCUUUGUUUUCUCUCACCAAUGGGGAAUACAUUUACAUUCAAUUGCAAUAGUCUAGAAACUGUGGCCCUCAUGCUGUUAAGAUCAUCUGUCCUUUUGACCACCACUAAUCUCUCAGCAGUGUUAAGACUCUAUUCUGCAUCUCUAUCUGUCGGAACAUCAACUGUCUUGUCUCACUAUUCCACUGUACAGUUAGAGCAUCAACAUUUACGUCUAAGUUUAACACUUUCUUUGCUCCUACAACUAAUGUAUGGGUGUCAAACAUGACUGAAAAUAUUUGAACCCAUGAAAAGUCACACUUCUUUCCCCUGUAGUUGUGUACCAAUUAGAUAUGCAUUAAUGUGGUGGUUUUCAUAUGAGAGAAUAGGAAUAUCAGUUUCCUUUACUCCAUGGAAGUAGAACAUCAUGUCGUCAUAGCCCAUAAAUCUGAGAUCGUAGCAUCAAGCACCAUAACCAUCAUACCUAUCUUGUAGCCUUUGAACUUCCUAUUAUUUUCCAAUACCUGAUUCAUAUGCAAUAGAAAAUUUCUUAAAUUGGCAUCUUUCCUUGUAUCUUUAGGCUUUUGUUAGAGAACACAUGUAUGAUAUCUCAAAAAUAGGGUUUCUAUAGUAUUGCCUUCACAUAUACCUGUGUAGUGACCUUUCCUAAUUAUUGUGUCCCCAUAUUUUGACUUCAAUAUGCAACCUAUUGUGUCAUCAGAGGUUUUAACUAUUUUCUGCAAAAUUAUAUAUGGUUUAAAAAUUAAGUUAGAAUUUCUACCUAAGCCAAUAAUCAUGAGAUAUAUGAUCAAAUUUCAAAAGAAUAGUAAAUCAAACAAACCAAAAGACAUAUGCGAGCCCCCAAUUUCGAGAAUAUGAAUGAAACAGAAAUUCAAGGAUGAAAUAUAAAAAUAAAUUCCAUAUCUCUUACUCAGGUAGAUAAGUUUUCCACUGGAUUCUUCUUUAAUCCAGAGGAAAGUGAAAGAAAAGUAAAUCACAUUGAUAUACAGAUAGAGAGGAUUGAAGGUUGAAUUUAAUACACAUUGAUACAGGCAUACAUAUUGGGUACAUAAAAUUCAAGGAAUUUGCAUAAAUUGCAAUGAAAAUUGGAUUGUGAAAAAGUACAAACAUAAUAAUGGACAAUUUUACCCAAUCAACUAAAGGCAUCUUUAAGCUGAUAGAUCUAUAAUAUCCCAUGAUAAAUCUACAUGACUUUUUCUAUUUCUUUCAUCACCAAAAUUCAGAAUUGAUCUUAUCAUAGAUAGAGAAUUCAUAUUGAAACCCAAUAUAACCAUCAAUUUUUAGCUUUAAAUAUAAGACUAAAAAAUACACAUACUCAAAUCAACAACAAAUGAACACUACAGAUAAAAUGUUUAAAGCAAGUACGGUAACAAUAGAUGAGAAAGAAAUGAACCUUUUACUCAAAAUUUGUAAUUUUUUAUGGUCAAGGGACUGAAUGCAUCGACUGGUACAUUGAAAAUGUACUAAACCACUCAAAUAGAAUCUUAACUCUUCAACCAAAACACGUUUCCAACAUUUAAGGAUAUGUUGUUGCAACUAGAUAAUCGGUGCAUACAACAUUGCUAUAGAGAAGGAAAUAAAGUAGUUGAUUGCCUAGAAAAUUGGGGUCUGCAAUAUGUGUUAGGGCAUGAGAAGUUUUGAUGAUAGACAUGUGAAUGAAAUAUGUUGUGCAAGUUGUUCCAUAUAAGUGAAACUACUUCUAUCAGAUGAAGUGCAUGCUGAAAUUAUUACAGGACUGUCAAAGUAUUAGGACAAGAAUGGAAAAGCAAGGGAUGUUCAGAUUUGUUUCAAAGUCUAUAAGAAGAUAAUUGUAGCAUUCAGAAGUUGAGUUGAUUAGGGAGUCUAAAAGGUUAAAGGAUAAAGCAAAAGAAUCCUACUCAAUCUAGAAGAGAGAUAGGCGGCUACAACAAGAAGUGAAGUUACUUGAUAGAGUCCCAUAGAAGAUAGAAGAAGAGAUAAAAAAGAAAUGCAUCAGAAGGUGUACAUAUAUAUGACAAGCUGCAUUCAAGUAACUUACUCAAUGCACUAAAAAGAUAAUCAACAAUCAGCAUAUCAGUUCACAUACUUGAAGAUGAACCUGGUCUCUUACUUAGAAAGUCAUAGACUAUGUGUAGUGGUAGGUUCUUUGAGUUGUAAUGAUUCAUUGUUCUAGUCUCAGUGAUCUAUAAACUGAGUUAGGAGUUGUGUCUUCAAGUUGGAGAACUCGAAGAUUUGGGAACACCUAUCUUAGAAAGAUUUGUGUUUUAUAGUGAUAGGAGUUAGAAGUUUUAAUUCCUAGUUUACAAGAAGUCUUGUAAUUUUGUUGAUUGUUGAGGCUCAAGUAUUAUAGUGAAGUUGGGGUUAAAUCCUAUAGGGGUACAGGUCGUGGUUUCUUACACCUUUCUUGAGUCGGGUGUUUUCCUCAUAAAAACACUGUGUUUGAUAUUUACUUCUGUGAACCACGUUUACUUGUUUCACAGAUAGGAAACUAGUAGGGCUCAUACUCUAACAAAUGGUAUUAAAGAGAGGUUGUCUUAAAUAAGGCUAGCACCUAAGAAAAAAUCAAUAUGAUGAAUUUUGCACCUCCUACUGGUCACAGUGAUGGUCAAUCAACUACUAGACCUCCACUUUUUUAUGGCUCUUACUUUAUCUAGUGGAAAGCAAGGAUAGAGAUGUUCAUUCAAAGUGAAGACUAUGAAUUAUGAGACAGGAUUACUGAUGGUCCCACUAUUCCAAUGAAGAUGGUUGAUGGUGAACAAGUCAAGAAAGUAAGGAGUAAAUUUACUCCUGAUGACUUGUUGGCUUUAAAGAAAAAUUCAAAGGCCAAGAACAUCUUGGUUUGUGGACUAGGACCUGUUGAAUACAAUAGGGUAUCCACCGGUACUACUGCUAAGCAACUUUGGGAUGCACUGGUAAAUGGUCAUGAAUGCAGUUCUCAAGUAAGAAAAUUCAGGAUUGCUCUCCCCUGUUUACUGAGUAUGAGGCAUUCAAAAUGAAGGAAAAUGAAACCCUGCAUUAGAUAAUGACAAGGCUCACAACCUUAACAAAUAAGUUUACUUCCUUAGGAAAAGUCAUCUCUAAGGAAAAACAAGUUGAAAAGGUACUGAGGGUGUUACCUAAAUCAAAAUGGAAUGUUAAGGUGACUGCAAUCAGGGAGGCAAAUAAGGAUCUUGAAGGCAUGACCCUGGAUGAAUUAGUAGGUAACUUAAGGACUUAUGAAAUAGAAGUUGAUGGAGUCAUAGAACAAGCAGCCCCUGAGAAAAUCUUAGCAUAAAAAGCUUCUGAUAGUGAUGAGGAGUUUAAAAUUGAUAAGGAGCAAGUUGCCUUCAUAACCAACAACUUCAGCAAAUUCUUUAAGAAGAAGAAGGGAACAGGUACUAAGAAAUGUUCAAAUGACAAUCCAAAUGGGUGCUACAAAUAUGACAAAACUGAUUAUUAGAUCAUACACUGUCCAAAUUAGGAAAUAGAAUGGAAGAAAGAAACGGCUGAAAAGGAACCGAAGGCAAAAAUAAAGGAGGAGCAUAUAAUGAUAGCAGCUCGGGGAUCUAAUUCAGAUGAAGAUAAAGUUGAUGAAAAUACAUUCAUGGCUUUUAGAGAUUCAGAAUUAGAUGAAAAAGAUGAGGGCUCUAAGGUAAGUAUACUUGAACUCAAAGAAAAAAUGCAAUUAUUCUCAAAACCAAAACUUAUUUCCUUGAUGAGUGCAUUGAUUGAUGAUUUCCAAGAGUUAACCUCUGAUAGGGAUGAAUCGUUCAACAUCUAGCAAGUCUCAAAUUUGAUCUCAUUGAUCUAAAGACUUGCUUAGAUACAGUUGACAAGGAAAAUUUCACUCUCAAGAAAUAAGUUUCAGAACUUGAGAUUUCAAACAACAAUCUUAAGUCUAAAGUUCUCAAAUUAACUCUCACUAAAAAUGGGAAAAAGGCCAUGAGUAAAGAACAAGAAAAUGUUGAACUUGAGAUAGCUAAAUACAAACAAGAAUACCAUAAUUUAACUGAAAAAAUGAAUAAGUUGAUUUAGGAAGUUUCUGAAUUAAAACUGGAUCUUGAAAGGGAAACUGGGUGGACAAAUUCCUCAAGAAUUAUUCACAAAUUAAGUGAGAGAAAUUUCAAUGAAAAGGCAGGUUUAGGAUUCCACAAAAGCUUUGAUGAUCCUAAAGAUUUAUGUUACAUCUGUGGAAACCUUGGACAUCCCACCACUAAAUGUCCAGUGGUUUGAAAAAGCAGGUCAAACAGUCAAAACCUAGCUAGCAGAUCUUUUCAGACCAAAAGGAACAACACCAGUUCUGGUCAGAGAAAUAGGUCGCACUACUUGUUGCCUGCAUGGACAAAAAGAAAUUUAAUUCAUCCUUUCACUCAUAAAAUAGGACCCAAUCUUGUCUGGGUUCCUACGUCUAACCAUUGAUUUCUUUUGCAGGAGAAAGUGAAAGGAAGCAAAAGGUACUAGUAUUUAGACAGUGCUUGCUCAAGACAUAUGACUGGUGAUAAGAAAAAGCUCCUUUACUCUCCAAAAUAAAUAGAGGAGUUUCUUUUGGUAAUGGAAAAUAGGGAAUCAUAACUGGAGUUGGAAAGAUUGGCUCAUCUGAGUCAAAAGCAUUACAAGAUGUCUAUCUUGUAUAAGGGUUAAAGCGUAAUCUGCUAAGCAUCUCACAACUGUGUAACAAAGGUAAUAAAGUUAUUUUUACUACUGCAGAAGUCAAAGUCAAAAGGAUAGACACCAAAAAGAUUGUGCUCACUGCAAGGAGAUACAAAAAUGUAUACAAGCUGACAUCAUGGCACUACCAGAACUUGAGUUGACUUAUCUGAGUGCUGUAGAAUAAUUCCCUUCUUUGGCAAAGAAGACUUGGUCAUGCAAGUCUGAAACAACUAAACAUACUUUCAUUGAAAGACAUGGUAUUGUGAUUAUCCAAGACCAUGUUAAAGAAAGAAAAGCUAUGUAGUGCAUGUGUAAGGGGAAAGAAGGUAAGAUCUUCUUUUAAGUCAAAGAACCAUGUUAGCACUACCAAGUGCCUUAACCUGGAUCAUAUAGACUUAUGUGGACCCAUGAGACUUUAAAAUAGAGGUGGAAAAAGAUAUCUUUUUGUAGUUGUUGAUGACUAUUCCAGAUUCAUAUAGACUUUGUUUCUAGCCUCUAAAGAAGAUGCCUUUGAUGUCUUUGAAAUCUUCAUUAAGAAAAUUAAAAAUAAACUAGGCAUUUCAUUAGUUUCCAUAAGGUCUGACAAUGGUUCAGAAUUUGUCAAUGUAAAAUUCUUGAAAUACUAUUCAGCAAAUUGUAUAGAUCACAACUUCUUAGCUCCUAGAACACCACAACAAAAUGGAGUGGUGGAAAGGAAAAGUAGAACCUUGGAAGAAAUGGCUAGAACAAUGAUGGUUGCAGCAAAUGUUGCUAAGAACCUUUGGGCUGAGGCAAUAAGUACUGCAGCAUAUAUCAUAAAUAGAUACAUGAUCAUACCUAUGUUAGAGAAGACUCCCUAUGAAUUACUAAAAGGAAGAAAGCCUAACAUCUCUUACUUUAGAACCUUUGGAUGUAAAUAUUUCAUACAUAAUAAUGGAAAGGAUAAUCUAGGAAAAUUUGAUGCCAAAAGUGAUGAGAGAAACUUCUUAGGUUAUUCACUUCAUAGUAAAUCCCAUAGGAUUUUAAACAAUAGAACUAACUAUGUUGAAGAAAGCAUGCGUGUAAUUUUUAAUGAAUCCUAUGUUAAGACUAACCUGCAGGAAGAAAAUGAUAGUGAGGAACAGGUUACACAACCUGAUUCACUGACUGGAGCUACCAAACUUAGAGGCACCUCAACAGAGGGAACUGAAGCUAAAGACAUAGUGAUAAGGGGAACUGAGCCACCAACUACCCCAGAUAAGAAUGUCAUUAAUGAUCCUAGUAGCUCACUAGGCUUGAUUCCAAAGGGAUACAAGUAUCAAGGUUCACAUCCUAUAGAAAAUGUUCUUACUAAGCUCACCUCUGGGAUCACUACAAGAUCUGGACUGAGAAGUAUGUGUGUCUUCAAGGCAUUUCUGUCAGAAAUAAAUCCAAAGAAGAUAACUGAAGCAUUGCUUGAUUCUGAUUGGAUCAUAGCCAUGCAGGAAGAGCUGAAUCAAUUUGAAAGAAGCAAAGUAUGGCAUUUAGUUCCUCUUCCAAAAGAUAGAUCAGAAUUGGAACUAAGUAGGUAUACAGGAAUAAAGUUGAUAAGCAUGGAACAGUCACCAGAAACAAAGCAAAGUUGGUGGUCCAAGGAUACAACAAGGAGGAUGGAAUUGACUUUGAUGAGACUUUUGCUCCUAUAGCAAGAUUUGAAGCUAUAAGAUUACUUGUUGCUUUUACUGCCUACAAGGAGUUUAUACUUUACCAAAUGGAUGUGAAGAGUACAUUUCUAAAUGACAUUCUCAAAGAAAAGGUGUAUGUCAAGAAACCUCUAGGAUUUGAAAGCAGGGAGUUUCUUGAUCAUGUGUAUAAACUGGAUAAAGCCUUGUAUGGGUUGAAACAAGCACCUAGAUCUUGGUAUGAGAGGUUGUUAAAGUUUCUACUGGAGAAUGGCCAUUCCAAAGGUAAAAUUGACAAUAACCUUUUCUUAAAAACUAAUAGAAAGGAUUUGUUAGUUGUGCAGGUAUAUGUGGAUGACAUUAUUUUUGGAUCAACCAACAUGAAUAUGACUCAUGAGUUUGCCAAACUCAUAAGUUGUGAAUUUGAGAUGAGCAUGAUGGAAGAGCUGAAUUACUUUUGGGAUUGCAAAUUAAACAGUCAGCAUCAGGGACAAUGAUACACCAACAGAAGUAUGUCAAAGAGCUUCUCAAAAGAUUCUCCAUGGAAAAAGCUAAAGAAAUCAGCACUCCUAUUGCCACUGCCACAAAGCUUGAUCUAGAUGAAUCAGGUCCUGAUGCGAAGCAAACAAUGCAUAGAGAUAUGAUAGGGUCACUAUUGUACCUCACUGGAAGCAGGCCUGAUAUUGUGUUUAGUGUAGGGCUAUGUGAUAGGUUUCAAGCUAAGCCCAAGGAAUCACAUCUAAAAUCAGUAAAAAGAAUCUUUAGAUACCUAAAGGGAACCAGUGAUCUUGGAUUAUGGUAUCCCAAAGGUAGAAACCUUGAUUUGGAAGAAUAUUCUGAUGAUGAUUAUACAGGAUACAUGGUGGACAGGAAAAGCACUACAGGUAUGGAACACUUCUUGGGAUCAUGUUUGAUUACCUGGUCCAUAAAGAAGCAAAAUUUAGUUGUCUUAUCCACUACUGAGGCUGAAUAUAUGGCUACUGGGUUAUGUUGUGCGCAGUUAUUGUGGAUCAAACAACAACUUUUGGAAUUUGGGAUAGAUGUAGGUUGUGUUCCAAUUUUUUGUGAAAACACAAGUGCUAUAAACAUUGCCAAAAUCUUGUCCAACAUAAGAGAACUAAUCAUAUUGAUAUUAACCAAAACUUUCUUAGAGACAAUAUUGAAAAAGGCCAUAAAUCAAUUAUGUUUUGUUUGACUGAAGAAUAAAUUGCUGACAUAUUUACUAAGGCUUUAAGUAGAGAACACUUUGAAUAAAAUAUAUUAGCCUUGGGGGUGAUUAAAAUUGUAUAAAUCUCCCCCAAUGAUUGACUAGAAUAAUUAUACCUUAGUGAUUGUUGAUUAAUUCAAUCUUACAUAUUUAAUUAUGUAUCUUAAUUCCAAGAUUUUAGAGUAAAUUAACUCAUCUAUGUGUUAGGUUUUGCAGAUAGACUGGACCAUCAAGGCAAGGUUGUUUAUUGACUAAUCAGAACUCAGGUAUGAUUAUUAUUUUCCCAUAGUAGCAUUAAGAGAAAUAGGUUAUCUAUAUGGUUCCUUUCUGUUAUGAUUAAAAACACCAAAAACCCAAAAGUUUUUCUUCUUCAAAAGGCUGAAAGAUCUUUCCCAUCAGCACAUAACCCCUACCUCAUUACGGUUCUUCCAAAUACAGUCCCCUCACAUUUUAUCUUCCUUCUUUUCCUUCUUAAAUUGCCUCUUGUCUUUCUUCUAUAUCCACUUCUUCUUCAACCUUUGCCAAUCAAAAUAAAUUAUGGUGUAUUCCUCAUCAUCUUAUUCCUUAGAAUCUUCUACCAGUCCUUCAACCGCUAUUAUUCUUCACCCAAACAUCACCUUACCUUCAGUAAUAUCCCGUAUAUUUCUACGCUAGAAAAUGAACCAUUGUUCCUACACAAGAAACCUCUUAUCCUGUGAUUCAUGUUUGAGUACAUGAACUAUGAUGUGUAUCCUAGUGAUAAUAGAGCUUAUGAUGUGUUAAGCAUGUUCAGAAGAGUCAUUUAGAGUAAGCCAAGCUAAGAACUUGUGAAUCCACCAAGUUUUUGUGUGUGAUUUCACAUAGGUCAUCUUUGAACAAUAAUAACUUGGUUUAUAGGUGGUAUUUUGGAAGAUUCAUACCUCCAAAUUGUAUAUAAUUCAAUAAGCUUUCCAUCGAUACCAAACUCGCCUAAAACGGACACCCGGUGAAAAAGUUAUGGCGAUUUAAAGUUUCAACAAUAUCAUUUCAGUCAGUGGCACGUUGCAACGUAAGCCAAAAUGACGUUUGUCAAUUUCCAAUGUCUCUCCGCAAUUCUAGCACAUUACGGUGAGUUUCCAGGUCACAAACAGGUGGCAACGCAAUGUCUCCGCAUCACGUCGGUACCCCAAAUCGGGUAAUUUUCACAAAAAUUUAAAUGACGCAUCUAGAGGAGUAUUAGCGAUAAACAUGGAAUUUAGCCCAAUCCAACCAUACUAUACUCUCUUUUCUCAAAAUUCUCUCAAUAACCUCAUAGGGUUUUCAUAGGAGCUUUAAGAUUCAAAGGAUUUCACCAUUAAUUUUCAUGGAUCUUCUAUCCGAGGUAUGCAUAGUGUUCAUCCACGGAUUCCUUUCAUCCGUGGAGUUCAAGAAUUAAUCUUUAAAUAAUAAAUCAUGAAUCUUUUGUGGUGAUAUGAUUGUAUUCAUGUUGGUAGUUGUGGUUAUGCUAUAGAGUAGUGAUUUGAUGAAUUUUCAUGAAGGUUUUGAUAAUGUAGUUGGAACUCAUGAAUUUGGGUGGUUUAAUGUGAUGUAAAUUGAUGAACACACCUAUUCUUUAAAGAGUGCAUGCAAGGUGUUUUAUAAAAUACUUAGAAUGCUAGGAAUUUCAUGUUUACAUGGUCCCAUAUUAUCUACAUGACAAGGCCAUGUUAACUAUACAAUUCAAUAUGAGUUCCAUGCCAUUAUUUUAUUGCUACUAUUGUGGUAUGAAGAAUUUAUGAUAAUUGAGUGAUAUAAUAUGUACAUGAUUAUAUAUUCCAUGCACUCCUUACUAUGCACAAGAUGUUGAAAACUACAUGUAGUAUAUUAUCCCCUACUUAUGAUAUUAUGGAUUGUGGACUCCAAUCUUGUGAUCAAGUUAUGUCAUGUGUGUCAAUUUUCUUAUAUCGAGUUCUGAGGGUAUUCGUACCCAAAAAUUAUAGUUGUGUGCCUAGAGCCAUUUCAUGUUGUCACAAUAAUCUCACUCAAGCCAUAAUCUAUAGAACUCAGUCAGUCAUGUGACUCAGGAAACCUCAGAAAUCUCAUGAUCUCAGUAAAUUCUCAAAUAGUAGUACUAUUCUGUCAAUCAAUGAAAGUCAGUCACUCAGUCCAUGCACAGUCAGUUAAAUUAUGAUCAGUCCCUUUAGAUAUGAGUAGGUGUUAGCACCGAGUGAACCCAAGGAUGGGAACUCACCUGUUAUAUGAGGGUGUGAUUCUUAGCAGUCAUCCUUGCAUUCUUGAACUAUAUAGCCAGCAUAGGUUAAGACAUCAUCGCUGGCUAUAAAAGGGUGGAUGAGGUGGCUUAACCUGUUAUAUGAGGGUUUCCACCGUUGUCACUAGAGUUACCUGUUAUAUGAGGGUUGCUCAUACAUUAUCCUUACCAGUGGCACGGUAUUGACACCCUUUCAGUAAGGGCAGAUAUUAGACCCCAUCUUAGCCAUAAUAGCACAUAUGGGGCAUGUCAGUUAAAUAACUACCUCCCACAGUUUCAAACUCAGUCUUAGUAAAAGUACUCAGAUAGUUCUUCAGAUAUCAGUAUACUAGGACUGUCAGAUACAGUCAAAUUCAGUUAUAGUAUGGAACUCAAAUAGUUCCACUAGAUUCAAGACUGCUAAACAGAGUCGCCCAUAUUAUCAGAACUACAGCUUCAGUCAUGUCAGUUAUCAGCAAACCAUGUAUUAGAGUACAGAUCUAGAUAUCACGUACUCACAAUCUCAGUUACUAUGUAUAUAUGUUUGUAUUUCUACAUUUAUAUCAGUUAGUCAGUUAGCUUUGUUCAUGCAUGUAAACCCUUUGCAUUUAGCCUACCUUAUUCGUAUACUCAGUACUACAGUUGUACUGAUGCAUUUGUGCUAUGGUUCUUUCUUUUCAUGUGACACUAUAGGUUCAGCGACACGAGUUUCAGACCAAUAGUAGCAGUUGCGAUCCAGUAUACAUAGUUGUAGUGAGUCCUCUUCAUUCGAGGACUAUAUGAUCUGAUUUAUUUAUUAUUUUAGUUAGUUUUUUUUGUUUAUGGAGUUAGUUGGAGACAUGCUCCUUCAACUCCUUAUUAAUACGGUACUUAGAGGCUUUCAGAUUUAGUUCAGAUUUAUCUCAGACUUCAGUUGUUUUGGGUAUUUUUCACCCACACGGAUGUUAUAUUUUGAUAGAUCCUUUAUUUAGUUGAACCUUAUGGACUACAUGUUCAUUUUUUCUGCAUUAUUACAUGUAUAUUAUGUAGUGUACAGGUACAGAUAUCAGUCAUGGGUUUGCUUGUGGUCCUUACCAGUGGCGUGGUAUUAACACCCUUCCAGUCAGGGCAGAGAUUGGACCCCAUCUUAGCCAUAAUGGCACAUAUGGGGUAUGUCGGUUAAAUAACUACCUCUCAUAGUUUCAGACUCAAUCUCAGUAAAAUAAUUCAGAUAGUUCUUCAAAUAUUAGUAUACCAGGACUGUCAGAUACAGUUAAAUUCAGUUAUAGUACGAAACUCAGAUAGUUUCACCUGAUUCAAGACUAUCAGACACAGUCGCCUAUGUUAUCAGAACUACAAUUUCAGUCAUGUCAGUUAUCAGUAAACCAUGUAUUAGCAUACAAAUCUAGAUAUCACGUACUCACGAUCUCAGUUACUAUGUAUGUAUGUUUGUACUAUUACGUUCAUACCAGUUAGUCAGUUAGCAUUGUUCAUGCAUGUAAACCCUUUGUAUUUAGCCUACCUCACUCAUAUACUCAGUACUCCAGUUAUACUGACGUAUUUAUUCUAUGGUGCUUUCUUUUUAUGUUACACCAUAGGUUCACCGACACGAGUUCCAGACCAACAGUAGUAGUCACAAUCCAGUAUACAGACAGUGAGUCCUGUUCAUUCAAGGACUAUAUGAUUUGAUUCAUUUAUUAUUUCAGUUAGUCUUUUUUUGUUUAUGGAGUUAGUUGGAGACAUGUACCUUCAACUCAUUAUUCAGACAGUACUUAGAGGCUUUCAGAUUUAGUUCAGAUUUAUUUUAGACUUCAGUUGUUUUGGGUAAUUAUUACCUACAAGGAUGUUAUGUUUUGAUAGAUCCUUUAUUCAGUUGAACCUUAUGGCCUACAUGUUCAUGUUUUCUGUAUUAUUACAUGUAUAUUAUGCAGUAUACAGGUACAGAUAUCAGUCAUGGGUUAGGUUGUGGUCUUUUGGGGUCAUAAGCACUGUGUAGCAUUCCGGUUUAGAAAAUUAGGGUAUUACAAACUUGGUAUCAGAGCCUAACGUUCAAUAGAGUCCUAGGAAGUCUAAAAUCCGCAUCUAGUAGAGUCUUGUACAUGUGUGUUUUGUGCACCACACUUAUGUGCAGAAGGCUAUGAGAUGUUUUAGGAAUAAUUUCCCUUCUUUCAUGUCUCAGAUCAUGCUAUAGCAAGGUUCUCUAAGGAACCCAUCCAGAUUCACAUCAUGCUUCCCUCAUGUCAACUUUACCUUACUUCCAAGGUAACAGAAAUAGUGAAGCUCAAGUCCUAAAGAUAGGGCUUUCUCAGAUAGUAUCCCUCAGUUCCCUUAUACUCCUAAGUUAUACGGAUCUUAUUCAUGAUCAUGAGAACUUGUUCUCGAACCUAGAUUUAGAUAUGCCAUCUGAUCCCUUCUCUGAAUCCUAUGACAACAUAGACCUAGAAUUUUUAAGCAUAAACUCAGGAGUUAACAGUGGUAGAGUUGGGAUAGUAUCAUCCAGUUUGAUCAGAUUAUGUAUUCAUGGGGAUAAUUAUGCCAAAAUAAAUUAGUAGGCUUGAACUGUGUGAGUUAAAAAUUUAAGUUUAUUGACUUGAAAUUAAGCAUGACGGUGUGAAUGUGAUAUUAGUAGUAUGUGAGGUAACAGAGGCAGAUAAUGGGUUUAGUAAGGCAAGCAUGUGUUUGACAGAGUGUAAGUAUGUGAUUAAGAUUAAAGUUUAGUUCAGAGAUUAGUUUAGUGUUCAUAGGCUUAUAAUGAUGGCUUUAAGCUAAGGUCAAGAUGAUAGAUCAAGUAACCCAGUCAGGAUCUUAGAUUCUAGUAGUAGCAUCAGUAUGUACAGAAAAGCAGUUAGGAAAGACGAUUCCUGAGCCAUCCUUAUCUCAGUGUAAAGCUUUGUACUUCAUUCAGCAUAAUUCCUAUGCAUGCUUCAUGUCUCAGAUUCCAUGAAUAUAUCUUAUGUUCACAUGCCUCCCAUAAAAUUGUGUGUGCUUUUAGUUCCCAGCAUAGGGAGUUCAGUUCUAGCUCACUCAGUGUUAUGAAUCAUAUUCCACGAAUUCAGAAAUUUCAAACUCAGGUCAUGCAGCUCAUGACUCAUGUACAUAUGUCAUGCCUUAUAGUAUAUUUAGUUUCCAUGACUCAUGUUAUGCCCCUACAUAUAGGAUAAAUUCAGACUAUGUCAUGUUUAUCCUCAGUUUAGGCCUUUUUGGUAAAUCCAUGUUAUUGACAUUCUAUUCCUCAAGUUUAAGUUAUAUGUCAAGUUCAGUCAGUGCCAAUUUAUGUUUCAGGUUCUCCUGAUGUAAUCCUUCAGUAAGAUUUCCUUAUGGAACAUUGUAGUGAUGAGCAGUUGCUUAGAUAGGAGAUGAAAGUGUUUUAUGUUAAGAGAAGAUUGUGGCAUACUUACUAUAUACGAGGGGAUAGUUACAUAGAUAGGCUUGAAUACUAUGUUAGUGUGCAAGUAAGUGGUUAUCAUGAGGUUGUAUUUAGAAGAUGGGGAAGUAGAGAGUGUGAAUGUAUAUUUAGAUCCUUGACUUAUAUCAAUCCCCAUCGCGCACUAUGGAAACUCAGUUUUUAUCUUAGUUACAAUUUCACUAUUCAGCACCCAGUAAUCAGUGUUUAGUUCCAGAAUUUAGUAUUUUAGUAUCAUUCUGAACCUUAGUUAUCAGCAUUCAGUUAUCAGAACCCAGCAUUUAGCUCCAGUAAGAAUCUCAGUUACAGUUUUAGUUUUAGUGCCAACUUCAGUUUAGUAAUCAGAUCAGAAAGUUAGUUUAGUUCCAGACUUGCUUGACCCAUGCUAUAACUAUCAGUUACUCAGUCAGUAGUAUUUCAGUACCUCAGUCUAUAGGAUGUUUCUAAAUCAUGUUAUACGCCUAGCCUUGCAUUCUUAAGGUGAUACAGUUUUUCUCAUUCAUGCUUAGUUACCUCAUGUUAUCCAGUCAAUUAUUACCUCCUAUGCAUAAUAUUCUACAGCCUUAGUCCAGUUAUUUAGACUAAGUACAGACAAGUCUCACAUGCCCAAUAUUCAGCUAUCAGUUAUUCAGUUAAUCAGAUAAGUUAGUAUAUUCAUACAGUCAUACUCAGCACCUUAUAAAUCUUUCAGUUGUCUUAGUUGCAGUGCGUAAAAUUUAGUUGCUUUAUCUUAGAUUCUAUAUAAGGCCUCAAGUUUCAGAUCUCAGAUAAUCAGUCAUGAUUUAGUUCCUAGCUGCCUUGCGUAUCACCUCAGUUUCCCUCAGUAGCUCAGCAAUAUAAUAUUCCUAUAGGGACCUAGUGUCCCAAGGGGGAGAUAUGCUAUGAUCCCUCAAACUUUUAUAAAAUAAGUGUCCCAUUCUCUUUUCAUGUAACGAAUCCAUUUUAGAGUAGGGAUACUCAUAAGUUGGCCCUCUACCUCCAAAUCUCAGUCGUAACCUUGUACUCAAUAGCUCAAUUUAGUCCAUGAUAAGAUACUCUAUCUAUGUCAUGCAUUACAGACUCAGUUUAGUUCAUGUAUCACGUUCCAGACUCAGUUAUGUUCUUAUGUUUUCGCUUAUGCAUAUUGAGUAAUUAAUCUCAGACUCAUCAGUAUAUUUGGUUUAAGGUAAUAGUUUUCUUUGAGCUUACUUAUUCUCAUGUUCAGAUUUUAGUACCAAGCUUGGUAUCCCAUUCCAUGCUCAGUUUUUAAUUCAACUUGGUGUCUUUACCAUUGCAUGUUAAGUCGCAUGUUCAUGAUUCAGUUUAGUCGUGUAUUAAUGCAUCAGAUAUGUGUGAUCAGCUUAUCAGUACUUCCAGUCAUACAUUCAUGUAUCAUGUCAGCCAUAUAAUCAUGCAUCAGAUAUGCAUGGAUUUAGCUUAUCAAUUUUUGUAUCACAUAUGCAUUCUCAUUGUGAGAAACUUAGUUCAUUAGAACACUUAGUCCUUCAUUCAUGAAUCAGUUACCCAUGCAUCAGAUAUGCAUAUUCAGUAUGAUAUUCUUAUUUUUCAUUCAUGCCAGUCAUAAACCAAGGUUUCAGUAGUAUAUGUCUUGUACGUACUCCAAUUUAUUUUUACUCCCCUUUCAGUCAGUCUUAUUCGAGGACAAAUAUUCCCAAGGGGGAGAUAUUGUAAUACCCCAUAUAUUUCUAAGAUAGAAAAUGAACCAUUGUUCCUACUCAUGAAACCUCUUAUCCUAUGAUUCAUGUUUAAGUACAUGAAUUAUGAUGAGCAUCCUAGUGAUAAUAGAGCUUAUGAUGUGAUAAUCAUGUUCAUAAGAGUCACUUAGAGUAAGUCAAGCUAAGAACUUUUGAAUCCACCAAGUUUUCAUGUGUUAUUUAACAUAGGUCAUCUUUAAAUGAGCAUCACUUGGUUUAUAGGUGGUAUUUUGGCAGAUUCAUACCCUCCAAAUUGUAGAGAAUUGAAUAAUAUUUUCGUCGAUAACAAACUCACCUAAAAUGGACACCCGGUGAAGAAGUUAUGGCAAUUUAAAGUUUCAGCAGCGUCAUUUCAAUCAGUGGCGCAUUGCGCCAUAAGCCAAAAUGAUGUUUGUCAAUUUAUAGUUUCUCUCCGCAAUUCCAGAGUAUCGCGGUGAGUUCCUAGGUCACAAACGGGUGGUAAUGCGAUGUCUCUGCGUCGCGUCGGGGGCCCUAAUCAGGUAAUUUUCAUAGAAAUUUAAAUGAUGCAUCUAGAGGGGUAUUUGUGUCAUAUUUCCACCCCUAUAUAUUCCAUAAACACGGAAUUUAGCCCAAUCCAACCACAUUAUACUCUCUUUUCUCAAAAUUCUCUCAAGAACCCCAUAGGGUUUUCAUAGGAGCUUCAACAUUCAAAUGAUUUCACCAUUAAUUUUCAUGGAUCUUCUAUCCAAGGUAUGCGUAGUGUUCAUCCACAGAUGCCUUUCGUCCAUGGAGUUGAAGAAUCAAUCUUUAAAUACUAAAUCAUCAAUUUUUUUGUGGUGAUAUAAUUGUAUUAUGUUGGUGGUUGUGGUUAUGCUAUAGAGUAGUGAUUUGAUGAAUUUUCAUGAAGGUUUUGUUCAUGUAGUUGGAACCCAUGAAUUUGGGUUGUUUAAUGUGAUGUAAAUUUAUGAACACGUCUAUGCUUUAAAGAGUGCAUGCAAGGUGUUUUAUAAUAUAUUUAGAAUGCUAGGAAUUUCAUGUUUACAUGGUCCCAUAUUAUCUACAUGACAAGUCCAUGUUAACUAUACAAUUCAAUAUGAGUUCCAUGCCAUUAUUUUGUUGCUAUUGUUGUGGUAUGAAGCAUUUAUGAUAAUUGAGUGAUAACAUGUACAUGAUAUAUAUAUAUUCCAUACACUCCCCACUAUGCACAAGAUGUUGAAAACUACAUGUAGUGUAUUAUCCCCUACUUAUGAUAUUAUGAAUUGUGGACUCCAAUAUUGUGAUCAAGUCAUGUCAUGUGUGUCAGUUUUCUUCUAUCGAGUCCUGGGGGUAUUCGUACCCAAAAAAUAUAGCUAUAUGCCUAGAGGUAUAUCGUGUUGUCACAAUAAUCUUAGUCAAGCCAUGAUCUAUAGAACUCAGUCAGUCAUGUGACUCAAGAAACCUCAGAAAUCUCAUGAUCUCAGUAAAUUCUCAAAUAGUAGUACUAUUCUGUCAGUCAAUGAAAGUCAGUUACACAGUCCAUGCACAGUCAGUAAAUUGUGAUCAGUCCCUUCAGAUGGGAGUAGGUGUUAGCACCGAGUGAACCCAAGGAUGGGAACUUAGCUGUUAUAUGAGGGUGUGAUUCUUAGCAGUCAUCCUUGCAUUCUUGAACUAUGUAGCCAGCAUAGGUUGAGACAUCAUCGCCUGCUAUAUAAAGGUGGAUGAGGUGGCUUAACCUGUUAUAUGAGGGUUUCCGCCGUUCUCACUAGAGUUACCUGUUAUAUAAGGGUUUCUCACACGUUGUCCUUACCAGUGGCGCGGUAUUGACACCCUUCCAGUAAGGGUAGAUAUUAGACCCCAUCUUAGCCAUAAUGGCACAUAUGGGGCAUGUCAGUUAAACAACUACCUCCCACAGUUUUAGAUUCAGUCUUAGGAAAUUUUGGAGAAAAACGAGCUAUUGAAUGCUCUUAAUGGACUUAAAUCCAUGGUUUACCCGGAUGAAUUGGAGUGGAAAUGACCAAAAUACCCUUAAAAAUCAAAUAAUGUCAAAUUUGUCCUUUAGUGGACUGUUUUGAUAGGCUGAAGUAGAUCGAUCAUAACUUUUUUCUCCGAUGGCCAAAUUGGAUGACACUAAUUUAAUUGGAAAGAGGACUUUCAGAGCUUUCUGUUGAUAUAUAGUAGCUCACCCAGAUCAUUAUUUACAAGGAGUUAUGAUCGUUUGAAGUUGACCCUAAAAUUCGUCUGGCCUUAGUAUUUUUUUCCUGCACAUUUACUGUUCACCACUAUUCACGAUUAGACCAGAAUGAUCAUAACUCAUCGCUCGAGUGUCCGUUUUGGAUGAUCCACAUAUCGUUGUAAAGCUUAUUUGAUGCUCUACGCGAUGACGGGUUCCAUAUAAAGAAAUUCCACACAGAAAAAUUAUUAAUCACGAUAAAAAAUAGAAUUCAACACAUUUUCAUCCGAGAUCUUAACGAAAAAAAAUUUCGGAGCAUCACCGUAGCAUGUGUUAUUCAGGAGAUGUAAGAAAAUCAACUAACUUGUCGACAUAAGAUUUUUUUCUUAGAGAAAAGUUUGUUAAGAUAAGAAUUAAAUAAAAUGAAUACACAUAAAAAUCUUCCUAUACCAAGUUAAAGAUGGCUAAAGAUGAAAAGUGUCCUAUCCUAUAAAUGAAGUGAGUGACAACAUCUAAUUGAGACGUACGUGAAAAUUCAGUAGUUCCACACAUUUUUCUAAACUCUCCACCAUUUUAAUUGAAAAAAAAAAAUUGCAAAGUAAACUUAUAAAAGAAAACAUUUAAGCAUCAAUUUCGAGGCUUCCGAAUAUAUAAAAGAAAACAUUUAAGCAUCAGUUUUGAGGCUUCCAAAUAGGAACAUGAAGUAGGAAGAGAAGAAACCCAUGAUAAAUUUAGGAUGAAUCGUCACAAAAUUCUACUUAGUUCCUGAUAAGACUCGGGACAUGUUGAUCUGCAAAUAUUUAGAAAUUUAACAAUCAAUCUGUCAACAUCAUCUAACCAAAAAAAUAAUGAAUUGAUAAAUAAAGAAAACUCAAAUGCAAAAUUUGACAGAGCAAGACCACAUGAUUCCCAAAACCUAGUGAAUUAGAUAUGCAAACAUAAUCAAAAUAACAUAUAUUAUAAAAUUAGCAAUUAGAUUGUCAAAAGAAAAAAAAUUGAAAAGAAUAAGAAACCUUUAAUUGUGAAGAGUUUAAUGGAAUGUAUGAGGAAACCUUCAAUUGUGAUUAAGGAAACCUUCAAUUGUGAUUAAGGAUUACAGGUUAUUAGAAAGGUCAUUCCUUUUCUGCUUCAGACAAAAUUACUAUGCAGUUAUUCCAAAAACAACGUGUACUAAGGGAAUCUGUAAGAAGUUGCAUUAGUUUCAAAAUCAAUAUAACUGUUAAAAGUUGGAUUCUAAAAAAAAACGGGCAACAUUAAACUAACAGUAAAAAUUUAAAUUUAUACAAAAAUGUUAAAAGUAAAUUAAAAAAAAAAUUGUAAUCAACCAAAUUAUUUUUUGUCCUAAACUAUCAAGUGGCUUAUUUUUAGGUUGCCACUGAGGUUAAUGUGGAGGCUUUGUCAUCUUCUUUUAAUAAUAUAUAGAUUUGUUUACUAGUUUAGAGAAAGUGCUUUGCACGUUUUAAAUAAAUUAUAUUUCAAUACAAUAAUAUUUAAACAGUAAAUAUUUUAAUACUUUCUUUGAGCUAUUAAAAAAUGAAAUUAAAAGUAAAUAGAAAAUAACUACAAGUAAUUUAGGAUGAGAAAAUUUGGCUAAUAAGCCUCUUCAAGUUUUCAAUUAACAAAAUGGACUACUUUUGUUUUCUCAUUUUAAAAUAAAAUUAAAAAAUAACUUUAAAGAAGAAUUGGACUAUAAUAACAUAUUAAAAACCGUGGGAGCUAUUUACAAAUAUACUUAAAACAUAAAACCCUAACUUAUUUUUUCAAUUUCAAAUUACUUUUUUUCCCUCUCUCCAACUUUUUUUCUCCUCCAUUCGUACUAGAAAUUCAUUAUUUCUUCAAGUUUCUCCUUUUUGAACCUAGUAUUUUAUUUCUAAAUGUUCUGUCUCCUCCCAAAUUUAUGAAUUUUCUACUCUCCUUUAAUUUUAGUCCCUUUUUUAAAAAAAAAGUUUGUGUAUAUAUAUAUAAUCGAUCGGAUCAAUAACUGAUAUAUCCAUAUAUCGGUCAGAUGGAUAAUCGAUCUAUCUAUAUAUCGUUCAGAUCAAUAAUCAAAUUGUCUGAUCGAUAAUCGAUCUGUCCAUAUAUUGGUCGGAUCAAUAAUCGAUCUGUCAGAUAGAUAAUAGAUUUGUCCAUAUAUUGGUCGGAUUGAUAAUGGAUCUGUCGAAUCGAUAAUUUAUCUGUCCAUAGAAUGAUUGGAUCGGUAAUAAAUCUAUCCAUUGCAAAUCAAGUUUUGAACUAAUUUAUAAAAUGCGUAAAAGAUUUUGGUGGGAGAGGUUUUGUCUAAAUUCUGUAAGUUGGUAAUUUGUGGACUAAUUUGUAACUUUAAAACUUAUAAAUAAAUAUUAAAUCACAAAUAAAUUUAAAUUUUCAAAAAGUGGGUCAUCCCCUCUUCCCGAAAAAAAACUUGAAGCCUAUUUAAUUAAAAAAUAGGCUAGAAAAGGCCAUUUAACAAAGAAUCCCAAUCAGAAUCUUAUUUAACAUGAUUUUACUUUAGUGGCAUAGCACAUUAAUGUAAAAACUGUUGAGAUAGUAAGAAGUUUGAAUGGAAAAUGAAAAGGUGAUUUUUUUUUUUUUUUUGAAAAGAUGCUAAGAGAAAGAAUGCAAUUUGAAUAGGCACAUUUUCGGAUUGAAUGAUUAAGACCUUUCCGAAGAGUUACACCUUUAUGAAGGGGUGCACCUUUUUGAACCAUUGUUUCUCUUCAUGAAGAAACACCUUAAUAGCUAUAAAUACCUGAAUUUUUUCUUAGAUAGAGACAAUUAUUUUUUAGUAGAAAAAUAAUCUUAUGCUUCUUCUAAAAAUUCUCGAGUGAUCAUCAAAUCAUUUAGUGUGCUCGAAGUUUCUGAAAAUUUGAGGUACCAUUAUUUUCAGAAAGAGAAUUAUUUUAUCUUGGGUGGAAAGAUUCCAUAACCUCGGAUACUUGAGGGGAAUAAAUUUCUUAAGGACACACUAUGUAUUCAGUGGACUUGAUUCUAUAAUUUUCUACUUCAUCUUCUUUCUUAAAGUUGAUAAACACUUUAUUUUGAUAGUUCAUUUGAUUAUUUAUUUGAACUUGUAUUUGAAGUUGUUGUAACUUCAUUGUUGUUCUUAAAAGUUGUUCUUGAACUUAGUAUUGAAGUUUGAUUUGAAACAUACAUAUUUUUGUACCCAUCGAAACAACAAUCUUAAGGAAUUUAUACUACUCCUUAUUAUUUGGUUUUACUAUUUUUCAGUAAAUAGGUUGAACUUAAUAGUUCUUCAACUGUUUGAACUUGUGUUUGAAAUUCUUGAAACUUCAUUCUGAUAGUUCAUAAGUUGGUUAAACUUGUGUUGAAGUUCUUAACAUUUGGUUUUGCUAUUUUCCAGAAAAUAGUUUGAACUUUAUUUUAAUGAUGUUCAUAAGUUGGAUUGAACUUAUUAUUAAAAUUUCAAAGUUGUAAAUACAAAGUUUAAACUUUAUUUGAUUGUUCAUAUGUUAAUUUGAACAUGUGUUUGAAGUUAUUGUUGAAAAAUACAAAUUUUACCAAAAUUGAGAAAAACAACAAUUUUAAAAAAAGUAUAAAAAUAUUUACUUUUGAGCUUGCUUGGUGAAGGGAAAAAAAUUUAUAUCGCUAUUUAUAAAUCAAGUAUUUGGUUAAUCUGUAUUGGGUCUGAUUUUGUGGAGACUAAACUCUUUUGAUUCAUACUCCCUUGGUUAGAAGAAUAUAAAAGCUUCAUCGAGAAAUCAAUGUUGGAAUUCAGUUCGAAGAAUAUAAAAACUUCACCGAUUCGUUAAAAUCUUUGUAUUGGUUUUUGGGGUUUAAAAUAUAUUGGGUUUCACUCUGUUUUAAUUUGAUUAUGAUUUAAAGUCAUAAAAACUUCAUCAUGUCUCAACGUUCAUUCGGUUGAUGAUUUGAAGAUAUAAAAACUUCAUCAUUGACUAGAAACAAGUUGGCUAAAGAUUAAAGUCUUUAUUGUUAGUAUUCUGAAAUACUAAAGAGUAUGUCAAAGAUUGACAGAAAAAUGACGAAUGAAAUUGAACAACAAAUUGAUUUGAUUGUGAAUGGUGUUGUCCCAAUGGCUACCAAUUGUUGCAUCAUUAAGUCGUUCAGAUAUUGCUCUAGUAAUAAAAAUGACAGAGAAAUUAGAAAAAUAUUUUGGUGUGAACUUCAAAGACUGAUAGCAAAUGAUGUCAUUUUGGCUGGACAAACUUGAAAUGUAAAUGUUCACAAGUAUAGAUCCUCAUAUUUCCCCAAAAAAAAAUAAUUAUUGAAAAUAAAUUAUCUAAUUUGAAAGAGCAUAUGAAUCAUUCCAAGAUAGAUGAGGAUAAUGAGUUGAAUGAAAAAUCAUUAAUAAUGGUUGCAAAUUCUGUUAAGGAUGAUACUCCAAAUAAUAAGAAGAUGAAGAAGUCUUCUGGACAAGAUAAAGAGCAAAAUAAGAAAAUAUUCUAAGACAAUUGCUACAUUUGUAGUGAAGUUGGCUACAAAGCUCUAAAUAGUCAAGUUCUAAAUAAGAACAAGAAAAGAGAUUAGAUAAAAUGUUGGAAACAACUAGAAAGAUUGAAAAUUAUUGUGAUAUGAUCACUGAAGCAAUAUAGUCGGAUAUCUAAAUGAAUGAUGCUUUAAUUUAGGAGCCACUAGACAUGUUUGAGCGGACAAAGAAGCUUUUGCUACUUCUGAUCAUGUAGGUCACAAAGAAGGAAAUAAUCCAACAACCAAGGUUGAAGGAAAGUGAGAAGAUAUUUUCAAAAGUGACUUUAGGUAAGGUGUUUACUCUCAACAAUGUUCUCCAUGUUUCUACUAUUAGGAAAAUCUUAGUGUCGACAACACUUUUCGUUAAAAAUGAAUGAAAGUGUGUGUUUGUUUGGGAGAAAGUUGUAAUAAGCAAGAAUGAAACGUAUGUAGAAAAGGGCUACCUCAAUGAGGGUCCUUUCAAACUUUAUAUAAUGGUUGUUGAAAUUAAAAAAAGCUGAGGCUUCUUCUUACUUGCUAGAGUCAAAUGAUUUGUGGCAUAGUCGUUUAGGACAUGUCAGGUAAAAAACUAAUUAGUUUGGAAGUGUUGCCUAACUUUGACUACAACAAAUCAAAGUGUCAAUUAUGUGUGGAAUCUAAGGAUGCUAAGCAUUCGUAUAAGUCUGUUGAAAGGAAUUCAGGUCCCUUAGACUUAAUCCAUACCGACAUUUGCGAUAUAAAGUCAAUACCUUUUUGUGGUAAGUAAAAAGUAUUUUAUAACUUUUAUUGACGAUUGCACUAGAUACUGUUAUAUUUAUUUACUGAAUAGUAAGGAUGAAAUAAUAGACGCGUUUAGGCAAUAAAAAAUAAAAAAUAAAAAUUAGUUAGAGAAAAGGAUCAAAACGAUAAAAGUGAAGGGGGAGAAUAUGAAUCUAUUUUUGCAGAAAUAUGUGUGGGGAAUGGAAAUGUCUCUCAAUCUAAUGGAAUUACAGAAACAAAGAACUAACCUUACAAAAAAUGAUGAAUGUCUUACUUAUACCGCAAAAACAUAAGGGAAAAAACCAUCCUUACAGCUAACUAAAUACUCAAUAGAGUGCCCCAUAGUAACACACUAUCAAUUACAUAUGAAAAAUGAAAAGAAAGAAAACCCAACUUGAAAUAUUUUAAAGUGUGAGGGUCUCUAGAGAAAAUCCAAAUUCUGAAGCCUAAAAGAAUGAAAAUAGGACCUAAGACAGUAGACUGCAUGUUCAUUAAAUAUGUUAAAGGCAGUAAAGCAUGUCCGUUUUUAGUUCAUAAAUCCAAACAUUUAGAUAUAAAUGAAAAAAAGGUGAUUGAAUCAAAUAAUGUUGAGUUCUUUGAACACAUUUAUCCGUAUAAAACUAGACAUGAAUAGUCUAACGGAGGGUCUAAAAGAUCACGAGAUGAACCAAGCGAGAAUGUACAUAAUAAUGAGAAUUCAAGAUGUAGUACACAUCAAAGAACAUUAACUUCUUUUGGAUUAGAUUUUGUAACGUUUCUCCUAGAAAAUAAGCCUCAAACGUUUAAAGAAGCGAUGUCUUCUUCAGACUCAUCCUUUUGGAAAGAGGAAGUCAAUAGUGAGAUUGAUUCAAUCCUGAGCAAUCAUACUUGGGAAUUGGUUAAUCUUCCUUCAGGAAAUAAACCUUUAGGUUUUAAAUAGAUCUUCAAAAGGAAAAUGAAAGUGGAUGGUCCUAUUAACAAAUACAAGGUAAGACUUAUAGUGAAAGACUUCAAAUAGAAGGAAGGCCUUGAUUAUUUUGAUACAUACUCGCUUGUAACUAGGAUAACAUCAAUUCAGAUGUUAGUUGCCUUGGCAGCGGUAUAUAAUCUUGAAAUUCAUCAAAUAGAUGUGAAAACAACAUUCCUAAGUGGAGAGUUAGAGGAAAAAAUUUACAUAGAACAACCUGAGAGUUUUGUGGUUCCUGGUAAAGAAAAUAAGGUGUGCAAACUUGUUAAGUCACUUUAUGGACUAAAACAAGCACCCAAACAGUGGUAUACAAAGUUUGACCAACCCAUUUUGGCAAAUGAGUUUCAGAUAAAUGAAUGUAAUACAUCUGUUUACAUUAAUGAUACUCUAAAUCACAAGUCAUUGUUUGUUUGUAUGUGGAUGACAUGUUGAUAUCAGUAGAGAUAUUUCUGGAAUAAAUGCUACUAAAUAAAUGUUUGAGAGCAAGUUUGAUAUAAAAUACCUUGCAGUUGCGGAUGUGAUCUUAGGGAUAAGAAUCCAUAAAACUCCACAAGUGUCGGCAUUGUCACAGUGUUAUUACAUUGGAAAGGUACUUGACAAGUUCAAGUAUUUGGAUUUUGGUAUUGCCAAGACUCCAUUAGAUGUGAGCUUUGCACUUCAAAAGAAUGAAAGUGAAAGUGACUCACAGUUGGACUACACAAGAGUAUUGGGAUGUUUAAUGUAUAUCAUGAACUGUACACGGCCUGAUAUAGCAUGUGCUAUUAGUAAAUUGAGUAUCUACACGAGUAAUCCCAAUAAAACUCAUUGGAUGGCAAUGAAAAGAGUUUUGGGGUAUCUAAAAUACACCCAAGACUAUGCUUUGAAUUAUAAUAAAUAUCUAAUAGUAAUUGAAGGAUAUAGUAAUGCAAAUGGAAUCACCGUAUCGAAUGAAGUAAAAUCCACGAGUAGAUAUGUAUUUACUUUAGGUGGAGGAACAGUCUCUUGAAAAUCCUCCAAACAGACAUGUAUUGUCCGCUCUACAAUGGAAUCUAAAUUUAUCAUAUUAGAUGUGAAGAAGUUGAAUGGCUCCGAAAUUUCUUAGAAGAUAUUCCUUAUUGGGCCAAACUAUUAGCACCAGUAUGUAUACACUAUGAUAGUCAAAUGACGAUAGGUAAGGUAGGGAGCAUAAUGUAUAACAAUAAAUCUCGUCAUAUAAGAUGGAGACAUAAUCCCGUUAGAGAACUACUCUCUAGUGGAAUUAUCAUGGUUGACUAUGUGAAGUCAAAGGAUAAUGUGUCAAAUCUACUUACCAAAGGCCUAUCUAGAGAGGGGGUUGAGAGAACAUCAAAGGGAAUGGGUUUACGGCCUAGGACAAGUCAACAUGGCGAUAACUCUACCUAGUAUAUCGGAGAUCCCAAGAGAUAGUUUCAACAAAAUCAAACAAAAUUAUGACUAAUGGUUCAACAUUGUCAAUAUACUCAACCAAUUCUCAUUAUGUAGACAAUGUUUAGGAAACAAGGAUAAGACUUGUGGUGUGAAGGUUUUUUAAUGGUUAUCUAAAUUUUGGCAGAUUUGACCAAAUAGUUUAAUCUGUAGAUUGAACGUUUAGAAAUCACCUAUGUGAGGGUGAAGUGAAAACCUCUUUAAGGAGAAUGUUAGUAAAGUCCUAUUCUCUAUGCUCUCAUGAAAUCAAGACGUGUCCAUGGCUGAAACAAAUAAAAUCGUAAGAAUCAUAAACGGUAAAAGGUUGGUUGUGUGACAUAUGUUGUCUAGGAGUACAUUAAAGUUCGACGAUUUAAAGAUGUCAAAUCUACCGACUAACCGAGUGCAUCCGAUGUAUGUUCACUAUGAAAAGUUUAAGGGGAACCUAUUUAUCCAGAUACAAUCAGUCUUUGCUUGUUGAUCACAUACUUUUUCAUAAAUUUUUUAUAAGAUAGUCAUUCCCCAUUCAUGUGGGAGAUUGUUUGGGAUAUUAAGAGAUGCCAUAAAUUUUUGAUAAGAUAGUUAUUCUCCAUUUAUGUAGGGAGUUAUUGGAAUAUUAAGAGGUGUGAAUGGAAAAUAGAAAGAUGAUGUUUUUUUCAAAAAGACACUAAGAGAAAGGAUGCAAUUUGAAUAGGCACUUUUUUGAAUUGAAUGGUUAUGACCUUUCCAAUGGGUUGUGACUUUUCAAAGAGUUGCACCUUCAUGAUGGGUGCACCUUUUUGAACCAUUGCUUCUCUUUAUGAAGCAACACCUUAAUGACUAUAAAUACUUGAAUUUUUUCUUAGGUACAGACAAUUAUUUUUGAGUAGAAAAACAACUUCUUCUUCUAAAAACUCUCGUGUGAUUAUCAAAUCUUGAGUAUGUUUGAAGUUUUUGAAAAUUUGAGGUACCGAUAUUUUAAGAAAGAGAAUCAUUUUAUCCUGGGAGGAAAAGAUUUCAUAACCUCGGGUAAUUGAGGGGAAUAAAUUCCUUAAGGACACACGUGCAUUUAGUGGACUUGAUUCCACAAUUUUCUACUUCAUCUUCUUUCUUAAAGUUGAUAAAUACUUCACUUUGAUAGUUCAUUUGAUUAUUCAUUUGAAGUUUUUGUAACUUCAUUUUAGUUCUUGAAAGUUGUUUUUGAACUUAGUUACAAAGUUUGAUUGGAAACAUACAGAUUUUUGAGCCCAUCAAAACAACAAAAACAAAGAGAUGCUCAAAGAUGUAUUAAUAACAUACAUAUAAUGGAAGUAUUUACCUCAUAAAAUUAUUGAUUAUGUAUGAAAUUGAAACCAAAUUACUACUACCUAUUAUCAAUCACAUCGUGACCAACCCAACGUUUCAUGUCAUAAGUCAUUAUAAUGAAUAUCUAUCUGUAUAUAAUAGGAGAGUCAAAAAAAUGCCACAUGUCAGCACCACAAAAUCUUUAUUUAUAAUAAUUAAAUAAAAUUAUCAAUUAACAAUUAAAAAAUUAAAAAAUAAUUAAUCAUUUGAAAAUAAAUGAUCAGUUCUAAAGAUAAAACAGUCAAUUUAAAACUUACUCCCACAGAUUCACAAUUGAUAAAAGUGUUAGAUAUUUAUUUAAAAAGAAGUCUCUCUUCCUCUCAUCUGGCAAAGCAAAACUCUCCAUUGAAUUCUCAAAAGGUGAAUUUUCUUUCCACAAUUUUUUUUCCGAUCGUCAGAAAUUCGGGUUUUCGACAAAAGAAUAAUUUUGUAGUCCAAUUUCAUAAUCUUUUUUCUAGCAAAACAGAAUUAGGUUUUGUGGGGAAUAGAAAUCAGGAAGAAAUGGACAAUCGAUUCAUGCAUCAUGGUCAAUUCACUGCUGCACUGAUUUGUCAGAAUUCUUGGGAAUAGAAAUUGGAAAAAAAUAGGAAAUCGAUUCAUAUGAAUGACCAAUUCUCUGAUGUACUGAUUUAUCUGAACUCUUACGCAAUUCUAAGCAAGUAUAAUUUGUCAUCGUUUUCCUUGUAUAAUUACUUUAAACUUAUUUUUAUCCUUAUUUUUUAUAUUUUUCAAUUCUAUUCUGAAUCAAUAUUUGAAACUAUGGAUAUAUACUGUAAGACGAGUCUGAGAGGAAUCUGGGUGUAAAUUUUCUAAGUUAUUUUCUUAUUUUGACACAAUAUAAUUUUUUUGUUAUGAAUUUGAUGGAGUUUAAACUAGAACUAUGCUUAUACUUUGGAUAAUUUUUCUAUUGUUUGCACCCAAUUUUAACUAUAUAUAGAUGUAUAUAUGUAUCAUCGGAUAACUUUUAUCCUUCUGAGUUUUUUAUGUAUGUAUUUUACAAGUUGAGGUUAAACAUAUCAGUGCAGUACUAAAUUCGAAGUCAAAUAUCAACAAACUCUUAACUAUAAAGUACUGACCUAUUUACCAACUACUGCUCUCUCCUUAUCUUAAAAUUUUUAUUUCCAUUUACUAAUUUGUUCAACUUAUGUGACCUCUAGGCAUUAGACAGACCUCUAUAUUUACUUGGAAAUAAUUUUCAUUUUGGUUAUUUGGAAAAACUAGACAAUUUUUCUUUGCGUGCAUAUGAUGUUUUUCGACGAAGUUAGUUGAUGAGGAUAAGUCCAUACUGUAAGUUCGCAUUAUGCAGCAGCCUUUCGUGACACACAAUGCAUUCAGAAAGGUAUGUCCAACAAGUAACCCUACUCAACUGCUACUACUCUCUCUAUUAUCUACAACUAUACAACUUAAUGAGACAAGUAAAUCCUUAUAUUAUGAAUUAGGUUAACGUCUUCUAAGAGUUCUCUUGAUUAUCCUAUAAUUUUGAUAGUGUGCUUAAAUUGAUAUUUUACUGUUUUUUUAUUUUCUUUUCAAAAAUGAAUAUUGCAAAUCGACAUUAUAAUUUAUUUUUUGCUCCUAUUAGGCUUUCAGUGUAAUUCUUUUACCUUUUUGUUGUCUAAAAGAACUUAAAUUUAACAAAAAUAUCGAGUAAUCUUGUAACAUCCUGCAUUUUCAAACUAGAAAAUGAACUUUUAUUCCUAUGUGUGUAAGCACUAAUAGAAAUUUUUUCCAAGUGAGAAUAAGUAUCAUGAUAUUUAUCCUAGUGUUUGAAGUGUUUUCAAGGUGAAAAAUCUUCAUAGGAAUCACUUAGAAUGAAGUUGAGCUAAGAACCUUUGAUUCGGCCAAAUCUUUAUAAUCGAUUUUGAAGGAUCUACUUUGAACGUAUAUAACUUUCUAUACAAGUAGAAUUUUGCAGCUCAAGAAUCACCAAAUUGUAGAUAAUUGAGUUAGCUUUCUAACGAUACCAAUUUUCCCUUAAUCCGUUACCUGGGAAAAAAGUUAUAGCUAUUUUCAUGAGGAAGGCAGUGAGGUCGCGCGAUUAGCGUGCGGCACACACUCCAAUCCACCCCUAGUUUACAGCUUUUGAUUCCGCAUUUUAAGGGCUUUUUAGUCUUUUCUUCAUUUAUAUCUCCUAGCCCAUGCCGGAUAACCGUUACGGGAUGAUAUUUUCCUCCUAUUUUAUCAAUUAAAUAUCUCAAAUCCUCUAAAAAACAUAAUCCUAGGUCCUCCCUAAAGAUCAAGAAUUUAAGCCUUUCAAGUCAAGAUUCUCAAGAAAGGUUUCAAGAUUAGGUUUCCAAUCUUCAAACUAAUUAAUAUAAGGUACGUGGGGUUUUCUUAAACUACAUGGGCUUGAUGAAAUUGUUUUAAUAAGGUUUUGGAAUGUUGAGAAAUCAUAUGUUUAUGAAGGGUUUUGAAUUACAUUAAGAAGUAUGCAUUAUCAACGUUUGUCUUAAGGCCUUCCCUUAAACUUGAAUUUUUACUCGUUUAUAUGUAUAUAUGUGUUUUGAAUUUUGGAAUAUGAAUGGAGAGCAUGAAUAACGUAUUUCUCUCUCUCAUGGUGUUAUUUCUUGAUUUAUAAGUUAUGGGUUACUCAAUUGCAUGUCUUAAAGCAUGAACCAAGGGUUUUACUAUCUUAUAUGAACUUUAUGUUGGUUGAGAAUUGUAAAGAGGGAUAAUUUUCAUUUUAAAUGUUAAAUAUGAUAAUCAAAGGAAUUGUAUGAUUGUUUUUGAGAAAUUGACCCCGAUUUGUUGAAAUAUUGAAAAAGAGAAUCUUUGUAUGGUUUGACAUAUGUUUUGAAACAUGAAUCCUAUUGUACUGUUUGAAUGACUUAGUGGUCUAAACAUUAUUUAAAUAAAAGAGUUGUAAUAUGAUAAUGUAUGGCUUAGAUAUAUGACUUGCAACUCUUGGUAUGACAUACUAAAUAGAUGAAUGCCAUAGCAGAUUCAGAGCAGACUAAAAUACAGAUUUUACUUAAAUUUUUAAUUCAGAAAGAUGCAUGUUUAGAAAAGGUUAAAAAUGGGCCUAAAGAGGGUUAGAUGGUUACCCGAAGAAAGUACGAGUUGAAAGACUCAACGCUAGAAAUCAUGAUUUGCCAUCAUAGGAUUAUGGUACCCUGCUUUGUGAUCUUGUGUACCUUGAUUCAGGUUGUCCUAAAUUGGGACUAUGGUUAGGAGCCCUGUUUUGUGAUCUUGUGCACUACCAUGACAUGUUGAUUUGUUUAGGGAUUUUGACACCCUUUUGUGUGAUCUUGUAUAUCCCCCUUAUAGAUACUUCAAUCCUUGGGCAAACUUGGAUUGGAGGCUUGGCCAUUGAGUCAAGGGUAGAUUCUAUAUUGCCCGUGGAAUUAUAGAUUGUUGGGUGUACCAUCUAUCUCAGAAAUAAAAUAAAGAGUGGAUCAUGGUUUCAAAUAAUGUUUCUAAGUCAUUAAAGAAUGCCCAUGUGUUUUCAUAUAUAUGUAAAAUAUUUCAUAAAUUGCUCUCACUUAUGUUAUAUAAAAGUAUGUUAUUCUGGAUUGCUCUACGUACCAGUAUAUUUGUAUUGACCCUCUAUAUUUCAGAAUUUGAGGAUCAGUCCCGAGGUCCUGCUAAACUGUAGACCAUUGCCAGAUGAGUGGAGUUGGUGAGCCUCCCUUAUUUUAGUAGGCCUUAUUUCAUGAUUUCAUUGUUUUUAGUUCAUGGUCCAACCGGGGGCCUGGAUAUUGUUUUAUUUCAGUUAGUAGAGAUUUCACAGAUAGGUGUUAGAUGGAUUUGGGUCUUAUUGAAAUUAUAACCAUAUGGUUUUAUUGAAAUUGGAUGACCAUGAUUCUAUUUUGUUUUCUGCAUUUCCUUAUAGUUUAUGAAUUGUGUAUAUGAUUACCAGUAGAGAAGGGCUCUCAGGCCUUUAUGAUUUGGGAUUCACAUAGUGGACUGGGCCUCGGUUCAGUUUGUUACAAACUUGGUAUCAAAGCACAGUUCAUGGUCCCAGGAUAUCUGCAAAAUCAUGUCUAGUAGAGUCUUUCUUAUGGGUUUGUUAUGCACUACACUUAUAAUCAGGAGGCUACCAGCCAUUUAGGAGUUGUUUCUUAUUCAUUCAUACUCCAGUUCAUGCUAUAGUGUCAUCCAUAAGAAAGUUAUCUAAAUUCCUUCCUUGUUCUAAUUUCAUUGGCCAGGCCUCAUCGUUGAUUUGAUAUAAGUCUAAGAGUCUAGCUCCCCUAGUGAUGUGGUUCUCUCUAACUGAAUUAUCUAUAAAGCUAUGAGAUAACACGAGGACUUGAGAGGAGUCCAUUAGUGCUUCAAGGUGUAUUGAUUUAAUUGUAUACCUUUAUCCUAAUAAAAUCAUGUUUUUUAGCCUAAGGUACAAAGUGUAUUCAAUCCUCUUUCAAAAUUAUUAUUGCAGAUGUCAUGCUUAAGGGUAAUGAUAUAUAGCAGAAUGUUGGAACUGUAUUACCACCUGAGUAGUAGUAUAUGUUCAACUGUCAUAACCUAUUAUUAGUGAGAUGGCCAAGAAGUUAGUUACUUAAAGCCACAAGAUUAGAAGCCAGGGUGAGGGUGAAUUUUCCGUGAAGAAGCUAAUUUAGUUAUAUAACUGUAGAUUGAGGAGUGGCUUGUCAUUUAAUAGUGAUAGACUAAUGUGGUAGCAAUAUUUGUAGAUUGUAUGCUAGUGUGUGGAGAAAGUGUUUGGCAUGAUUAGUAUCUAUUCAAAAUAGGAAAGAAUCUCAGAAUAGAUAGUUUUGGUGGUGGUAGAAAUCACGUAUAGGUUGUGUAUGGAAAGAGGUAGACUAGUCAGUAAGUUAUGGGUAGAGGCUCAUCAGUGUGAAUGAAAUUUAAAGGUAGACGAAAUGUAUGCAUGGGUAAGUAAGUAUUAUGUUAGAAAUUUGAAUGUAUUGAUAAGAUCAUAAUGGAUUAUGUUAUAAGAUUAACAUCGAUUGUCCCUAUUAGUUUACUUUACCUCCCUUAAUUAUCUUUUCUCUAGUAGUUGUAAGCUAGUAAUGCACGUGAGAAGGUGUGUGGUAAAUUCUAAGAUAUGGUAGUAAUAUCGUGAAGAGAAAGAACUUAUGGGUAGUAAUUAAGUUAAAUGGCGUAGUUGGGUUGAUUCCCUAAUUUAAGGGAAUAGUAUGGUAUGUAACCUAUUUCAUUGGUGGUACAUGAUUGAUUGUAGGCUAUAGGCUUGAACUUGAGAUAUGGGCAGUGGUAAAAAGGAUAGUAACUUAAGAUUAGUGAUACAUGUUUUGUAUGAGUAAGUAGUAGGCUUAAUAUGAGGUGUGAAAUAGCUUAGGUUGGAAACUUAUGGAAAAGGGAGUGGAUAAUUUUGAUAUUUAUGUACAUGAGGACUAGAGUUAACAUGAUGAAUUAUGGUUGAGUCAUUAAGUGUAUAAGAGCGUGAGUAUAUAAAAAUAAGUUGAACCCAAAGAUAGUAUGUGGUUAGAUAAAGUGUGAUGUGUAUGAGUGUCAUGUGUACCUAGGUCAUAUUUUUUAAUUUUGUAGUAUGGAGAAGUCUGGAGAGUUAUUAUACUGUAUUCGUUAGAGUUGAAUUGAAGUAAUAUAGGUAGUCAACAUACGCCUUUGGUAUAGUUUUACAAAUUUUAUUAUAUUGUAAGUUAUGUGAUUAGCGGUCUACUAUUAGAAUGUUAAGUAGUGGAAAGUGCAUUUUAUGUGGUAGGAAGAGAAGAUGUGUAUGUAUAUGAGAGCGUGAGAUGUAGGGUGAUGGCUAUAGAGGCUAGCGAAAAUUAAGAGUAGCAUUUUCGUAAAGCAAUGCCUUUAGAGUAUAGUUAAAAGGUAAAAGUUUAGCAUUUAUGUGCAUGGUGAUACCCUAUUAUGUUGAGUGUUGUGCUUAUAAAUUUAAUGAGAAGAUAUGUCCUCAAGUCCAGAAUUGUGACUUUGAUCUAAGAGGGAGAUGAUGAGUUAAAGUAGUUCCCAAAUUUUCUUGUGGUGUAAAGUUUCGAGUGAGAAUCAUGAUAAAUCAAUUCCUAUUCAAGCAAGCUCCUCUUCUCCUCCUACUUUAAUUAGAGUGGACAUCUACUAAUGUCUUAGGUAUUCAAGUCCUACCUAUGUCUAAGGUUUGAGCCCUUUAUGUAACCCAUGUCAUGUCCCGACUUCGAAACUAGGGUCAAUAAUGUCCCUCAGUGAUCUAAUAUUUCAAGUAUUCAAGUUCUAUGUUAUGAUGUUCAUGAUCCAUAAAUCUGUGUCCUAAAUCAUGCUUGGUUCUAAGGAACUAUACUUCAUAUGUUAUUGAUUCAUUGUAUUUCGGGGUUAGCCAAAAGGAUAAAGUUGUGCGAACUCAUGACUAUUUCAGCUCUGAAAAUGAGAAGCAAUAGCUUCGAGUGGAAGUCCUUGUAUCAAUCGUUGACUUCAUGAAUUCCAAUCUUAUGAUGUACGACUAGUGAUGUAAGUGCUCAUGUUUCUCUCUAUGGUUUGUCCUAAGGACUCAUGCCAUGUUGUGUUUAUGCCAGAGUGACUCUCUACUUAUGAUCCAAACCCUUGAUAUAUGAAACACUUUGUGAUUGUCUCGUAUCUUCACCUCAUGUCCCACCUUAAGUAGAUCAACAAAUAUGGGUUAUAAUUGAGUAGUGUUUCUUCCAUUCAUGAUGCUUAUCCUUGGGGCCCUUAAUGACCCUCCGAAUGAUAGUAUGAUAGUUGUUAUGAAAGAGUAGUAGUGACUUAGGAAGGGGGAGUAGAUGUUCUUGAAUGUGAAAAUUUUGAUUUGAACUCUUUAACUAAGGUUAAUGGUAAUGGGGGAAAGAAGGGGAACGACUUUCAUUAUGAGAAAUAGUUGGGAAGGAGGUAUGUAGCGAAAAUAUUUAUGAGAGUGAUUACAAUUGUUGGUUUUGGUGAGAGAUCCAUUAAGUGGGUGUAGUAAUGAUAAGUUUGAAUGUUGUGAUUGAUGAAAACACAAACCAAUGUGCCAUGUGGUUAGUAUUCCUUGAAUUAAGACUUGAUAUUAUUGGAUUAUAGUGAUGAGGUAAGGUAUUUUCUUAAUGUGAUGUAGAGUACAAGGUCCCGUAGUUUAAGUUAGCAUUUUUUCUUAACUUUGAAUUAUGCUUCAAAAUGGAAGUACUAUAUGGGGAAACUCAAACUCUUGUGGUUAGAAGUGUUAUGGGAGAAUUGUAAGUUGGAAAUGAUGAAGUAUGUUAUUUGUUAUUUGGGGCAUAGUUGAGUAGUGUCUCUCAGUUUUAGGUCCAUUCAUUGUAUCAUGAGAGGUGGAGAAUGCUUCUAUACCUAUCUUUUGUGAAAUCUUAUUUCAUGAUUUGUACCAAUGAAAAUCAUACUUUUGAUCACUAAAUAAACUCAUGCCCUAUGUUGUGAUGAUUAUGAUCCCUUGAACUCAUGUGCAAAGUCAUUUUAUGUCAAUUCCUAUUAUCUCACGCUUCGUGUUCGCAUGUUUCACUAGGGUUAUCAUGAAGCUUGUUUGAUCUCAAGCUUUUGCAUAUUUCGUUGAGGAAAAAUGCUCAAAAUCAAAGUUAUAUUCUAAAUUCUAGACUUUUAAAGCUUCAAAAAGCCCCUACCCAUCAUUUGGGGAUGAAUGAUCCCAAGGGGGAGAUAAUGUAACACCCCGUAUUUUCGAACUAGAAACCGAACUGUUGUUCCUAUGUGUGUAAACACUAAUAGAAAUUAUUUCCAAGUGAGAAUAAGUGUCAUGAUCUUUAUCCUCGUGUUUGAAGUGCUUUCGAGGUAAAAAAUACUCAUUGGAAUCACUUAGAGCGAAGUUGAGCUAAGAACCUUAGAUUCGGCCAAAUCCUUGUAUUCGAUUUUUUAAGGGUCUACUUUGAAUGUAUAUAACUUUCGAUAAAAGUACAAUAUUACAGCUCAAGACCCACCAAAUUGUAGAUAAUUGAGUUAACUUUCCAACGAUACCAAUUUUACCUUAAUCCGUUACCCGAAGGAAAAGUUAUAGCCAUUUUCGUGAGAGAGACAGUGAGGUUGUACGAUUAGCAUGCGGCGCACACUCCAGUUCACCCCUAGUUUACAGUUGUUGAUUCUGUAUUUUUAAGGGCUUUUUAGUAUUUUUCUUCACUUAUAACUCCCAGCCCACGCCUGAUAACCCUCAAGGGACGAUAUUUUCCUCUUAUUUCAUCCAUUAAACAUCUCAAAUCCUCUAAAAAACAUAACCCUAACUCCUCCCCAAAGAUUAAGAAUUUAAGCUAUUCAAUUCAAGAUUCUCAAGAAAGGUUUCAGGAUAAGGUUUCCAAUCUUCAAACUAAUCAAUAUAAGGUACGUGGGGUUUUUCUAAACUACAUGGGCAUGAUGUAAUCAUUUUAAUAAGGUUUUGGAAUGUUGAGAAAUCAUAUGUUUAUGAAGGGUUUCGAAUUACAUUAAGAAGUAUGCAUUGUGAACGUUUUGAUCUUGAGGCCUUCCUUUAAAAUUAAAUUUUUACUCGUGUAUAUGUAUAUAUGUGUUUUCAAUUUUGGAAUAUGAAUUAAGAGCAUAAAUAAUGUAUUUCCCUCUCUCAUGGUGUUAUUUCUUAAAUUACAAGUUAUGGGUUACUCAAUUGCAUGUCUUAAAGCAUAAACCAAGGGUUUUACUAUCUUAUAUGAACUUUAUGUUGGUUGAGAAUUGUAAAGAGGGAUAAUUUCUCAUUUUAAAUGUUAAAUAUGAUAAUCAAAGGAAUUGUAUGAUUGUUUUUGAGAAAUUGACCCUGAUUUGUUGAAAUAUUGAAAAAGAGAAUCUUUGUAUGGUUUAACAUAUGUUUUGAAACAUGAAUCCUAUUGUACUAUUUGAAUGACUUAGUGGUCUAAACAUUAUUUAAAUAAAAGAGCUGUAAUAUGAUAAUGUAUGGCUUAGAUAUAUGACUUGCAACUCUUGGUAUGACAUACUAAAUAGAUGAAUGCCGUAGCAGAUUCAGAACAGACUAAAAUAUAGAUUUUACUCAAAUUUUGAAUGCAGAAAGAUUCAUGUUUAGAAAAGGUUGAAAAUGGGGAUUUUGGCACCCUGUUGUGUGAUCUUAUGUGUCCCCCUUAUAGAUACUCCAAUUCUUGCGGCAAACUUGGAUUGGGAGCUUGGCCGCCGUGUCAAGGACAGAUUUCAUAUAGCCCGUGGAAUUAUAGAUUAUAGGGUGUACCAUUUAGCUCAGAAGUAAAAUAAAGAGUGGAUCAUGGUUUCAAAUAAAUGUUGUCAAGUCUUUAAAAAAUGUCCAUUUGUUUUCAUAUAUUGUAUGUAAAAUAUUUCAUAAAUUGCUCUCACUUAUUCUAUAUAAAAGUAUGUUAUUUUGAAUUGCUCUGUGUACCAGUACAUUUGUAUUGACUCCCUAUAUUUCAGAAUCUGAGGAUCAGUCCCGGGGUCCCGCUAAGCUGUAGACCAUUGUCAGACGAUUGGAGUUGGUGAGCCUCCCUUAUUUCGGAAGGCCUUAUCUCAUGAUUUCAUUGUUUUUAGUUCAUAGUCUGAUAAGGGAAUUUGUCCCGAUCUUCAAACAGAUGUUGUUUUCUUUCAGUUAGUAAAGAUUUCACAGACAGGUGUUAGAUGGAUUUGGAUCUUGUUGAAAUUAUAACUUUAUGGUUUUGUUGAAAUUGGAUAACCAUGAUACCAUUUUAUUUUCCGCAUUUCCUUAUUGUUUAUGAAUUGUGUAUGUGAUUGUCAGUAGAGAAGGGCUCUUGGGCCUUCAUGGUUCAGGAUAUUCAUUGUGUCCUAGGCCUCGGUUCGGGUAAUGACAAAUCUUCAAUAGACUUCUUGAUUGACAAAUUGGAGUUGUACAAGAAUCCUACAUUUCCUAUCUCUUACAAAAUAUGUAAAAUGAAAAUCAGGUAAAAUUGUUCAAGAAUUCUACUGAAGAUUACUGAAACUUUCUCUAUUGAAGGUAAAUUCAUAUUCAAAAAAAAGAGUGUAUUCUGAAAAGUGGAAAAUUACUAUCAACUAUGUUUUCAGCAGCAACUCUAAUUCGUAAUCUGUUUUUGUUAUAUUUAUUCAUUUACGUUGGUUCCACUGCAGGCUAAUGCUAAAAUUCUUUGUCUUGAUUUUUCAAAGAAUCAUGUGGUUUCUUCGAAUUUAUUGGAUGUUCGAUAAUAGAAUGAUUGACCAUUGAUCUGUGAGAGUGAGCCGAUACUUUUGAAUUUUGAAACUAAAAAUAAUUAACUGCCUAAAUAAUAAAAUUUUCAUUCACAUUGAAUAAAAUGUUCAAAAAGAUUUUCUCAUGAAUUUUCUGUACUUACAGAAUUAAGAAGUUGUUGAGUUAUUGAUUAGGUAAGAAGAGUUUUAGCAACUUCAGAAAAAUAUUGAUGGAAUUUGCAGGAAUGGUUUAUCAGUGUGCAUUUUUUUCUUUUCAUAAAGUAGUUAUUUUAAGAGUCAUCCAUCAAGAAGUUAAUAUUUUUAGGUUAUAUGAUAUUUCUUAUAUUUAUGUGACCAUGUAUGAAAUUUAAUAGUUAUGUGAGUAUGUUCAAGGUCUUCAAGUUAGCAACAUUUCAUAGUUAAUUUUUUUGAGUUGAUUGCAAUUUUCAAUUGAAUGAGCAAACACCAUUAUAUUGUAUAUAUUAUUGUAUUUGACUUUAGAGUUUAUCAUAUGCUUAUGUCUUCGUAUUUUCAGGUUUCAAAGAAAAGCAUACUCAUUCUUUACUGAUGGAUUAUUCAUCAUUCAUCAUCAAUAGAAUGAAUUAUAGGUGCCAAUAUUUUUAUAGUAUCUAGCGUAUAAAAAAAAAUCAUUCAAUUGGAACACAUUUUCUAAACUAAGAUUUAAUGGUCUUUUGAUGGUGAUAAUUCUUUACAAUUUAUUAGUCAAUGCAGCGUAAUAAGACUUUACUAAUAGGUACUUUUCACUAAGAGUACCUAUGUGCUUCCGACCCAUGACGCAUGUACUCUUCCACCAAGAAUGUCCAGCUUAAAUUUAAUUAGAAUCUCAAAGUUUCUUCACAUAUUUCAGAGGGGGUAUUCUAAUAUCAAUCCAGUAAAUUGUCAAAAAGAAUCCAUCAAUAAAGAUGAUUGACCUGUUCCAGUGGAAAGUUACAAACAGCAAAAUAUUCGAAAAAAUUUCAAAACUGAGGUCAGGGACCAGUGAAAAGUUAUAACACAAAAUAAACUUGAUGUUAUUUUGAAUUUCUUGAUAUCUUUUAUGAAGAGCUUUGCUAAUUUCAUUCUUACUGUGUCAUAUAAGCUUCACUAGAGUUUCUAUAUUUUCAUUCUAAUUUCAAUUUAAACCUACGACUUUAGCAUUUGGUUUGUUGACUAUCGUAUUUUGGCAAUUGGUCUUAAAUUCUUUCAACACAGCUAUGGUGGCCAACUUGAAGACUGGUUUUCUCAGAUUUAUAUAACUGGGAGAAUUAAGUGCAAAAAAGGGUAAUUAUCAAUUGUGUAUUGUUAAAAUUUGUGUAAUGCGCAAAGAGAUGCUUUUGCUUUGUCACAUACAUGUAUUGCACCUAUGUAUUGCUUUCAUGUUGGAUCUGCCAAUCACUAUGAAGAAUUAUUCGUAGACCUUGAUUACGACUAGAGAUCUUUUUCAUUUAUUAUUCCCGUUAUGUAAUAUUGAUUUAAAUUAACUAUUGAAGUUGUUUCAUAACUUGUUCUUUUUAAUGAGCUUGAUGAUUCUGUUUUUUCAUGAGCUAUUCUUUUUUAUGUACUUAUUCUAUCAUUUAUUAUUUUUAAAUCUUCUUCUAUGUCUAUAUUUUUGUAACUAUAAUCAUUAUUAUCAAUUGUUUUUACAAAUUGUUCAAAAGGACUUUCUAUUUCGAUUUUAUUAAUUUUAUUUUUCCUGUUGUUUUAUGUUUUGUUGUUAAUACAUAUAGAUUUUUACAUCUUGCUGUAAAUAUUUUACUUCCUGGGGUUAGUUCUAUUCCUGACACUUGCAAUAUAAUACUAAUGAUUUAUCUAUAUUUUUAUCUAUUAUUACUACUGAAUAAUUCGCACUUAUUAUAAAUUUAAAUUUUUGGUAUAUUAAAUUUCCUUUUAUAGCAGUUAUUAUACUUUUUUUCUAUAGGUUUUAUAUUUCUAUCAUCUGCUAAAUAUAAUUCUAUUGGUGUAUCUAUUCCUUCUCUAAAACAUGCUUUUAUCAAUAUCUUUGUUCCUCCAAGGUGUACAUAUUUUAUUGGGUCUUUACUUUUUAUAUCGUUUAUUUCUUUAUUAAUUAUUCCUUUUGUUACUAGUGGUAUACUAGCUCUUCCUUUUGCAUAUCUACAGUCUAUUACCUGUUUAUUUUGGCUUACUACGUAGUAUUCUUCCUUUUUUCUACUAAAUAUAUUUUUUACUGUUGGUAUUUUAAAUAUUUUUUGUACACUUAGACCUAACUCUUUUCCUUUUAUUUCAUCACAUAUAUGACUAUCAAAUAUUAUUUUUUGAUCUGUUCCUUCUUCAUUUAAAUAUUCUUUCUUUGUUAUUAUUUUAUAUCUUCUUCAGUUAUUUGGUUCAUAUUUAUAUCUUCUUCAGUCAUUUGAUUCAUCUAAUUCACUAUCUAUUUCAUUAUCUGUUUCAUUCUUCGAAAUUGUAUAUAUACUAUCUUCACUUUCUAAUUCAUAAUCUAUAUAAUCUAUCUGCAUAUAUUCUGUAUUUUCUAUUUUCAUUUAUGAUAUUUGUUUCUUUUUUUGGAUUUUUUGGUAAUUUACAAUCUCUAGCUAAAUUUCUAGUUUUUCACAAUUUAACAAGUACAUUCUUUUAUAGAUUUUUUUUUCCUAUAUGAUCUUUUAUGUUUAUAAUUUUUUACAAAAUAUCUUUUUCUUGGUUUCUUAUAUUUAUAUUUUGAUUUUUUGUAUUUCUUAUAUUUCUUAUGUUUUUUUCUUUUCUUAUAAUAUCUUUCUUCACAUCCAAAUUGAGGUGCUAUUUUAUCUUUGCAACAUUCUAAAUUUCUUAUUAAUGUUUUUUCCAUUUUUAUUUCUUCUCUAUAUUUUUCACAUAGAUUCCUAUACCAUUGUUGGAAAAAAUUUACUCUUGCUCCUAGGGUAUCUACUGUUUUUGCUUCAUCCCAACUCUUUAUUAUUUUUUAUCUAAAUGGUUCAGGUAAUUUACUAAAAUAUAAUCUUCUUAUUUCUUUAUUUUCUUCUAUAUUAUAUGUUCCUUUAUAAUUAUAUUCUUUAAAUGCGCACGUAUACUCAUCUAUAAAGCACAUAUUACAUAUUGCUAGUUUUAGCAUUAAAUUUCUAUUUAUAUCUUUUUCUUUAUUUUGCUCUUCUUCUUCUGUUGUUACACUGUUAAAUUCAUCUCUUAUAGCUGUUUCAUAUUUUUUCAAUAUUUCUGUUGGUAGUAUUUUAGUAGUUGUUGAUGUUCCUUCUGUUUUAUUAUCAGAUCUUAAUAUUUUUUACUUGCUUCGGCUAGGUUUAAAAACCAUAAUUUUACUGUUCCUAUUAAUAUCUUUUCUAUAUAUUCUGGUGUGUUUGUUGUAUCUAUUUUAUUAUCUAAUAAUUAUUUUGACAUAUAUCCUACCCAUAGUUGUAUUGUUUUAUUUGUGUCUAUUACAGAGUCUAAAUCUAAAAAGUUGUAAUUAAUUAUUUAUUUUGGUGUCCAUUUAUUAUAUUAUCCUUUGGAUUAUAUCUUUUAAACUUACUUUUGUAAUUAUAUGUUGGUUUUCUUAUUUCUGAUGUACUAGGUAUUAUAUUUUUAUCUAGAGUAUUUACUUCUGUAUUUAUUAGUUCUAGAUUUUCUUUGUUAAUUACUUCUUGUUCUUCAUUAAUUUCUACUUUUCCUAUGUUUUCUAGAAUUUCUAUGUAUGUUUCACUAUCUUUCGAAUCAAAAUUAUCUAUUUCUUCAACAUCUAUUACAUUUAUUUCUAAUUCACUAGUUUCUGGUUCUUUAUUUUUUAUUUUUUAUUUUUCUUUAAAUUGAUUUAUCUCGUUUAAUAAUUUUUGUUCUUUAUCUUUUUCUUCUUUUUCUUUCUAUCUCUUUUCACAUAAAUCUUUUAGCAUUUGUAGUUCUUUUUCUAAUUCAGCAAUCCUACUAAUUUUAGUUUCUUCUAUUUUCCGUAUUUAUUCUGUGGUUUGUUGUUUUUAUUUUAUCUAUUUCCUUUUUUCUGUCUAUCUCUUCAUUUUCUCUUUCUAUUCUUACCAUGGCUGCCAACUUAUCUUGUAAUUUUAAUUCUUCUUUAUCUAACAUUAAAUAUAAAUGUUCACUUAUUUUCUUAUAUCUUCUUCUUAAAUUAGAGAAUACUAUUUUUAUUUUUAAUCCUUCGUGAUUUUCAUAUGUUUUUUCAUCUAUUAUAAAUUCAUCUUUGUUCAUUUUAUUUAAAUGUAUAUAGGUUAUGUUGGUAUAUAUAUUCUAGACUAUCUAUUGUUGAUUCUAAAUUUGAUAUGUCUUCCUUUUGUGCAUUUAUUGAAUUUUUACUAACUCCGACAAUUAUGUUAUACCGUAGUCUUUCUAUCCUUAUUUUUAAUUCUUUACAUUUUUCAGAUAUUAUUUGUUUUAAUUCUUCAUAUUUUUGUAAUUUAUGUAUAUUAUUCAUCUAAACAAUAUUUAUAAUAUGUUGGUGGAUAUCUAAAUCUAAUUUUAUCAUAAUUAAUAAAUUAAUGAAAUAAAACCAAAUACAUACUACUUCUGAUAACUUUAAACAACGUAAGCUCUGAUAACAAUCACUUUAUAGACCUUACCUUUAAUUCUUGGUAACACAUUUCAAACAAUUAUCUCUAUUGUCUAACAAAAAAUACUUGGUUGAUAGCAUAAAUUUAACUGCCCAAUAAAGUUAUAAUUACAACGAUUAUCUUUAUGCAAGUCAGCAAAAAGGUGAAAUUCAAAAAUAAAAGUAUAGUACCUGUAUUCCAUAUUAUACACUUAGAAGUAACCCCAUUACACUCUAAAAAUAUGUAUACUAUGUGGUAAGAGAAACUCACAACAGAAAGGCAACAUGACAAUCAAAGAAGUAAAACAAAGGAUCUAUACACUUUUAGUAGCAAAACAUUAUCAACAGUACAAGAGAGUUCACGCGUUGCCUGCAUGCUUUACGUUAUCAAACUUCUCUUUGAUAAAACAUCAAUUAUCAUCCUUUAAAAGUACAAACAAAAUGGUCUUACCACCUAACAUUUUGCGCCGCAGCAUAUUGUGGAGUGUCGUCUGUUCAUAAAGCACACACCUUAUUUGUCAACAAACACUAUCGAAAAUUGGACUUAGCAACCACACUGGUAGAGGUUCCAAAUUUCUGCCGGAUUCCUAGUUUCCUACUUUGUCUUGUUGGCAAAUAUCGAAGAUUUCACAUGACAUUUUUAUUAAUUUGAUUUAUUUCGUACCUUUCGUUCAAUGAGAAAAUAGGUCAAGCUUAAUAAUUAUAAACAUGAAUGACAAGUAUAUGAAUAAAUAAAGUAAAAAAAAUGAUAAAGUGAAAUAUAUCUUAUAUUUUGAAGGUAGGAUUAUGUAUCUCAAACGAAUAAGAACAACAACAAUAAAUUUAGUAUAAUUUCAUUAGCGGAACAUGUAGAAGAUGGUGUGUACACAACCUUAUUCCUACUUUGUGAGGGUAGAGAGGUUAUAAGAAUUUAUCAAUAUUUUCUUUUGAAUAUCAAAAUCAAAAUUGAAAUUUAGAACUUAUAACAUAAUGCUCCAUUUUCUUAGCAUCUAGGUAGGAAGUGUUUCAAGAAACUAAUGCCAGAAUUUCUUAGCAUUAUUCAAGCAGGGUGAAUCUCAAAAAUAGACCCAAAGUGGGGUGACUUUCAAAUUUUAGCCUCAAAUAAAAAAGCUUCUUUAAAAUAGCCUUUACCUAUUAAUUAAUAUUUUUUUGAAUAAAAUUGCCCUUGACCAAUGGAGUAAAUUACAUAAACGAUCCUCAUAAUGGAUAACAACUUCAUAUUUGUAUCUUUCAACUUUUAUUUUUUUCUUUUUAAUUUUACUUUGAUUUUUAUUUUUUCUUUUCUCUUUUUAUUUAUAAUUUUCUCAACCCUUACUUUUUCCCUCUCAACUUCUUUUUUUUUUCUUUUUUCUUUUAUAUUAUUUUGAUUUUUUAUUUUUUCUUUCCUCUUUUUUUUUUUGUUCUUUUUAGUUUUUCUCAACCCUUACUUUUUUUUCUUUACACCUCUCUACAUAAACUUUUAUAAAUAAAAAACUUCUUUUUAUUUUUCUUUGAUUUUUAUUUUUUCUUUUCCGUUUUUCUUUUUAAAUUUUUCUCGACCUUUAUUUUUAUUUAAUCUUUUUUUUUAUUUUUAUCAACCUUUAUUUUUCCUAUUCUCUCUCAACUUCUGCAUUUUCUUUGAUUUUUAUUUUAUUAAUAUUUUUCUUCUUUUUCCGCAAUUUUUAUUAUUUUUGUUCUUUUCUUCGAUUUCUUCCAUUCAAGUUAUAUCUCAUGAGCAAGAAUUGACACUAUCACAUUAUAAAGGCAAGACUUAUGACUUUCGAACCACAAGAUACAUUUCAUGGGCAAGAGUUGACACGACUACAUUGUAGAGGCAAGAUUUAUGACUUUCAAACAAGUUAUGUUUCAUGGACAAGAGUUAAUAAUAUCACGUUGUAUUUUGAUUUAUGAGAUGUUUUAUAACUCUUACCUUAGAGGCAAGACUUAGCUCAAGGACUUCCAAAAAAUAAAUUAUGUCCCACGGGCAAGAGUUAACUCUACCACAUUAUAUUUUCAUUUAUGAGAUAUUCUACAACUAUUGCCUUAAAGGCAAAACUUAGCUCAAGGACUUCCAAAAAAUAAAUUAUGUCCCACGGGCAAGAGUUAACUCUACCACAUUAUAUUUUCAUUUAUGAGAUAUUCUACAACUAUUGCCUUAAAGGCAAAACUUAGCUCAAGGACUUCCAAAAAAUAAAUUAUGUCCCACAGGCAAGAGUUGACUCUACCACGUUAUGUUUUCAUUUAUGAGAUGUUCUACAAUUUAUUGUCUUAGAGGCCAGACUUAGCUCAAGGACUUUCAAAAAAUAAAUUAUGCCCCACGGGCAAGAAUUGACUCUAUCACGUUAUAUAUUUUCAUUUAUGAGAUAUUCUACAACUAUUGCCUUAAAGGCAAAACUUAGCUCAAGGACUUCUAAAAAAUAAAUUAUGUCCCACAGGCAAGAGUUGACUCUGCCACGUUAUAUUUUCAUUUAUGAGAUGUUCUAAAACUAUUGUCUUAGAGGCAAAACUUAGCUCAAAGACUUUCAAACAACAAAUUAUGUCCCACGGGCAAGAGUUGACUCUACCACGCAAUAUUUUCAUUUAUGAGAUGUUCUACAACUAUUGUCUUAAGAGGCAAGACUUAGCCCAAGGACUUUCAAACAAUAAAUUAUGCCCCACGGGCAAGAGUUAACUCUACCACAUUAUAUUUUCAUUUAUGAUAUGUUCUACAACUAUUACCUUAGAGGCAAGACUUAGCUCAAGGACUUUCAAACAAUAAAUAUGCCCCACGGGCAAGAGUUGACUCUACCACAUUAUGUUUUCAUUUAUGAGAUGUUCUACAACUACUUUCUUAGAGGCAAGACUUAUCUAAAGGACUUUCAAACUACAAAUUAUGCCCCAAGGGCAAAAGUUAACUCUAUCACGUUAUGUUUUUCAUUUAUGAUAUGUUCUACAACUAUUGGCUUAGAGGCAAGACUUGGCUUAAGGACUUUCAAACUACAAAUUAUACCCCAUGGGCAAAAGUUGACUUUACCAUGUUAUGUUUUUAUUUAUGAGAUGUUCUACAACUAUUACCUUAGAGGCAAGACUUAGCUCAAGGACUUUCAAACAACAAAUUAUGCCCCACAAGCAAGAAUUGACUCUACCAUGCACGUUAUAUUUUCAUGCCCUUAAAUUUUCUUUGAUGUCAAAAUAAGAAGAUCCCUUUGCGGAUUAUUCAAUUUUUUAUUUAUUAGCAAAAUAAAAUAGAAGUUGAGAAAAAAGAAAAAGUGAUCAAACAAAAUAAAGAAAUAAAAAAAAUGAUUGAGAAAAAAAGGCAAAAAAAAAUAAAGAUUAAGAAAAAAGCGAAGAGUUGAAAAAAUUGAGAAAAAUAAAAAUGAGAGGAAAAAAUUAAAAUAAAAUUUGAGAAAAAUGAGGUGGAAAAAAGAGAAAUAAUAAAAACCAAAAAUAAAAAUUGAGAAAAAUGAAUUAAAAAAAUAAAUAAAUAGACAAUGUUUAAGAAAAAAGAAAAAAAGAGAAGAAAUGUUGAGACAAAUGAAUUAAAACAUAAAAAAAAAUUAAAGAAAAAAAAGUAAAAAUAAUAAAAAUAAAAAUAGAAUUUGGAAGACAAAUGAGUAUGAAAAGUUAAAAAAUAUUUGAGGUGUAGAGGAUAAAAUUGUACAUGUACUAUACUAAAAAGGGGAAAAAUAGAUAUGCUUGAGAAUAAAAGAAAAAAGUGGAAAAAAUAAAGGUUGAGAUAAAUAAAUUAGUAAUAAAAAUAAAAAUAAAAAAGUAAUAAUAAUAAAAAAUAGAACAUAAGAGACAAAUGAGUAUGUAAAGUUUAAAAAUAUUUGAGGUGUAGGGGGGGUAUUUGAGAAAAAUCAGGAAAAAAAAAGAGAAAUAAUAAAAACCAAAAAUAAAGGUUAAAGAAAAAUGAAUUAAAAAAAAAGAAGAAAUAGAUAAUGCUUGAAAAAAAAUGAGAGAAAAAAAUAAAGGUUGAGACAAAUGAAUUAAAACAUUAAAAUAAAAAAAGUGAAAAUAAUAAAAAAUAGAAUUUUAGAAACAAAUGAGUAUGCAAAGUUUAAAAAUAUAUUUGAGGUGUCGGGCAAAAUUGUAUUUGUACAACACUUAAAAAGGAAGGAAGACUAGUUUUCAAAAAUUUUCUUAUUAGGGUCAAAAAUCUAAACUCACCCACAUUUGGGUUUAUGACAUAUAAUUUCCUGAUUCAAGUAGGAAUAUCACCUGUUAUUGUCUAGUAUAGACCCUAAUCUUCUACUUCUUUCGGCCUAGAAGCUUGAUAUAUAUUUCCUGUGAAGUUAAGAAGAAAGACUCCUAAUGUCAAUUGGAUAUUAACACAAACAAUGUUACAUGCAACUAUAUCAUUAGUAUGAUAUGCAAAUAUGCUUAAUGUCUAUUGCAAAAAUUGUGUCAAAUACAACUUUAAAUCCAACUUCAAUUUAGAAAAAUUUUAAAUUAAGUGAUUGUUUUUUACUUUUAUGGUCAAACACUCACAAAUAACUAAAUGGUUGUUUUAUGCAGAGUUUGUAUAACCCCUCUCAUGAUCCAUCUGGUUAAACUACUAUUCAAGAAACUUGAACGACUCUUACAAUGACAAAUAUACUAUCACAAAUAACAGGGAGUCAUUAACACAAAAGACUUGCCUCAAACAGCCAUAAAAUUCUUAAACAUUAUAUUGUUGUAUGUAUCCACUAAGCACAAUCUUGUUAAGUUUUACCUUUUUUAGUUGAAACAAUAACAUGAUCAACAUAUCCACAUAUAACAGUGUACCUUUGUAACACAGGGGUCUCUUAGUUUAUUGAUAUAUACUCCACCUCAUUCUACUGGUCUUCUCAUCAUUAAAAUAGAGUAUGAUCAUCUAAAAUUACAAUAGUAAAUCACAUCAACCUUGAUAUAAUAUAAAUUUUUUGCAUUCAUAGACAUAAUCAAAAUUUCAUAUAUUAAAGAAUAUGAAUCAAGAAGCAAAUAUGAGAUCUUUUUUGGAUCAUACUAACUAAUAAUAAAAUUAAUAAGGAAAAUUAUAGAUAUAGAUAUAUAUAAUUGUAUCAGCUUGAGCAAUUAGGGAUCGAAAGAAACACUCAAAGGUGCACAUUUGGUUACUAGUUCAUUCACAAGCAUUCACAUCACUGUCCUAACUUUUUUAUUAAGAGGACAACUAACAAAUUACUAUAUUAACAUAAUAUUCAUUCAUAGUGGCCAGAUGGACUGUUCCAGAAACAAAGAGCCCUAAAAAACUCAGAAAGAAAAAAAUCAAUAUAGAAACUACAACUUCAAAACAAAUUUUCAUAUGCCUGUAAGCAAUAAUAGAAGAAUGUAUACAUACACAACAAAAAUUAAAAUCAGUCUAUCAAAAAUAAAAUAAAAUCCUACUUUGUAAUCAAAAGUGAUUUUCUUUCUUACUCUUAAUAUCAAACUCAUAACCUUCAUUGCUGAAGGAAAUCUUGAAAAUGGAGAGGAGAGAAGAGACUUUGAGCUGCUGCCUAUUUUUUGCUGCUUCAAUUAUAUAGAUUUCUAAAUGACCUUUUGUAUGACUUAUCAUCGAUAAUUGUCAAUAAUUAAGCAGUUAUAUAUAUCCUUCCAAAUGCAUGAAUGAAUGUUUACCCGUGUAAUUAUGCAUUAUUUAAUCAAAAUUUAAUCGAGCAUUUGAAGAUUUUCUUUAAGCAGAUAAGACGAUUCAUUAACAACGUUCUCAGCUAGUUUCUACAACAAAUGAACUAAUGCAUUCACAUGAUAAGAGUAACGUUUUUUCAUUAGAAUUGCUAAUUCAUUACACUUGAAUUGAAAGGUUACAAUUUUGAAUGUAGAAAAAAUAAAUGCUCAAGCUUACAUGCUUCAUCUGCACGGAAGCCCAAAGGACCUAAUAAAAGCUGAGAAUUUCAGCAAGUUCACAUUAAUAUUUCUCUAAUUUAACAUCCUUUUUAGAGAUAAACAUCUAGUUUUCCUGAACUAUGAUCAAAUUUACUACGACACACUUUUAAUUUCACAGGGACUCUACUACCUUCCUAAAUUAAAUUUUAGUAUAUUUUUGUCAAUCUUUUAAGCUGACAUAGGACAGAACAGUCCUUUACACGUCUCAGGUGUGUGGGUCCAUCCCAUGUUUUAAUUUUUCCUCAUUGGCUGCAAGGGUGGAAAAGUUGUCAAGAUAAAUGUCAAACAACAAGAUUUUCUAGUUAGGAGAAAUGGGUCAUUAAAUGUGUUCGCUAUAAACACUUUGAAAUAUUAUUUUUCAGCAAUGUCAUUGCUGACAUCGAUAGGGGGAAAUUUUUCCUAUAAAAAAACUCCUCAGCUCAUUUGUUAGACACACCAAAUAGAGAGAAAAAUAAUAUAUAGAGAGCAGUGAGGUAUUCCACAAACUGUGAUAAAAAAGUUUGUGAAAGAAAAAUUAGAGUAAGCGAUAUUUUAAUAAGGUGAGAGUCAAAAGAGGGUUAUUUUUUUGAGUGUGUAGUAGUCGCUUUGAGUAUUUUACUUGUGAUAUGGGUGUACCAAAAUGUCCAACAAGUUCUACAAGCUGUCCAAUAAGUUCAUGACCAUUCACAAGUAGCCAAGCUCGGGAGUUACACAAACUCCAAGCUAUGUUCAUGAAAAUGGCCGUGUGUGAGUUGGUACUUGAGUCUUCCAAUGGAUUAAAUGUUUUUAAGUGUGAAGAGGAGUCUUGAAGUAUAAUAAACUUACACUCCAAGGCCAUCCCUUGACAAGGGUAGGAUGGUCAUUUGUUAUCUCACUUUGUGGAGUAAUAUAAAUAGAUAGUGUUAGGGUUAUUUUGAGGUAUUUCAUUCAUGAUAUUUUUAAGAACACAAGACUUGUAAUAUUUUGAACUUCUCUCUUCCAUUGUUGAAUCUCAAAACUGAAAUUCCCAAGUGGAGUGACACUUGGGUUGUAUCUUGGCUAGAAACUAGGAUCUUGAGGUCAUUGAGUUCCUCUUGGUCCAAGUAAGAACUUGGUGUUAAUAUUCUUUAGUUUUAGGGUCCUUUCAUGUUGUUAGGAUUCUUAGAUUCUUGAAUAUUGUAUGUCAAGUUACUAUCUUUUACUUUGUAAUCUUGUUGUUUGUGUGGUAACAUAGUGAAGCCGUGUGGGGCCAUUUUCGAUUCACUAUAGUUAUUGCCACUUUGUUGCUCUUGUUAUUAUAUAUUGUAAUCUUUUAAUCUCUAUCAUCUUGUCAUUUUUCUAAACCUUGAAGUCUAAUGAAGCCGUGAGUGUCCUAUUUCAAUUCACUAGCAUUAAUGUUGUUCAUCUUGUUACUCUUGUGUUGGCUUGACUCUCUUGAUACACACUCAUUUUUGUAUCAUUUGGUAUCAAAGAUUGUGGUUGAUUUUAUUCCAACAAAAUCAAUAUCAAAGAUUGUGGUUGAUUUUAUUCCAACAAAAUCAAUCUUGGUCUUGGUAGUUGAAAAAUAUAAAAAAAAAAUUGCUGAAAUAUGAAAAUUCCAGAAAAAAAGAGAAAUCUGUCCAUCUUGUUCUUGGUCAAAAGUUGGUAGUUAGAUCUACAAAAAUUUUAUUUUUCUAGUUUGUUUCUUGUGUUGGUUUCUUUCUCAUCAACACAAAAGGUGUCUAGAUCUAAAGUUGAUCUUAAUGAUAAGUGACUUGUUGUUGUUCUUGAAGUUGGCCGUGUAUUGUGGCUUGUGUUUGGACAUUAGAGUGGCCAUUGUUGGUGUGCUGUUGGUGUGUUCUUAAAGGUGUUGUUUUUGUGCUCAUCUUGAUCUUCUCUUCAACUCAUGUCUUAAAUACUAAAAUGAGUAAAAUAGAUCCAAAAAAAAAAAAUUGAAGGACAAAGUGUAAAGUUGUUUGUGAGAAGACUUAAGCACAUCACUUUCAUGACUUGAUAUCUACUUUUCCACAACUUUUACCACCUUUUAAGGGACCUUAUUUUGUGAGAUUGGUACAAUUCAAGUCUUUCUAUUUGAGAUUGGACUUAAAGAAGACUCAAUACUUAUACUUUUUCCUCCAAAACUAAUUGUCAUCUGCUCCAAAGUGUGUGAAGAUUGAAGCUUCAAAAUUAUAACUAAAAUUGUGUGGGACCGAGACCUAAUACAUGCUUCCACGUCACCUUUCGCCACUGCCAUGUCACUAAUAAGUUCAAAUUUGGAUGUUCUAGUCUCUAAUUUUUUUAUUCUUAGUUUUCUCUAAUUGACUCGAGAACUAAUUCACAAGCUAGUACACUCCUACUAGGUUGUAAAUUAGUCCUUUGAAGCCUUGUAUUCGUGUCAUCAUUUGUUUGUGUGCUUUAUUCAUUUGAAUACUUUGUAAAUCUUGAAUCUAGUCGGAUGAGAAUUCUUUGAGUUUCAAACAAGAAUCCACUCCGGACAAGAGCGUACUCAUACCUUAAAGAUUCACGGGUUACUAGCCAAUCUACAACACUUGUGGAGCUCAAGUGUGAGUAAUGCGAGAGUGAGUGAGGAGAGGUUUUAAACUAACUUGUUUGUUACUUGUGUAGGUGAUACCUUGACAAUGGAAGGAACCACGUAUCAAACCAUGGAUUCUAAUGAAAUGGAGAAUAUGAGGGUCACUCUUGAAGCUAUGACCCGAACUCUUAAAAGGUUAAGUAUGGAAGUGGGAUCCAUAAGGGGGGAAGUGAUGACUAUUAAUGAGAGGUUAGAACAAGUGGAGAGUCAAAGGAACUCUUGCCCUUCUACUCCUCGACAUAUUUUGUCAAGUGGACAUAAUAGAAAUUCCUCCGCUACCGUUACUCCCGAAACAUGGCCUCAAUUGCCAAAUCCUUCACUAGCUCUACUAAAUGUCGCAAGUCAAACCACCCAAAACCCCCUAACCCGAGACUCCAAUAGACCAACCCAUUCCCAAACUCCUCAAGUUCUACAAGAGGAACUUGGACGUCCAAUACCUCCACUAAAUCCAAACCCGCCCUUCCAAGUUCUACUAAACCAAAGACAACCACCUCCACAAAAUCCAAUUCCUCCAAAUCAAGUUUUAAAUGCCCAAAACCAUCUUGUCCACUCUGAGGAAUAUGGUAGAGAGGAUUAUGAAGGGUAUGGAGCCUUUGAUGAUGCUUAUGUGAGGGAGGAGGAGAUAAGAGGGGGAUAUAUGGAUCCAAGAAGAUUUCGAGGUAUGGAGAAAGGGGAAACCGACACCAAGAGAGAGACAUAGGCAUCAAUACCAUCAAAUUAAGCCUACUUGUCUUUAAAGGUGAAAGUGACCUCGAGGUGUAUCUUUCUUGGGAUUCGGCAUGUGAUAAAGUGUUUCAAGUGAAUGAUAUCUCGGAAGAGAAGAAUAGUUUUUAUGCCAUAGCUCACUUUGAAGGCUAUGCUAACACAUGGUGGGAAUACGUCAAACGGUUUGGUAAUGAGUUGAUUGAUAGAAAACCACCACCUUAGUUUCAGUUGAGGUACCUAAUGAGACAAUGGUACCUUCCCAAGAGUUAUCUCCAUGAGUUGCUUGCUAGAUUGUAUAACUUGAGGCAAGGGAAUCAAAGUGAGAUGGUAUAUUAUGAUGAGUUUAAACAACUCAUGUUGAAACUUGAUCAUCUUGAGGAAUAAAUUAGUCAUGACAUCAUUCGGUUCAAGUGUGGGUUGAACAAAGAGAUAUCCACUCAUUUGACACUUCAAAAGUUUGAUAACAUCGAAAGUAUUUUUUAAGCGGCUCUUGAGAUUGAAAGGGAACUUAAAGAGAGGUCGUCGUUCAAAGCAAAGGGACAAUCAAUCUUGGGUUGGGCGAGGGGAAAGGAUAUGGUUCAAUCCUCUUUGGGGUGGCCUAAAAACAGGGACCAACCCGCCACUACAAGGCUGCCCGAGCCUAAAGCAAUCCACAAAUUUCCUCUCUGGUAAGAAGCUCAUAAGUAUCCUAAUCCUAAAGGGUUCCAAUGUUUUAAGUACCAAGGUUAGGGACAUAAAGCCAAUAAAUGUCCAAACUGAUACAAUUUGAUCCUAAGAGAAGGGAGAUUGUAUUACCUUAGUGAGGAGGUCGAUCUUAAAAAAGAAGAGAAUGAGGCCGAGCCUCUGGAUAGAGAGAAAACCAAAAAUGGACCACAUGAUGAUGAUGAUGGUGGUGAAGAUGUUUACCCAUAAGAAGGGGAGUGUGUGGUUCCAAACUUUGUAGUUAGGCACGUCAUGAUUAGUAAGGCAAUAGAUGACUCUAGUCAAAUGGAAAAUCUAUUCCAUACUAAAUGUCGUGUAAAGGGGAGUGUGUGCACUUUGGUGAUAAAUAGCGGUAGUUGUGCAAAUAUUGUUAGUGUUUCUAUGGUAAACUACUUGAAAUUUCCAACUACACUUCAUACUAGCCCUUACAAGUUGCAAUGGUUGAAUGAAUAUGGUGAAUUGAAAGUCAUGAUGCAAAGUGUGAUGCGGUUUAAGGUAGGAAACUGCCAUGAUGAAGUGCUUUAUGGCGUGAUACCAAUGCAAGCGUGUCAUUUGUUGUUAGGAAGACCUUGUCAAUAUGAUAGACCAAACAUGAUGGGAGGUCUAAUCGAUAUACACUUGAGAAAGAUGGCCGAAAGGUCACACUUCAUCCUCCUUUGCCUUCACAAGUAAAUGAGUUGUAUCAAAGGAUGAGAGAAUUGAAAGAAAAGGGGAAGAAAUUUGAAAAUAAAGAAAAGGAAAGGGAACCCAUAGGUGGGGAAGUAGGGGUAUCCGGGGCUGCCUCAACAUCAAAUAAAAAAGAAAAUAUGGUGAUAUUGGUUAGAAAGAAGGAGCUCUUCAUGGAUCAUGAUGAGGACACACCCAUGCUUCUUUUGGUACAUUGUUUUAACACUAACCCCACUAAUUCUUCUAUUUCUCCUUUGAUUUCUUGUGUGUUGCAGGAUUAUGAAAAUGUUUUUCCCAAAGAACUUCCACAAGGGCUGCCCCCGCUUUGGGAAAUUAAAUAUCAAAUAAAUUUUAUGUCGGGCUCAUAAUUGACCAACAAACUGGCUUAUAGAAGUAACCCGACGGAUACCAAGGAAUUAUAAUUCUAGGUUAAGGAACUUAUCAACAAAGGGUACAUCAAGAAGAGUAUGACCCCUUGUGCGGUCCCGGUGCUACUUGUUCCUAAGAAAGAUGGGACUUGGCGUAUGUGUGUUGAUUGCCGAGCCAUCAACAAGAUAAUAGUAAAAUAUUCACCCUAUUCCUAGGCUAGAUGAUAUACUAGAUGAAUUGAAUGGUUCGUGUUUGAUUUCUAAAUUGAUUUGAGGAGUGGCUAUCACCAAAUCCGUAUGAAACCGUGUGAUGAAUGGAAAACCACCUUUAAGACCAAAUUCGGUCUCUAUGAAUGGAUGGUUAUGCCAUUCGGCCUAACAAAUGCUCCAAGUACUUUCAUGAGGCUAAUGAAUCAUGUGAUGAAGCCUUUUGUCAGAAAGUUUAUUGUUGUCUACUUUGAUGAUGUGUUGGUGCAUAGUAGGUCCUUAGAUGAGCAUGUAAAAUAUUUACAAUGUUUGUUUGAUGUCCUUCGAAAGGAGAAGUUAUAUGCUAAUCUAGAAAAGUGUUCUUUUGGUGUCCAAGAAGUUGUAUUUAUCGGUUUUGUGGUGAGCUCAAGAGGGGUCGAAGUGGAUGAAUCUAAAAUUAAUGCUAUAAAAAAUUACCCAACUUCCAAAACCAUAGGUGAAGUGAGAAGCUUUUAUGGGUUGGUUAGUUUCUAUAGACAUUUUGUCAAAGGAUUUAACACCAUUGUCUCCCCCUUGAUCGAAGUGAUUAAAAAGGAUUGGCCUUUCAAGUGGGGAGAUGAACAAGCUAAGGCCUUCGAGGACUUUAAAUCUAUGCUCAUCUCUGACCCUUUGUUACAAUUUUUGAAUUUUGACAAGAGUUUUGAGGUUGAAUGUGAUGCUAGCAAAGUUGGCAUAGGCGCGGUUUUAAUACAAGAAUUAAAGCCUAUUAUCUACUUUAGCGAAAAGCUCAAAGGAGCAUCUCUAAACUACUCUACGUAUGAUUUAGAGUUGUAUGCCUUGAUUACAGCCUUGGCCACUUGGCAACAUUAUUUAUGGCCUAAAGAAUUCAUGAUCUGAACGGACCAUAAGUCUUUGAAAUAUCUUCAAUCAUAAGAUAAGCUUAACAAAAUGCAUAUUGAGUUUCUUGAAAUAUUCCCUUAUGUUAUUCAUUACAAAAAGGGUAAGGACAAUGUGGUUGCCGAUGCUUUGUCUCGAAAACACGUUCUUGUGUCUAUUUUAUCUUCAAAAUUGAUGGGUUUUGAGAGCUUAAAAGAAUUUUAUCUCAAGACCCUCACUUUGUUCCUAUCUAUAGGGAAUGCGAAGAAUGGGGUAGGGCUAGGGGUUCCAAUCCCUAUGCUAAGUUUGACGAUUACUUGUUUAAAGGUAGAUGACUGUGUGUACCCUCUAUCUCUUGGAGAGAGUUGUUUAUAAGGAAAACACACAAUAGCGGUCUAAUGGGUCACUUUAGGGUCGAAAAGAAACUCGGACUAUUGGAGGAGAAAUUCUAUUAGCCAAAAAUGCACAAGGAUGUGGCUAGGAUUUGUGGCCAAUGUGUAGAUUGCAAAGGGGCCAAAUCUUGAAUCCAACCCAUGGGUUGUACACCCCGCCUACCCACCCCUUUAUGUCUUUGUCUUGAUAUAUCUACGGAUUUCGUGCUAGAGUUUCCAAGGAAUAGACGAGGUCGGGAUAGUAUCUUUAUUGUGGUUGAUCAGUUUCUAAGAUAGUACACUUUUUUCCAUGCUCUAAAUGUGAUGAUGCACCUAGUGUAGCCUCUUCAUUUGUUGAUAAUAUUGUCAAGUUGUAUGGCGUUCUGAGGACCAUUGUGAGUGAUAGGGACUCUAAGUUCCUAAGUCACUUUUGGAAGUCCAUGUGGUGUAGGCUUGGUACCAAGUUGUUGUUCUCCACUUCUUUCAACCCAUAAACCGAUGGUCAAACAGAAAUAGUAAAUAGGACUUUGGGUGCUAUGCUGUGUUCCAUGGUUAAGGUAAAAAUGACUUCUUGGGAGGAACACCUACCAUUGAUUGAGUUUGCCUAUAAUCGCGUCAUACACUCAAGUACGGGAAUGACUCCCUUAGAGUGUGUAUACGACCUCAACCCCCUUACUCCUUUGAAUUUAACUCAUUUGACAAGUGAUCUUAUGAUUAGACUAGAUGGAAGAAAGCAAGCACAUUCUAUGAAAAAGUUACAUGAGAAGGUGCAACUUUGACUUGCGCAGAAAAAUCAAGAGAUUGUAAAGCGGGCAAACAAAGGAAGAAAGAAACUCAUUCUUGAACCGGGAGAUUGGGUGUGGGUGAACCUUAGGAAGGAUCGAUUUCCAUAUCAAGGAAGACCAAAUUAAUUCUAAGGGGUGAUGUUCCAUUCCAAGUACUUGAAAUAAUUAAUGAUAAUGCCUACAAGAUUGACCUUCCCCUGGAAUACCAAGUGCGCAACACUUUCAAUGUGUGUGAUCUUUCUCUUGUGGAUGCAUUUGAGGAUGACCAAAUUAUGAAUUUGAAGCCAAAUUCCUCUCAAUAUGGAGAGGAUGAUAUGGGUGUACCAAGCUAUCCAACAAGUUCUACAAUCUUUCCAACAAGUUCACGACCAUUCACACGUAGCCAAGCACGAGAGUUACAAAAACUUCAAGCUAUGUUCAUGAAAAUGGCCGUGUGUGAGUUAGUACUUGAGCCUUCCAAUGGAUUAAAUGUUUUUAAGUGUGAAGAGGAGCCUUAAAGUGUAAUAAACUUACACUCCAAGGCCACCCCUUGACAAGGGUAGGAUGUUCAUUUGUUAUCUCACUUUAUGGAGUAAUAUAAAUAGAUAGUGUUAGGAUUAUUUUGAGGUAGUUCAUUCAUGAUAUUUUGAGAACACAAUACUUGUAAUAUUUGAACUUCUCUCUUUCAUCGGAGAAGCUCAAAACCAAAAUUCCCAAGUGGAGUGACACUUGGGUUGUAUCUUGGCUAGAAACUAGGAUCGUGAGGUCAUUAAGUUUCUCUUGGUCCAAGUAAGAACUUGGUGUUAAUAUUCUUUAGUCUUACGAUCCUUUCACUUUUUUAGGGUUCUUAGAUUCUUGAAUAUUGUAUGUCAAGUUACUAUCUUUCACUUUGUAAUCUUGUUGUGUGUGUAGUAACAUAGUGAAACCGUGUGGGGCCAUUUUCGAUUCACUAUAGUUGUUGCCACUUUGUUGCUCUUGUUAUUGUUAUUGUAAUCUUGUAAUCUCUAUUAUCUUGUCAUUUUUGUAAACCUUGAAGUUUAGUGAAGCCGUGAGUGGCCUAUUUCGAUUCACUAGCAUUAUUGUUGUUCAUCUUGUUACUCUUGUGUUGGCUUGACUCUUUUGAUACACACUUAUUUUUGUAUCAACUUGUGACUAUGGUGUAAAAUUUCUUACUAUUUUAAUAUCAGUUGCUCCUCUUAGGUCAUGAUUUUUUCCUUGGUUAGAAGGUCUCCACGUAAAAUUCUCGGUGUUAUUAUUUUUAUUUAUUUUUCUAUUAUUUUACCACAAAUACUUUUGUUGUUAUUCCGCAUUUAUCGAACAAACUAGAAUCAGAGCAAACGAUUUGCAAUAUCUGUAUUUUUGUAAACAAUGAAAGCUAACACAAGUAGAAUGAUUAUUUUGAAUGACAUUAAUUAUGACAUUUGGAAAGAAAAAAUGAAAGAUCUGUUUUAUGUUAAGAAUUUUUAUCAAUCAGUCUUUGACACCAUAAAAUCGAUGAAGAGUGCAACCUGUUGUAGAAGCAGAUUUAAAAUUUUAGUAGGCAGUAGGUUGAUUAUAAUGUGUUAAAUCAUAUUUCUGAAGAGACACAUGCUCGGUCCCGAUGGAAGCAUCUUGAAAGUUUGUAUGCUCGAAAAACUGAAAAUAAUAAGAUGUUCUUGAUGAAACAAAUGUUAGAGUUAAAAUCCCAUAAUAGUUCUUCAAUGACAGAUCAUCUGAAUAACUUUUAGGGGAUCAUAUUGAACUAGUUAUUUGCUAUGAGAAUUAAGUUUGAAGAAGAAAUUCAAGGCUUGCCUACUUGGUUUCCUAUCAGACUCAUGGAAAACAUUAGAACUUCAUUAUCAAAUUCUGUUUUUGAUGGCAUGAUCUCUAUGGAUUUUGCCAAGAGCAGCAUUCCUAAUGAAGAGAUGAUAUGAAAGUCUCAAGAUUCAUCUUUGUUCGAUGUCUUGAUAACUGGCGCCAGGGUAGAAAUAGGAAUCUUGGUUCUUAAAAUAGAGAAUACUAUAGAAGCAAAUCUAGAGGAAAAUUUAAAGAUAUUGAGUGUUAUCAUUAUGGGUUAAAAAGGCAGAUAAAGAAAUUUUGUCAAAAGUUGAAGAGAUAAGAAGGAAAAGAAAGAAGACAACAAUGAAAAUUGCAUAACCACCGUCACCACUGAAGAUCUUGGUACUGUCCUUGAUGCAAAUCUAAUAAAUAGUGCUUGUGAUAAGUCAAGUUAGGUUGUGGAUUUUGGUGCCACAUCUCACGUAAUAUUAAGGAAGGAUUUUUUUCUCAUCUUAUAAUUCAAGUGACUUUAGAACCUUGAGUAAUGGCAAUGAGACUGUUUCUAAAGUGAUUGGUAUUGAUUCAAUUUUCUUAGAAACUAGUACUAGAUCUAAACUAGUUUUAAACAAUGUAAAACAUAAACCUGGUGUUCAUUUGCACUUGAUUUCUAUUGUUGUGCUGGAUGAUGAGGGAUAUAUUAGUACCAAUGGUAGUGGAAAAUAGAAACUCAUUAAGGGUUCUUUGGUUGUGUCUCGUGGUGACAAGCAUCAUGGUCUAUACUAGACUACGACUUCUACUUGAGCUAACAUGGUGAAUAUAGCUACAAGAGCUAGCUUUUCAAUAUUAUGACAUAAGAGGCUUAGCCACAUCAGUGAGAAAAUACUUAAUGUUCUGUCCAAGAAAAAAUUACUGUCAAAUUUUAAAAGUUCUAAAUUAAAAAAUUAUGAGCACUGCUUGACAGGAAAAUAGUGAAUCUAUUUCAUACGUCAGAUAUCCGCACCCCCCUACAAUUGGUAUCAAAGCCUAGUAAUUCAAAAAAUACGGAAGUGAGAUAUAUGUUAGAGUUAUUAAAAUUUACCUAUAAAUUAUUAAAUUAAUUAUGCGAAGACCAUUUAAAAAUAGAGAAGCUUUUAGAAAAAUUAAAGAAUCUUUAAUUAGUAAUUAUUCAGAAUAUAUAAGUCUAAAUAAAACAAAAGAAAAUCCACAAAAACUAGCCUAUUUAAUUACAUUAAUAUCUAGUAUUGAAUCAAAAUUAAUAACACAUUUAAAAUCUAGAAGAAUGAAACAUAUACCACCUAAUUAUGAUAAAAUUAGAUUUAGAUAUCCACCAAGAUAUUAUAAAUAUAAUUUAAAAUGAAUAAAAUACAACAAUAUAAAGAAUUAAAACAAAUUAUCUCUGAAAAACGUAAAGAAUUAAAAAUAAGAAUAAAAAGACUACAUUAUAAUAUAUUUGCCGGAGUUAGUAAAAACUCAAUAGAUACACAAAAAGAUGAAAUAUCAAAAUUAGAAUCACAAAUAGAUAGUUUAGAAUAUAUAUAUAUCAACAUGAACUAUUCACAAUAAAAUGAACAAAGAAGAAUUUAUAAUAGAUGAAAAAAUAUAUGAAAACCAAGAAAGAUUAAAAAUAAAAAUAGUAUUUUCUAAUCUAGGACGAAGAUAUAAGAAAAUAGGUGAACAUUUAUAUCUAAUGUUAGAAAAAGAAGAAUUAAAAUUAGAAGAUAAAUUAACAGCAAUGGUAAGAAUAGAAAAAGAAAAUGAAGAGAUAGAUAGGAAAAAAGAAAUAGAAAAAAUAAAACAACAAACUACGGAAGAAAUACGAAAAAUAGAAGAAACCAAAAAUAGUAGAAUUGCUGAAUUAGAAAAAGAAUUACAAAUGUUAAAAGAACUGUAUGAACAAAGACAAAAAGAAAAAGAAGAAAAAGAUAGAGAACAGAAAUUACUAAAUGAGAUAAAUCAAUUUAAGGAAAAAUUAGAAAUAAAAAACGAAGAAUUAGAAAUAAAUAAUAUAGAUAUUGAAGAGACAGAUAAUUAUGAGUCCGAAGAUAGUGAAACAUACACAGAAAUAUUAACAAAUACAAAAAAUUUAGAAAUCAAUGAAGAACAAAAAAUUAAUGAGGAAAACUUAGAAAAUACCCACACAGAAAUAAAUACUCUUGAUAAAAAAGAAAAUGAAAAUAUAAUACCUAAAACAACAGAAAUAAGAAAACCUAUAUACCAUAAGAAUAAGUUUAAAAAAUAUAAUGAAUAUGAUAAAUGGAUACCAAAACAAAUAGUGAAUAAAAAUUAUAACUUUUUAGAUCUAGACUGUGUAAUAGAUACAGAAAAAACAAUACAAUUAUGGAUAGGAUAUAUGACAAAACAAUUAUUAGAUAAUAAUAUAAAUAUAACAGAUGCACCGGAAUAUAUAGAAAAAACACUAAUAGGAUCAGUAAAACUAUGGUUUGCAAAUCUAACCGAAAAUAGCAAAAAAGUAUUAAGAACUAAUAAACCUAUAGAAGGAACAUCAUCGACAACAACUAAACUAACACCUAUAGAAUUAUUAAAAAAAUAUGAAACAGCUAUAAAAGAUGAAUUUGGUAGUACGACAACAAUCGAAGAAGAACAAAAUGAAGAAAAAGAUACAAAUAGAAAUUUAAUGUUAAAAUUAGCAAUAUGUAAUAUGUGUUAUAUAGAUGAAUAUACUUGCGCAUUUAAAGAAUAUUAUUACAAAGGAGCAUAUAGUAUAGAAGAAAGUAAAGAAAUAAGAAAAUUAUAUUUUAAUAAAUUACCCGAGCCAUUUAGUUCGAAAAUAAUAAAAAGUUGGGAAGAAGCAAAAAUAGUAGAUACGUUAGGAGCAAGAAUAAAAUAUUUACAACAAUGGUAUAGAAACUUAUGUGAAAAAUAUAGAGAAGAAUUAAAAAUGGAAAAAACAUUAAUAAGAAAUUUAGCUUGUUGCAAAAAUAAAAUAGCACCCCAAUUUGGAUGCGAAGAAAGAUAUUAUAAGAAAAGAAAAAGACAUAAGAAAUAUAAGAAAUAUAAAAAAUCAAAAUAUAAAUAUAAAAAACCAAGAAAAAGAUACUAUGUAAAAAAUUAUAAACAUAAAAGACCAUAUAGAAAAAAGAAAUCUAUAAAAGAAUGUACUUGUUAUAAUUGUGGAAAGUUAGGACAUUUAGCUAGAGAUUGUAAAUUACCUAAAAAUCCAAAAAAUAAACAAAUAUCAGAAAUAAAAAUAGAAAAUACCGAAUACAUGCAGAUAGAUUAUAUAGAUUAUGAAUUAGAAAGUGAAGAUAGUAUAUAUGAAAUUUCAGAAAACGAAACAGAUAAUGAAAUAGAUAGCGAAAUAGAUGAAUCAAAUGACUGAAGAAGAUAUAAAAAUAAUAACAAAGGAAGAAUAUUUAAAUGAUGAAGGAACGGAACAAAAAAUAAUAUUUGACAGUAAUAUAUUUGAUGAAAUAAAAGGAAAAGAAUUAGAUUUAAGUGUAGACAAAAUAUUUAAAAUACCAACAAUAAAAAAUAUUUUUACUAGGAAAAAAGAUGAAUAUUAUGUAGUAUGCCAAAAAGAACAUGUAAUAGAUUGCAGAUAUGCAAAAGGAAAAGCUAGUAUACCACUAGUAACAAAAAGAAUAAUUAAUAAAGAAAUAAAUGAUAUAAAAAGUAAAGGAGAUCCAAUAAAAUAUGUACACCUUGGAGGUACAGAGAUAUUAAUAAAAGCAUGUUUUAGAGAAGGAAUAGAUACACCAAUAGAAUUAUAUUUAGCAGACGAUAGAAUUAUAAAACCUAUAGAAAAAAGCAUAAUAACUGCCGUAAAAGGAAAUCUAAUAUACCAAAAAUUUAAAUUUAUAAUAAGUGCAAAUUAUUCAGUAGCAGUAACAGAUAGGAAUAUAGAUAAAUCAUUAGUAUUAUAUUGGAAAAUAUCAGGAAUAGAGUUAACCCCAGGAAGUAAAAUAUUUACAGCAAGAUGUAAAAACCUAUAUGUAUUAACAACAAAACAUAAAAUAACAGGAAAAAAUAAGAUUAACAAAAUACAAAUAGAAAGCCCAUUCGAACAAAUAGUAAAAACAAUAGAUUAUAAUGAUUAUACCUAUAGAGACAUAGAUACAGAAGAAAAUUUAGAAAUAGUAAAUGAUAGAAUAAGUACAACGAAAAGAAUAGCUAAUGAAAAGCCAGAAUCAUCAAGCUCAUCAAAAAGAACAAGUUAUGAAACAAACUCAAUAAGUAAUUUAAACCAAUAUUACAUAACGGGAAAAAUAAAUGAAAAAGAAUAUUUAAUACUUUUGAACACAGGACAAGAAGAAAAUUAUAUAGCAAAAUAUCUAGUAAAAAAUGAAGAAAUAAAAACCGACAAUAAUAUAUGCCCAGACUUACCAAGAAGUUUAAUAAAUAAUAAAAAUCUAGCAGAAAAAGAAAUAAUAUUAGGAGUUAGAAAAAUAAAAAUAGAAUUCGAAGUAAAAGAAGAAAUGCAAAAAGCAGAUAUAAUAUUAGGAAUAAAAUGGUUAGAACAAGUAAAACCAUAUAAUAUAGAACAUACACAAUUAACCUUAACAUAUAACCAAGAAAAGUUAUUCUUAAAAAGAGCCUUAACAUGAAAUGAAGAUACAUGUAUUAAUGAAGAUAGUAGUAGAAGGAUAUUACAGUAGAUAUUAUACGCCUAUGAUAGAUACAGGAGCAGAAGCUAAUUUAUGUAGAUAUAAUUGCUUACCAGAAAGCAAAUGGGAUAAACUAAAAACACCAAUAAUAGUUAAAGGAUUUAAUAAUGAAGGAAGCUUAAUUACUUAUAAAGCUAGGAAUGUAAAAAUACAAGUAUGGGAUAAGAUAUUAACAAUAGAAGAAAUUUAUAACUAUGAAUUAACAUCAAAAGAUAUACUUUUAGGAAUGCCAUUUUUAGAUAAAUUAUACCCACAUAUAAUAACUAAAACAGACUGGUGGUUUACAACACCAUGCAAACAAAAAGUAAGAGCAAAAAGAGUUAAUAAUAAAAUAAGAAAGAAAACUGAUUGGAUAAAAGGAAGUGAAAAAAUUACACAAAAGUUAGAAAAUAUAAACAAUACUGAAGAUACAGUAGAACUAGUAGUAUUUUCGAUAAAUAAAACAGAAAUAACUAUAUUUUCAAUAAAUAAAAUAGAAAUAAUUCAGAAAAAAUUAGAACAAUUAUAUAGUGAAGAUCCAUUAAAAGGAUGGGAAAAACACAAAACUACUAUAAAAAUUGAAUUAAUAGAUAAAAAUAGCAUAAUAACCCAGAAACCAUUAACAUAUAAUUUUGACGAUUUAAAAGAAUUUAAAAUGCAUAUAGAUGAAUUAUUAGAAAAACAAUAUAUAUAAAAAAGUAAUAGUAAACAUAAUAGUCCAGCAUUUAUAGUAAAUAAACAUAGUGAACAAAAAAGAGGAAAAAAUAGGAUGGUAAUUGACUAUAGAAAUUUAAAUGCAAAAACUAUAACAUAUAAUUAUCCAAUACCAAAUAAGAUAUUAAAAAUAAGACAAAUACAAGGAUAUAAUUAUUUUAGCAAAUUCGAUUGUAAAUCAGGAUUUUACCACCUAAAGCUAGAAGAAGAAUCUAAAGAAUUAACCGCAUUUACGGUACCACAAGGAUUUUAUGAAUGGAACGUAUUACCAUUUGGAUCGAAGAUUUGGUUCUCCGAUUCAGCUUAAUGCAUUUCGUAAUUCCAGUUGGGAUGAAUGUUCUUAUACUCGUCGCUCUGUCACACAGGUUGAUGCAUGUUUCUUGAGCAAGAAGUAGACUGUGUUUCAAAUCUUCAACUGAAUCUGAAUAUUGAGCAACGUCUACUGCUUGAUCUGAGAUUGUUUGGCUUUGUGGUUUACUUGUAGAAAUUGGAUUUCCUCAAUCUAAUCCCACUCCUCUCCAUGCUGCCAAUACUAUUGUUGUUCAGAUUGCUAUCAAUUCAGUUUAUCAUAAAAGGACCAAACACAUAGAAGUGGACUGUUAUUAAAUCGGAGAAGUUGUAGAUAAGAGAGUCAUUAUUCUUCCACAUGUAACCAAUGAUCUCCAAAUAGCUGAUGUGUUUACAAAGACUAUGGCACAACGUCAUAAGUUUCUGGUAGGCAAAUUGAUGUUUUUUGAUCUACUAACAUCAAUUCGAGGGCAAUCUUAGCAUGAUUGGCUAGAUUCUAAUAGCUUUACAUAUUUAUGUAAUAACUCUAAAUAUUUGUGUAAAAGUCAUGGAUUAAUGUAGCAUAUUUUCAGAGAAAUUACAAUUGAGAAUAGCAGAUAUUUAGGGGUGUAAAUAGCAGAUUUUUAGGCAUGUAAAUCAAAACUCUUGCUAUUGAACGGAAGAAUUCUCCAUUUAAGAGCGUUCAUUCAGCAAACCUGACAUUUUUUAUCAUUUACUCUAUAAUCUAUUUGCAAGUUGCAGAAGAUGAGCCAUCUUCCAGUUUUUUUUGUUAGACAUUGUUAACUCUAAGGUGACUUGCAGAAUAACAGUCACUAACAUGUACAAAUUGUGAAGUUAUUUCCAUCAUUAAAGCGAUUAAAAUAUCAUGUAACCACUAAGUAAAAGUAAAUACAUGGUCAAAUAUGAAGCAGAAUUACAAAAGCUCUUCGAUUUUGGACAGACGAUGGAUGAUAUUUCCCUUUGUAAUUGACUCAUUCUAUUGUAACUGUAGUUCAGGAAUGCAUAUGCAUUAAUCUUUGAUCAGCAUGCACAAAUCUCUAACGAGGAGAGUUUGCUUAGUACAUUAAGAACAACAAACUUCUUUUAUUUUUGUCCGUUUAAACAAGAUAUAGGAGGAGACACUUUCCUUUACAAUCACAGACAGAAUUCAGCAACAUUAUUAAUUUGAGGUAGCUUUCUUCCUGUUGAUAUACUUGCGAUAAACUUCCACAAGUUUCUCAGGCUGAGGAAUGAUAUCCUUUACAACAUUGUCCAUGCAAAAUCUCUCAUCCCAUUCUGCUAGACUAGGCAUCUUGAUUUCAUCUAGUAUCUUCGUUUCAUACACCAUCUCGAUUGUCUUCACCCAUCCCAGUAAACUACCAAGAACAAUGUCAAGGUAACCAAUUCUAUCUCCACCAAAGAAAGAUUUACCUUUGCUGAUCUUGAUAAAAGCUUCCUCCAGCAGCAAAUUCCCUUCAGACAUUUUCUCUUGCACAGCUGCUUUUGCUUCUUUUCCUUCUGCGUUCGUGAAGUCCACUAUCAAUGGAUACCACUGCAACCAUUUUCGUCAGAUUUAAUGGAUAAUUCCAGUACACAAAACUGAUUGAUUUUCAAGAGAAGGGGUUACUGAAGAAGUAACUUUGGUGAAUGUAUUACUACUUGGCCAAACGACUUCUCAAGUAUGGUAAUGUUCAUUUACUGAAAAACAGUUCUAUAAUAUAGUUCAACGACUAUACGUGAAAUUAACCAUAAAUUUUAAAUACUAGUCCAAACAACAUUUCAAGGUUAGUAGUUACAAAUUCAAAUACAACAUUGUAAAGACUCAGAAUUUUGAAACCAUGCCAAUCCCACAACUGGCAUGUUGGAUGGUUAAGAAAAUUUUUAGCUCGAGAGACCAAAUGGGAAGCAUCCAGCACAUAAAUCAUGGAAGAAAAGAAUCAUAAGAAGGAUGUAUAUCCAGAUGAGAGGGGACUUUCCCAGAGUACCAUGGAAAGAUUUGAUGUGCUCCAACUCUGCUAGACCUAAAGCUGUAUUUAUCAUGCGGCUGAAGCUACAAAAUAGGCUGCUUAGAGCUGAUAGACUGAAUAAAUGGGGAAUUCAAGUAGGCACUGUGUGUAUCUUCUGCAAGGCAGCUGAUGAAACAAGAUAUCACAUCUUUGUUGAAUGUGAUUUUGCUACACCAUUAUGGGGCAAGCUUAUGGCCUAGCUACAAAUCCACUAAAGGACACUUGAUGUCAAUUCUUGGGAGCUUCUGAUCAAGUACACUAGAGGGCAAAAAAGACAGCCAAAAUACUCAAGUUGAUGUAUGCUGAGUAUAUUCAUGCAGAUUGGAUGAAGAUAAAUGCCAAAAUCUUUACACAAAAUGGAAGACCGGUUGAUGCACAAGCCAGAGAUAGCCUGAUUUUGUCAUGUUCGAGCUGAUUGUGCCCUAAAUCUUUUUCUUCAGCAGUUCAGAUUUUGGUAAGAAAUGAGUUAUAGAGGAUAAGAAGAUAGGAUCUCUUCUUCUUCUUCUUCUUCUUUUUGGAUCAGCAGACAGUGCUGUUCUGACUGGUCUUGUAAAUAUUACUUUUGAUGAUUAAUGAAAGUUAAGUCAUCAAAAAAAAAUAAAAAAAUCAACUACAACAUACCCAGUGUAGUCCCACAAAGUGGGGCCUGAGAAGGGUAUAAUGUAUGCAGACCUUACCCCUACUUCCGAGGUAGAGAGAUUGUUUCUGGUAAGUUACAAUUUAUAGGAUAUGAGAUGGGAUAUGUAAUUAAGUCCUCACCUUUUCAUCUAUAUAGGAUGCCCAAAACCGUGCUAUGGCACGAUCAUAGGGAUCAGAAGGAAGAAUGGAGGGGCCACUCGGCCAAGCUUCAUCGAUGUGCUGCAGGAUAACAAGUGACUCACAGAUGGGCUUUUCGUCAUGGAACAGGACAGGGAUUUUCUUGUAAACAGGGUUGGAUUUGAGGAGCAACUCACUUUUGUUUAACAUAUUUUCUUGUAUAAACUCAGAUUCAAUAGACUUUAUCUUGAGGGCUAUUUCAACCCGGUUCACGUAUGGGCUUGCCCAUACACCUAGAAGCUUUACACUACUUGUUGUCAUGGCUAGCUUCCUCAACAACUAAUAUUGAAGGAAUGACUAAUAAGCAGAAUCCAACACUCCUUUUUUAUGAAUAUAUCAGUCAGCAUAUUUGAUGCUUCUUACACACAAGUACUAUCUAGUAAAUUAUGUUGGUUUGUCCUUGUCACCAAAUAAAGAAUAUUGCAGGUGUGAACAACCAUUGUAAUAAACAAUUCAGUAGGUGUGAAUAAGUUGUCAAUAAUUUCUAUUGAUACAAAUUACCAAGAACAUUUUUUACAUGUUCUACUUUAGUCGUUUUCGGUAUUAAUGUUUCUUUCGAUUACUCAACUUUCUUGAGAUACCAUGAAAGUUAGGAAACAACUGAAUUACCAAGGGAGAAAGAUUAAAAAGUUACUUUGCUUAAAAGGUGUAUACAAGGCCAAGAUUUGUUAAUAUUCAAGUUAAAAGUCUAUUGGAGCUAAUGACUUUGCUUGAUAACGUACACAUCAAUCUUCUCAUGGUCUCAGCAACUCCACAAAGACACUUGAAAUGGAUAGAAUAUUCAACUCUUGAUUCUAGCUUUGUCAUUGGAAUACCAAAUGACCUCUCAAUUGAUUUAGCUUAAAUCUCAAGGCCUAUCAGAAAAUUCUUCUUAAUUUUCGUUUUUUUAAGUUAGUUUUAUCUAAUUGGAGUAAUAGAGUACUACAUUUCUCAGAUGUUGCCGAAAUGUCAUCGGUAUACUAUAGUUUGUACUCUGGCUGGGUGAUAAUUUGAUUUAAAAUACCAAGAAGAUCUUUGGCAUCUUUUUCCUUGUAAAGGCAUCUUAUAGACCACAAAGCUCCAAACAACAUCCUUCUGUAACAUCAGUUUAAUUGUUUUUUUUUGUUUAAUGGUACCAUAAAAUUAGUAUUAUCGUACUCUUAUUUUAAUCCUAUGAUCAUAUUAUAUCAUAUUUUAUACUAUUAAAAGUGGGAAGCUCCAAAAUGCAAAGUUGAAUCAUCAUUUUAUUCCUAUACUAAAUCAUAAUAUUAUAAACAGUUUAAUUAAAAAAAAGUAAAUAAUAAAUAUACAUUUUAAUGAAAAUAAAAUAAAAUAAAUAAGCAUCCAGUAUCCCCUGAACUCUGACUAAAGUUGCUACGACACACUCUUAUUUUACGGGGAUUCUGUUUCCCCUGAACUCAAUUUUAGCAUAUUUUUAUCACUCUUUUGUGCUGAUGUGACACCUUGCAUGAAGUUAAAUACCUUGUUGAGUAAAUGCGGAAUAAUAACAAAAGUAUUUGUGGUAAAAUAAUAGAAAAAUAAAUGAAAAUAAUGAAACCAAGAAUUUUACGUGAAAAUCCUUUUAAAUAAGGAAAAAACCACGGACCAAGAGGAGCAACUAAUAUUAAUAUAGUAAGGAACUUUACACCAUAGUCGAAAGUACAAUACUCAAAGUGACUACACACACUCAAAAGAAAUAACCCUCUUUUGAUGCCCACCUUACUAAAAUAUUGCUCACUCUAUUAUUUUUUAUCACAGUCUGUGAAAUACCUCACUGCUCUCUAUAUAUUAUUUUUCUCUCUGUUUGGUGUGUUUAACAAAUGAACUGAGAAGCUCCUUUUAUAGGAAAAAUUUGCCUCUAUCGAUGUCAGCAAUGACAUCACUGAAAAAUAAUAUUUUAAAGUGUUCAUAGUGAAAACAUUUAAUGACCAAUUUCUACCAACUAGAAAAUCUUGUUGUUUGACAUUUUAUCUUGACAAUUUUUUCACCUUUGCAACCAAUGAGGAAAAUUAAGACAUGGAAUGGACCCCACAAAUCUCCCCCUUCAGUCCCAUGCAUCUGAAGAAGGUAUCCCUGUCUUCUUAAAGAGAGCUCAUAUAGAUAAGUUCUUUGCACAAUUUGAACUUCUAUUUUGGCAUCAUCUUUGUCAGCAUAUCCUGAGAUUUUCACUCUUGUGAAUCUUCUUAACAUGGAAUGAUUCAUUCUCCACUUGCUCACUAAUUCAAUGGUACCUCACAUCAAUGUGUUUUGUUCUUGCAUAGUACAUGAAGUUCUUGUUCAAGUCUAUUGCACUUUGACUGUCACAAUAGACAACGUACUCCAUUUAGUGCAAUUCAAGUUCUUGAAGGAACCGCUUAAGCCAUAUCAUUUUCUUACCAGCUUCAGUAGGUGUAAUAUACUUAGCUUCAGUUGUAGAUAGUGCGACACACUUCUGCAACUUCAACUGCCAUGAUAUAGCUUCGCUUGAAAAUGUAAACAAAAAUUCAGUAGGAGAUUUUAUGUUAUCAAGGUCACCCGCUAUAUUAGCAUAUGUAUAUCUCUUCAAAAUUAGAUCAGAUCUUCCAAAAUACAAAUAAUCAGAUGAGGUUCCUUUUAGGUACCCCAGUAUCUAUUUGACUACUUGUCAGUGCUCCUUUUCUGGAUUUUCAAAAAACCUGUUGGUAACACCAACUGCGUGAGCAAUAUCGAGUCUGGUACAUACCAUUGUUUACAUUAAACUUCCGACUAUGGAGGAAUAUGGAACUUUAGCAAUGCUCUCUUUUUCCUUCUUCGUUAAAGGACAUAUUUUCUUGCUCAACUUUAUAUGACCAGCAAAGGGUGUAUUAACAACCUUAGUGUUCUUCUUAGCAUUCUUCAUCUUGAAUCACUCUAGUACACGUUUAAUGUACUUCUCCUAUGACAAGUAAAGCUUCCUUCAACAGAAAAUUUUUAUGCAAAUACACAGUGAUUUGAAGAAGUCUUCUAGUAGCCUUGCUCCCCUAUGAUAGAUUCAUACUUUUUAUAUCACUGUCUGGGAGCUUAUUUCAGGCCAUAAAGACUCUUCUUAAGUUUGCACACAUAAUGUUUUUUACCUUUUACUUUGAAGCCCUCAGGCGGUUCCAUAUAAAUAUCCUCUUUGAGGUCACCAUAAAGAAAAGUUGUCUUCACAUCCAUCUGCUCAAUCUCUAAAUCAAGACUAGCAGCCAAACCAAGAACUGUAUGAAUAGAGGUCAUUUUGACCAAAACCUUUGACAACCAAUUUAGCUUUGUAUCCAGGCUUCAAGCUGUGUUCUUCAAAUUUUACUUCGACUAUCCACUUAUUAUUCAAAGCUCUCAUUCCCUUAGGCAAUUUCACCAACUCAUAAGUGUAGUUUCUGCAGAGAUUUCAUCUCAUCUUACAUGGCUUCAGUCUAUUGAUCCUAAUGCUCAUCUUCCAUGGCAUCCUCAUAACAUUUAGGCUUUUCCUCGUCAGUGAGUAACAUAUACUCAUUAAAAGAAUAAAUAGAAAAAGAAACCUUUGUAUUGUAGACCUUCUAAGUGAGACAUUUGACUCAUCCAUAGCUUCUUGAACUGGAGCAUCGUCAACAACAAUAUCAUUGUCAUUAUCAACAUCAACAUACUGAUUUGAAAUAUUCUUUUAGGCGUCACCAUGAUUAUCAAGCCCACCAACAUCAUGCUCACUUGUAUGAGAAAUUUAAUCAAUAUUUAUCAUAUCAUUAGAACUUAAAGAUCUAGCUUCUCGUCUUUGUCAAUACCUUCAAUGGUUUGAUUCUCCAUAAAGACAAUGUCACAGCUUCUUACAAGAUACUUCUAAAUUAGAUCAUAUAGCCUAUAACCAAACCCAUCAAGGUUAUAACCAAUAAAGAUGCACUAUCUUAUCUUGGCAUCUAACUUUGACCUCUUAUCUUUGGGCACAUGUACAAAAUUUUUGCAACCCAACACUCUCAAAUGGUCAUAGGAAAUAUCAUUUCCAUACAAAUUUUAUUUGGUAUAUCACUUUACAAAGCAACAAUAGGAAAUAGAUUAAUGACAUGUGCAACGGUCAAUAAAGCCUCACCCCAAAAGUAGCUUUCCAUCUUUUCUUCAAAAAGCAAACAUCUGACUCUUUUCAUUAAGGUCCUGUUCAUCCUUUUCACUAAACCUUCAAACUGUGGAGUAUUAGGAAGAGUCUUAUGAUGUCUGAUACCUUGUUGCUUGCAGUACUGAUCAAAUGGUCCACAAUAUUUACCACCGUUAUCAGUACAAAUACACUUCAAUUUUUUUGUUUCUCUUUCAACUAAAGCCAGAAACUGCUUAAAGAUAUUCAAUACUUGGUCUCUAAUUUUCAAGACAUAGACCCAAAGUUUUCUUGAGCAAUCAUCAAUAAAAGUGACAAAGAAGUCUGUCACCCAAAGUUCUUGUAUUCAUUGGACCGCAUAAAUCUGGGUGCACCAGCUCAAGCAACCCUAUCUUUCUUGAAGGAAGAUGAGACUUAAAAAAUAGAUUCACUAGAUACCUAAUAAAUCUAUUUCAUACGUCAGAUAUCCGCACCCCCCUAUUUAUUUCCCAUUUUAUUUCUGUCUCAUUGAACGUACCUGAUUUACAAUCGAAUUUGCUAAAAUAAUUAUAUCCUUGUAUUUGUCUUAUUUUUAAUAUCUUAUUUGGUAUUGGAUAAUUAUAUGUUAUAAUUUUUGCAUUUAAAUUUCUAUAGUCAAUUACCAUCCUACUUUUUCCUCUUUUUUGUUCACUAUGUUUAUUUACUAUAAAUGCUGGACUAUUAUGUUUACUAUUACUUUUUUGUAUAUAUUGUUUUUCUAAUAAUUCAUCUAUAUGCAUUUUAAAUUCUUUUAAAUCCUCAAAAUUAUAUGUUAAUGGUUUCUGGGUUAUUAUGCUAUUUUUAUCUAUUAAUUCAAUUUUUAUAGUAGUUUUAUGUUUUUCCCAUCCUUUUAAUGGAUCUUCACUAUAUAAUUGUUCUAAUUUUUUCUGAAUUAUUUCUAUUUUAUUUAUUGAAAAUAUAGUUAUUUCUGUUUUAUUUAUCGAAAAUACUACUAGUUCUAUUGUAUCUUCAGUAUUUUUUAUAUUUUCUAACUUUUGUGUAAUUUUUUCACUUCCUUUUAUCCAAUCAGUUUUCUUUCUUAUUUUAUUAUUAACUCUUUUUGCUCUUACUUUUUGUUUACAUGGUGUUGUAAACCACCAGUCUGUUUUGGUUAUUAUAUGUGGGUAUAAUUUAUCUAAAAAUGGCAUUCCUAAAAGUAUAUCUUUUGAUGUUAAUUCAUAAUUAUAAAUUUCUUCUAUUGUUAAUAUCUUAUCCCAUACUUGUAUUUUUACAUUCCUAGCUUUAUAAGUAAUUAAGCUUCCUUCAUUAUUAAAUCCUUUAACUAUUAUUGGUGUUUUUAGUUUAUCCCAUUUGCUUUCUGGUAAGCAAUUAUAUCUACAUAAAUUAGCUUCUGCUCCUGUAUCUAUCAUAGGCGUAUAAUAUCUACUGUAAUAUCCUUCUACUACUAUCUUCAUUAAUACAUAUAUCUUCAUUUCAUGUUAAGGCUCUUUUUAAGAAUAACUUUUCUUGGUUAUAUGUUAAGGUUAAUUGUGUAUGUUCUAUAUUAUAUGGUUUUACUUGUUCUAACCAUUUUAUUCCUAAUAUUAUAUCUGCUUUUUGCAUUUCUUCCUUUACUUCGAAUUCUAUUUUUAUUUUUCUAACUCCUAACAUUAUUUCUUUUUCUGCUAUAUUUUUAUUAUUUAUUAAACUUCUUGGUAAGUCUGGGCAUAUAUUAUUGUCGGUUUUUAUUUCUUCAUUUUUUACUAGAUAUUUUGCUAUAUGAUUUUCUUCUUGUCCUGUAUUCAAAAGUAUUAAAUAUUCUUUUUCAUUUAUUUUUCCCGUUAUGUAAUAUUGGUUUAAAUUACUUAUUGAAUUUGUUUCAUAACUUGUUCUUUUUGAUGAGCUUGAUGAUUCUGGCUUUUCAUUAGCUAUUCUUUUCGUUGUACUUAUUCUAUCAUUUACUAUUUCUAAAUUUUCUUCUGUAUCUAUGUCUCUAUAGGUAUAAUCAUUAUAAUCUAUUGUUUUUACUAUUUGUUCGAAUGGGCUUUCUAUUUGUAUUUUGUUAAUCUUAUUUUUUCCUGUUAUUUUAUGUUUUGUUGUUAAUACAUAUAGAUUUUUACAUCUUGCUGUAAAUAUUUUACUUCCUGGGGUUAAUUCUAUUCCUGAUAUUUUCCAAUAUAAUACUAAUGAUUUAUCUAUAUUCCUAUCUGUUACUGCUACUGAAUAAUUUGCACUUAUUAUAAAUUUAAAUUUUUGGUAUAUUAGAUUUCCUUUUACGGCAGUUAUUAUGCUUUUUUCUAUAGGUUUUAUAAUUCUAUCGUCUGCUAAAUAUAAUUCUAUUGGUGUAUCUAUUCCUUCUCUAAAACAUGCUUUUAUUAAUAUCUCUGUACCUCCAAGGUGUACAUAUUUUAUUGGAUCUCCUUUACUUUUUAUAUCAUUUAUUUCUUUAUUAAUUAUUCUUUUUGUUACUAAUGGUAUACUAGCUUUUCCUUUUGCAUAUCUGCAGUCUAUUACAUGUUCUUUUUGACAUACUACAUAAUAUUCAUCUUUUUUCCUAGUAAAAAUAUUUUUUAUUGUUGGUAUUUUAAAUAUUUUUUCUACACUUAAAUCUAAUUCUUUUCCUUUUAUUUCAUCAAAUAUAUUACUGUCAAAUAUUAUUUUUUGUUCCGUUCCUUCAUCAUUUAAAUAUUCUUCCUUUGUUAUUAUUUUUAUAUCUUCUUCAGUCAUUUGAUUCAUCUAUUUCGCUAUCUAGUUCAUUAUCUGUUUCAUUUUCUGAAAUUUCAUAUAUACUAUCUUCACUUUCUAAUUCAUAAUCUAUAUAAUCUAUCUGCAUGUAUUCGGUAUUUUCUAUUUUUAUUUCUGAUAUUUGUUUAUUUUUUGGAUUUUUAGGUAAUUUACAAUCUCUAGCUAAAUGUCCUAACUUUCCACAAUUAUAACAAGUACAUUCUUUUAUAGAUUUCUUUUUUCUAUAUGGUCUUUUAUGUUUAUAAUUUUUUACAUAGUAUCUUUUUCUUGGUUUUUUAUAUUUAUAUUUUGAUUUUUUAUAUUUCUUAUAUUUCUUAUGUCUUUUUCUUUUCUUAUAAUAUCUUUCUUCGCAUCCAAAUUGGGGUGCUAUUUUAUUUUUGCAACAAGCUAAAUUUCUUAUUAAUGUUUUUUCCAUUUUUAAUUCUUCUCUAUAUUUUUCACAUAAGUUUCUAUACCAUUGUUGUAAAUAUUUUAUUCUUGCUCCUAACGUAUCUACUAUUUUUGCUUCUUCCCAACUUUUUAUUAUUUUCGAACUAAAUGGCUCGGGUAAUUUAUUAAAAUAUAAUUUUCUUAUUUCUUUACUUUCUUCUAUACUAUAUGCUCCUUUGUAAUAAUAUUCUUUAAAUGCGCAAGUAUAUUCAUCUAUAUAACACAUAUUACAUAUUGCUAAUUUUAACAUUAAAUUUCUAUUUGUAUCUUUUUCUUCAUUUUGUUCUUCUUCGAUUGUUGUCGUACUACCAAAUUCAUCUUUUAUAGCUGUUUCAUAUUUUUUUAAUAAUUCUAUAGGUGUUAGUUUAGUUGUUGUCGAUGAUGUUCCUUCUAUAGGUUUAUUAGUUCUUAAUACUUUUUUGCUAUUUUCGGUUAGAUUUGCAAACCAUAGUUUUACUGAUCCUAUUAGUGUUUUUUCUAUAUAUUCCGGUGCAUCUGUUAUAUUUAUAUUAUUAUCUAAUAAUUGUUUUGUCAUAUAUCCUAUCCAUAAUUGUAUUGUUUUUUCUGUAUCUAUUACACAGUCUAGAUCUAAAAAGUUAUAAUUUUUAUUCACUAUUUGUUUUGGUAUCCAUUUAUCAUAUUCAUUAUAUUUUUUAAACUUAUUCUUAUAAUAUAUAGGUUUUCUUAUUUCUGUUGUUUUAGGUAUUAUAUUUUCAUUUUCUUUUUUAUCAAGAGUAUUUAUUUCUGUGUGGGUAUUUUCUAAGUUUUCCUCAUAAAUUUUUUGUUCUUCAUUGAUUUCUAAAUUUUUUGUAUUUGUUAAUAUUUCUGUGUAUGUUUCACUAUCUUCGGACUCAUAAUUAUCUGUCUCUUCAAUAUCUAUAUUAUUUAUUUCUAAUUCUUCAUUUUUUAUUUCUAAUUUUUCCUUAAAUUGAUUUAUCUCAUUUAGUAAUUUCUGUUCUCUAUCUUUUUCUUCUUUUUCUUUUUGUCUUUGUUCAUACAGUUCUUUUAACAUUUGUAAUUCUUUUUCUAAUUCAGCAAUUCUACUAUUUUUGGUUUCUUCUAUUUUUCGUAUUUCUUCCGUAGUUUGUUGUUUUAUUUUUUCUAUUUCUUUUUUCCUAUCUAUCUCUUCAUUUUCUUUUUCUAUUCUUACCAUUGCUGUUAAUUUAUCUUCUAAUUUUAAUUCUUCUUUUUCUAACAUUAGAUAUAAAUGUUCACCUAUUUUCUUAUAUCUUCGUCCUAGAUUAGAAAAUACUAUUUUUAUUUUUGAUCCUUCGUAGUUUUCAUAUAUUUUUUCAUCUAUUAUAAAUUCUUCUUUAUUCAUUUUAUUGUGAAUAGGUCAUGUUGAUAUACAUAUUCUAAACUAUCUAUUUGUGAUUCUAAUUUUGAUAUUUCAUCUUUUUGUGUAUCUAUUGAAUUUUUACUAACUCCGGCAAAUAUAUUAUAAUGUAGUCUUUCUAUUCUUAUUUUUAAUUCUUUACGUUUUUCAGAGAUAAUUUGUCUUAAUUCUUUAUAUUGUUGUAUUUUAUUCAUUUUAAAUUAUAUUUAUAAUAUCUCGGUGGAUAUCUAAAUCUAAUUUUAUCAUAAUUAGGUGGUAUAUGUUUCAUUCUUCUAGAUUUUAAAUGUGUUAUUAAUUUUGAUUCAAUACUAGAUAUUAAUGUAAUUAAGUAGGCUAGUUUUUGUGGAUUUUCUUUUGUUUUAUUUAGACUUAUAUAUUCUGAAUAAUUACUAAUUAAAGAUUCUUUAAUUUUUCUAAAAGCUUCUCUAUUUUUAAAUGGUCUUCGCAUAAUUAAUUAAUUAUAAGUAAAUUGUUUUAACUCUAAAUCUAAUUUUGACUCUAACAUAAUUUUGACUCUAAGGUAACACGUUCCAUUCAUAAAAUCCUUGUGGUACCGUAAAUGCGGUUAAUUCUUUAGAUUCUUCUUCUAGCUUUAGGUGGUAAAAUCCUGAUUUACAAUCAAAUUUGCUAAAAUAAUUAUAUCCUUGGAUUUGUCUUAUUUUUAAUAUCUUAUUUGGUAUCGGAUAAUUAUAUGUUAUAGUUUUUGCAUUUAAAUUUCUAUAGUCAAUAACCAUCCUACUUUUUCCUCUUUUUUGUUCACUAUGUUUAUUUACUAUAAAUGCUGGACUAUUAUGUUUACUAUUACUUUUUUGUAUAUAUUGUUUUUCUAAUAAUUCAUCUAUGUGCAUUUUAAAUUCUUUUAAAUCAUCAAAAUUAUAUGUUAAUGGUUUUUGUGUUAUUAUGCUAUUCUUAUCUAUUAAUUCAAUUUUUAUAGUAGUUUUGUGUUUUUCCCAUCCUUUUAAUGGAUCUUCACUAUAUAAUUGUUCUAAUUUUUUCUGAAUUAUUUCUAUUUUAUUUAUUGAAAAUAUAGUUAUUUCUGUUUUAUUUAUCGAAAAUACUACUAGUUCUACUGUAUCUUCAGUAUUGUUUAUAUUUUCUAACUUUUGUGUAAUUUUUUCACUUCCUUUUAUCCAAUCAGUUUUCUUUCUUAUUUUAUUAUUAACUCUUUUUGCUCUUACUUUUUGUUUGCAUGGUGUUGUAAACCACCAGUCUGUUUUAGUUAUUAUAUGUGGGUAUAAUUUAUCUAAAAAUGGCAUUCCUAAAAGUAUAUCUUUUGAUGUUAAUUCAUAGUUAUAAAUUUCUUCUAUUGUUAAUAUCUUAUCCCAUACUUGUAUUUUUACAUUCCUAGCUUUAUAAGUAAUUAAGCUUCCUUCAUUAUUAAAUCCUUUAACUAUUAUUGGUGUUUUUAGUUUAUCCCAUUUGCUUUCUGGUAAGCAAUUAUAUCUACAUAAAUUAGCUUCUGCUCCUGUAUCUAUCAUAGGCGUAUAAUAUCUACUGUAAUAUCCUUCUACUACUAUCUUCAUUAAUACAUGUAUCUUCAUUUCAUGUUAAGGCUCUUUUUAAGAAUAACUUUUCUUGGUUAUAUGUUAAGGUUAAUUGUGUAUGUUCUAUAUUAUAUGGUUUUACUUGUUCUAACCAUUUUAUUCCUAAUAUUAUAUCUGCUUUUUGCAUUUCUUCUUUUACUUCGAAUUCUAUUUUUAUUUUUCUAACUCCUAAUAUUAUUUCUUUUUCUGCUAGAUUUUUAUUAUUUAUUAAACUUCUUGGUAAGUCUGGGCAUAUAUUAUUGUCGGUUUUUAUUUCUUCAUUUUUUACUAGAUAUUUUGCUAUAUAAUUUUCUUCUUGUCCUGUGUUCAAAAGUAUUAAAUAUUCUUUUUCAUUUAUUUUUCCCGUUAUGUAAUAUUGGUUUAAAUUACUUAUUGAGUUUGUUUCAUAACUUGUUCUUUUUGAUGAGCUUGAUGAUUCUGGCUUUUCAUUAGCUAUUCUUUUCGUUGUACUUAUUCUAUCAUUUACUAUUUCUAAAUUUUCUUCUGUAUCUAUGUCUCUAUAGGUAUAAUCAUUAUAAUCUAUUGUUUUUACUAUUUGUUCGAAUGGGCUUUCUAUUUGUAUUUUGUUAAUCUUAUUUUUUCCUGUUAUUUUAUGUUUUGUUGUUAAUACAUAUAGGUUUUUACAUCUUGCUGUAAAUAUUUUACUUCCUGGGGUUAACUCUAUUCCUGAUAUUUUCCAAUAUAAUACUAAUGAUUUAUCUAUAUUCCUAUCUGUUACUGCUACUGAAUAAUUUGCACUUAUUAUAAAUUUAAAUUUUUGGUAUAUUAGAUUUCCUUUUACGGCAGUUAUUAUGCUUUUUUCUAUAGGUUUUAUAAUUCUAUCGUCUGCUAAAUAUAAUUCUAUUGGUGUAUCUAUUCCUUCUCUAAAACAUGCUUUUAUUAAUAUCUCUGUACCUCCAAGGUGUACAUAUUUUAUUGGAUCUCCUUUACUUUUUAUAUCAUUUAUUUCUUUAUUAAUUAUUCUUUUUGUUACUAGUGGUAUACUAGCUUUUCCUUUUGCAUAUCUGCAAUCUAUUACAUGUUCUUUUUGGCAUACUACAUAAUAUUCAUCUUUUUUCCUAGUAAAAAUAUUUUUUAUUGUUGGUAUUUUAAAUAUUUUGUCUACACUUAAAUCUAAUUCUUUUCCUUUUAUUUCAUCAAAUAUAUUACUGUCAAAUAUUAUUUUUUGUUCCGUUCCUUCAUCAUUUAAAUAUUCUUCCUUUGUUAUUAUUUUUAUAUCUUCUUCAGUCAUUUGAUUCAUCUAUUUCGCUAUCUAUUUCAUUAUCUGUUUCGUUUUCUGAAAUUUCAUAUAUACUAUCUUCACUUUCUAAUUCAUAAUCUAUAUAAUCUAUCUGCAUGUAUUCGGUAUUUUCUAUUUUUAUUUCUGAUAUUUGUUUAUUUUUUGGAUUUUUAGGUAAUUUACAAUCUCUAGCUAAAUGUCCUAACUUUCCACAAUUAUAACAAGUACAUUCUUUUAUAGAUUUCUUUUUUCUAUAUGGUCUUUUAUGUUUAUAAUUUUUUACAUAGUAUCUUUUUCUUGGUUUUUUAUAUUUAUAUUUUGAUUUUUUAUAUUUCUUAUAUUUCUUAUGUCUUUUUCUUUUCUUAUAAUAUCUUUCUUCGCAUCCAAAUUGGGGUGCUAUUUUAUUUUUGCAACAAGCUAAAUUUCUUAUUAAUGUUUUUUCCAUUUUUAAUUCUUCUCUAUAUUUUUCACAUAAGUUUCUAUACCAUUGUUGUAAAUAUUUUAUUCUUGCUCCUAACGUAUCUACUAUUUUUGCUUCUUCCCAACUUUUUAUUAUUUUCGAACUAAAUGGCUCGGGUAAUUUAUUAAAAUAUAAUUUUCUUAUUUCUUUACUUUCUUCUAUACUAUAUGCUCCUUUGUAAUAAUAUUCUUUAAAUGCGCAAGUAUAUUCAUCUAUAUAACACAUAUUACAUAUUGCUAAUUUUAACAUUAAAUUUCUAUUUGUAUCUUUUUCUUCAUUUUGUUCUUCUUCGAUUGUUGUCGUACUACCAAAUUCAUCUUUUAUAGCUGUUUCAUAUUUUUUUAAUAAUUCUAUAGGUGUUAGUUUAGUUGUUGUCGAUGAUGUUCCUUCUAUAGGUUUAUUAGUUCUUAAUACUUUUUUGCUAUUUUCGGUUAGAUUUGCAAACCAUAGUUUUACUGAUCCUAUUAGUGUUUUUUCUAUAUAUUCCGGUGCAUCUGUUAUAUUUAUAUUAUUAUCUAAUAAUUGUUUUGUCAUAUAUCCUAUCCAUAAUUGUAUUGUUUUUUCUGUAUCUAUUACACAGUCUAGAUCUAAAAAGUUAUAAUUUUUAUUCACUAUUUGUUUUGGUAUCCAUUUAUCAUAUUCAUUAUAUUUUUUAAACUUAUUCUUAUGGUAUAUAGGUUUUCUUAUUUCUGUUGUUUUAGGUAUUAUAUUUUCAUUUUCUUUUUUAUCAAGAGUAUUUAUUUCUGUGUGGGUAUUUUCUAAGUUUUCCUCAUUAAUUUUUUGUUCUUCAUUGAUUUCUAAAUUUUUUGUAUUUGUUAAUAUUUCUGUGUAUGUUUCACUAUCUUCGGACUCAUAAUUAUCUGUCUCUUCAAUAUCUAUAUUAUUUAUUUCUAAUUCUUCAUUUUUUAUUUCUAAUUUUUCCUUAAAUUGAUUUAUCUCAUUUAGUAAUUUCUGUUCUCUAUCUUUUUCUUCUUUUUCUUUUUGUCUUUGUUCAUACAGUUCUUUUAACAUUUGUAAUUCUUUUUCUAAUUCAGCAAUUCUACUAUUUUUGGUUUCUUCUAUUUUUCGUAUUUCUUCCGUAGUUUGUUGUUUUAUUUUUUCUAUUUCUUUUUUCCUAUCUAUCUCUUCAUUUUCUUUUUCUAUUCUUACCAUUGCUGUUAAUUUAUCUUCUAAUUUUAAUUCUUCUUUUUCUAACAUUAGAUAUAAAUGUUCACCUAUUUUCUUAUAUCUUCGUCCUAGAUUAGAAAAUACUAUUUUUAUUUUUGAUCCUUCGUAGUUUUCAUAUAUUUUUUCAUCUAUUAUAAAUUCUUCUUUAUUCAUUUUAUUGUGAAUAGGUCAUGUUGAUAUACAUAUUCUAAACUAUCUAUUUGUGAUUCUAAUUUUGAUAUUUCAUCUUUUUGUGUAUCUAUUGAGUUUUUUUACUAACUCCGGCAAAUAUAUUAUAAUGUAGUCUUUUUAUUCUUAUUUUUAAUUCUUUACGUUUUUCAGAAAUAAUUUGUUUUAAUUCUUGGUAUUGUUGUACUUUAUUCAUUUUAAAUUAUAUUUAUAAUAUCUUGGCGGAUAUCUAAAUCUAAUUUUAUCAUAAUUAGGUGGUAUGUGUUUCAUUCUUCUAGAUUUUAAAUGUAUUAUUAAUUUUGAUUCAGUACUAGAUAUUAAUGUAAUUAAGUAGGCUAAUCUUUGUGGAUUUUCUUUUGUUUUAUUUAGACUUAUAUAUUCUGAAUAAUUACUAAUUAAAGAUUCUUUAAUUUUUCUAAAAGCUUCUCUAUUUUCAAAUGGUCUUCGCAUAAUUAAUUUAAUAAUUUAUAGGUAAAUUCUAAUAACUCUAACAUAUAUCUCACUUUCGUAUUUUUUGAAUUACUGGGCUUUGUUACCAAUUGUAGGGGGUGCGGCUAUCUGACGUAUGAAAUAGAUUCACUAUUUUCCUGUCAAGCAGUGCUCAUAAUUUUUUAAUUUAGAACUUUUAAAAUUUGACAAUAAUUUUUUCUUGGAUAGAACAUUAAGUAUUUUCUCACUGAUGUGGCUAAGCCUCUUAUGUCAUAAUGUUGAAAAGCUAGCUCUUGUAGCUACAUUCACCAUGUUAGCUCAAGUAGAAGUCGUAGUCCAGUAUAGACCAUGACGCUUGUCACCACGAGACACAACCAAAGAACCCUUAAUGAGUUUCUAUUUUCCACUACCAUUGGUACUAAUAUAUCCCUCAUCAUCCAGCACAACAAUAGAAAUCAAGUGCAAAUGAACACCAGGUUUAUGUUUUACAUUGUUUAAAACUAGUUUAGAUCUAGUACUAGUUUCUAAGAAAAUUGAAUCAAUACCAAUCACUUUAGAAACAGUCUCAUUGCCAUUACUCAAGGUUCCAAAGUCACUUGGAUUAUAAGAUGAGAAAAAAAUCCUUCCUUAAUAUUACGUGAGAUGUUGCACCAAAAUCCACAACCUAACUUGACUCAUCACAACCACUAUUUAUUAGAUUUGCAUCAAGGACAGUACCAAGAUCUUCAGUGGUGACGGUGGUUAUGCAAUUUUCAUUGUUGUCUUCUUUCUUUUCCUUCUUAUCUCUUCAACUUUUGACAAAAUUUCUUUAUCUGCCUUUUUAACCCACAAUGAUAUCACUCAAUAUCUUUAAAUUUUCCUCUAGAUUUGCUUCUAUAGUAUUCUCUAUUUUAAGAACCAAGAUUCCUAUUUCUACCCUGGCGCCAGUUAUCAAGACAUCGAACGAAGAUGAAUCUUGAGACUUUCAUAUCAUCUCUUCAUUAGGAAUGCUGCUCUUGGCAAAAUCCAUAGAGAUCAUGCCAUCAAAAACAGAAUUGGAUAAUGAAGUUCUAAUGUUUUCCAUGAGUUUGAUAGGAAACCAAGUAGGCAAGCCUUGAAUUUCUUCUUCAAACUUAAUUCUCAUAGCAAAUAACUAGUUCAAUAUGAUCCCCUAAAAGUUAUUCAGAUGAUCUGUCAUUGAAGAACUAUUAUGGGAUUUUAACUCUAACAUUUGUUUCAUCAAGAACAUCUUAUUAUUUUAAGUUUUUCGAGCAUACAAACUUUCAAGAUGCUUCCAUCGGGAACGAGCAUGUGUCUCUUCAAAAAAUAUGAUUUAACACAUUAUCAUCAACCUACUGCCUACUAAAAUUUUAAAUCUGCUUCUACAACAGGUUGCACUCUUCAUCGAUUUUAUAGUGUCAAAGACUGAUUGAUAAAAAUUCUUAACAUAAAACAGAUCUUUCAUUUUUUCUUUCCAAAUGUCAUAAUUAAUGUCAUUCAAAAUAAUCAUUCUACUUGUGUUAGCUUUCAUUGUUUACAAAAAUACAGAUAUUGCAAAUCGUUUGCUCUGAUUCUAGUUUGUUCGGUAAAUGCGGAAUAACAACAAAAGUAUUUGUGGUAAAAUAAUAGAAAAAUAAAUAAAAAUAAUAACACCGAGAAUUUUACGUGGAGACCUUUUAACCAAGGAAAAAAUCAUGGCCUAAGAGGAGCAACUGAUAUUAAUAUAGUAAGAAAUUUUACACCGUAGUCACAAGUUGAUACAAAAAUAAGUGUGUAUCAAAAGAGUCAAGCCAACACAAGAGUAACAAGAUGAACAACAAUAAUGCUAGUGAAUCAAAAUAGGCCACUCACGGCUUCACUAAACUUCAAGGUUUACAAAAAUGACAAGAUAAUAGAGAUUACAAGAUUACAAUAACAAUAACAAGAGCAACAAAGUGGCAACAACUAUAGUGAAUCGAAAAUGGCCCCACACGGUUUCACUAUGUUACUACACACACAACAAGAUUACAAAGUGAAAGAUAGUAACUUGACAUACAAUAUUCAAGAAUCUAAGAACCCUAAAAAAAUGAAAGGAUCGUAAGACUAAAGAAUAUUAACACCAAGUUCUUACUUGGACCAAGAGAAACUUAAUGACCUUACGAUCCUAGUUUCUAACCAAGAUACAACCCAAGUGUCACUCCACUUGGGAAUUUUGGUUUUGAGCUUCUCCGAUGAAAGAGAGAAGUUCAAAUAUUACAAGUAUUGUGUUCUCAAAAUAUCAUGAAUGAACUACCUCAAAAUAACCCUAACACUAUCUAUUUAUAUUACUCCACAAAGUGAGAUAACAAAUGAACAUCCUACCCUUGUCAAGGGGUGGCCUUGGAGUGUAAGUUUAUUACACUUUAAGGCUCCUCUUCACACUUAAAAACAUUUAAUCCAUUGGAAGGCUUAAGUACUAACUCACACACGGCCAUUUUCAUGAACAUAGCUUGAAGUUUUUGUAACUCUCGUGCUUGGCUACGUGUGAGUGGUCGUGAACUUGUUGGAAAGAUUGUAGAACUUGUUGGAUAGCUUGAUACACCCAUAUCAUCCUCUCCAUAUUGAGAGGAAUUUGGCUUCAAAUUCAUAAUUUGGUCAUCCUCAAAUGCAUCCACAAGAGAAAGAUCACACACAUUGAAAAUGUUGUGCACUUGGUAUUCCAGGGGAAGGUCAAUCUUGUAGGCAUUAUCAUUAAUUAUUUCAAGUACUUGGAAUGGACCAUCACCCCUUAGCAUUAAUUUGGUCUUCCUUGAUAUGGAAACCGAUCCUUCCUAAGGUGCACCCACACUUAAUCUCCCGGUUCAAGAAAGGUAUCCCUAAAAUGAUAUUUUCUAUGAUAUCUUCGGUGAUGACGAAGUCAUUAACAAGGAAAAUGCCAUUGUUACAAACAUGAGCUUUAGGGAGUUGAUAAUAGAUUUCCAUUUUUUCUCCCGUGGCUGAGUAAAGACGAGAGGUACUCUUUUGAAGGUACUUUGUAGGUACUAGGCCUUUAACAAUGCAGUUACUAUCUGCACCUGUAUCGAAGAGUGCGACUCUGUUAAGAACAAAGUCUUUAUUUAUGACAAUUUUCACGGCUAUAUGUUCGCUAUAGGCUUUUAUGGCCGUAACAGCUUUGCCGGACGUAGAGGGAGAAUCAGAGCCGGGAAAGGAACUAGGCUCUGGUUCUCGGAGAUGAUCAUUCGGGAUGAUUGGAAAGACUUUAGGUGAUUCUGGCGGAGAAGCCUUUUCGGGGAGAGGUAUACUUUUUAGGACUUGAUGUGUAAGAACGUUAAGUUCUACUUGAUCAAGACGGAUUUUGAGGUUCUUGAUCUCUCCCUUUAAUGUGGAGAUUUCUCCCUUAAGAUCAGCAAUAGAAGGUUCCGCAGGUUUGUCGAAUCUAGACAUAACCUGUUUUAUGCUAAAAGGCUGGAUAAUGGUUUUGGGGGGUUUUUCUUCAUGAGAAAGCAUUAAUAGUUUGAGUUCUAGAAGAUAUUUAUUUCUAGAUUCAUCAUCUUGGAUGUGUUCUAUAAUGUCAAACAGGAUUUCUUUACGAUUUCCUGAAACGACAUUAACAGCCUUUCUAGUGCAAUUGCAAAAGGUACCGUUACAGGCACAUUCUUGGCCAGAUUGGGAUUGAUUCGUCUCAUAAGCGGUGUUGAUGAAUUCUUCAUCGCUGUAGUCGUCACUGGACGAGGCAUAGGAGUCAGAAGAUUCAGAAGACUCAAGUGAAUCUUCCAUUAUGGAAAAUAGAUUUGCUCUGGUUUCUUCAGAGAGAUCUAAUUGGUUUAAUUUCUUCUUCUUAUUAGACUUGCAGUCUUUCGCUCUGUGGCCUGCCUUGCCACAAGUCCAACAAGUAUCUUUAUUUUUGGAGAAUUUCCGUUUGGUCUUUCUACUGGGCUUAUAAGAUUCCCUUUUGAAGGACCUUUUGUUUGAGGUGGUCCUCUUGUGAGGUUUGGAGGACUUCUUCCUAUGCUUCUUGCUGGGGCUGGUGAAACCAUAGUCUUGGCAGAAGGUUCCUAACCCAUAUUUGGAAGUACUAUCUUUCUUAAGUUGUUUCUUAAGCUUAAGGUCAGUGCAGAGAUCUAUCCCUACGGUGGUGAUGAAACUUAUUAAGUCGCCAUAGGUUAGGAUAUCGUAAGGGAUUUUUCCCUCGAAUCUAUCCUUAAUUUUGGUUCUAACCUUUUCUGCAAACAGAGUAGGAAGACCACUAAUGAAUCGUUCCUUCUAGAAAUCAUUGUUGUAGUCAGGUCGGAUCAUGACCUUUACUAAGAAGGUAUCUUUGUACCAUCGAAAGUCUGCUAGGUCUUUAUAGGUGAGAUUGUUGAGGAUCUCUAAGCUCCUAUCUUGGAAUAAUUUGGGCUCUCCUAUGAAAUGUCUGGCUAUAUGGUAUAGGAGAGUGGCACAAGCGUCUUCUUNNNNNNNNNNNNNNNNNNNNNNNNNNNNNNNNNNNNNNNNNNNNNNNNNNNNNNNNNNNNNNNNNNNNNNNNNNNNNNNNNNNNNNNNNNNNNNNNNNNNNNNNNNNNNNNNNNNNNNNNNNNNNNNNNNNNNNNNNNNNNNNNNNNNNNNNNNNNNNNNNNNNNNNNNNNNNNNNNNNNNNNNNNNNNNNNNNNNNNNNNNNNNNNNNNNNNNNNNNNNNNNNNNNNNNNNNNNNNNNNNNNNNNNNNNNNNNNNNNNNNNNNNNNNNNNNNNNNNNNNNNNNNNNNNNNNNNNNNNNNNNNNNNNNGUCAUCACUGAGAUUAGGGAAUUUUUCCUUUUGGAAUUCAGGGAUCUUAAAGAUGGGGUUGGCUAUAGGAUUAGGGCUUGGAGUCCCUUUCUCAGGAGCGGGGGAACUAAAAGGAAGUAUCGAGUUUUUAGCAUCUCCUAUUUGUUGGGAGAUAGUGUGAAGUACCUGAUUAGUAUAGUUGUUUUGUUCAACUAUCCUAUCGAGGUCUCUAUUAAUAGGGGCUGAUAGAGGUCUAUCAUCCUUCUUCUUAAAGGGUGAAGCAUUGAGGACUUCAUUGGAAUGAGGAAUUUUUAUCCCUUCAAGAGGAGGAGUAACAGAUUCAAUUAUCUUGUUACUCUGGGUAUACCAUUUAUUAAUGAUAACGUUAAGGGAUUCAUUCUGGUUUUCCAUUCUUCCGGUAAACUCAAACCAUCUAAAGAAUUCUAUGUCACAUCGGAGUUUUUUCAUAUCGGCUAUCUAUAGCCGACCUAACUCCUUUUGUUGUUCUUUAGAAUAGGUACUGGUGUACCAUUUCCUCUUUAUUGUGUCCUUAGGGAGAUACCAGCGGACUUCAAGAGCUUUGAGGUCAGGUGUAUAUUCUUCAUCAGAUUUGAUGACGAGUAGGCUGGGUCAGUCCUAAUUUUUUGACGGGAUAUGGUAGGGGAGGCUCCAUAUCAGAGGCUGUAGGACUGCCUGGAUCAUAAGGAUUUUCAGGUUCUAGGGACUCAUGGACCCUAGUGGUUUGCUGAUAAUAAACUUUCGGGACAGGACCAGAGAAGUCGACUCCUCUUAUUUUGCCCUUGUCAUUGUUAUUAUCAUUUUCGUCACUUCCCUCCUGGGUUUUUGAGGUGGAAGCUCUGUGCGAGACAGACCGUCGAAACAAAGAGUUCCAAGGGGUGUCGAAGCCUAAGAACUUUAAAUCAAUUGAGCCAUCAGGAUGCUGAAUAACUCGUUGUAUUUGAGAUUUCUCGGGAUAGGUACGAAGGGGUUGGGUGAUAGCAUCAAAGUGCCAUUCAUUACUAUGGAUGACUUCAUCCCAAACCAAAGGCUUAGGGACAAAGACAUUGGUUCUGUCCUUAUUGGCUUCCAUGAGUGUGGUGACACCCCUAGGACUUGUGAAUCUAGCUUUGGNNNNNNNNNNNNNNNNNNNNNNNNNNNNNNNNNNNNNNNNNNNNNNNNNNNNNNNNNNNNNNNNNNNNNNNNNNNNNNNNNNNNNNNNNNNNNNNNNNNNNNNNNNNNNNNNNNNNNNNNNNNNNNNNNNNNNNNNNNNNNNNNNNNNNNNNNNNNNNNNNNNNNNNNNNNNNNNNNNNNNNNNNNNNNNNNNNNNNNNNNNNNNNNNNNNNNNNNNNNNNNNNNNNNNNNNNNNNNNNNNNNNNNNNNNNNNNNNNNNNNNNNNNNNNNNNNNNNNNNNNNNNNNNNNNNNNNNNNNNNNNNNNNNNNNNNNNNNNNNNNNNNNNNNNNNNNNNNNNNNNNNNNNNNNNNNNNNNNNNNNNNNNNNNNNNNNNNNNNNNNNNNNNNNNNNNNNNNNNNNNNNNNNNNNNNNNNNNNNNNNNNNNNNNNNNNNNNNNNNNNNNNNNNNNNNNNNNNNNNNNNNNNNNNNNNNNNNNNNNNNNNNNNNNNNNNNNNNNNNNNNNNNNNNNNNNNNNNNNNNNNNNNNNNNNNNNNNNNNNNNNNNNNNNNNNNNNNNNNNNNNNNNNNNNNNNNNNNNNNNNNNNNNNNNNNNNNNNNNNNNNNNNNNNNNNNNNNNNNNNNNNNNNNNNNNNNNNNNNNNNNNNNNNNNNNNNNNNNNNNNNNNNNNNNNNNNNNNNNNNNNNNNNNNNNNNNNNNNNNNNNNNNNNNNNNNNNNNNNNNNNNNNNNNNNNNNNNNNNNNNNNNNNNNNNNNNNNNNNNNNNNNNNNNNNNNNNNNNNNNNNNNNNNNNNNNNNNNNNNNNNNNNNNNNNNNNNNNNNNNNNNNNNNNNNNNNNNNNNNNNNNNNNNNNNNNNNNNNNNNNNNNNNNNNNNNNNNNNNNNNNNNNNNNNNNNNNNNNNNNNNNNNNNNNNNNNNNNNNNNNNNNNNNNNNNNNNNNNNNNNNNNNNNNNNNNNNNNNNNNNNNNNNNNNNNNNNNNNNNNNNNNNNNNNNNNNNNNNNNNNNNNNNNNNNNNNNNNNNNNNNNNNNNNNNNNNNNNNNNNNNNNNNNNNNNNNNNNNNNNNNNNNNNNNNNNNNNNNNNNNNNNNNNNNNNNNNNNNNNNNNNNNNNNNNNNNNNNNNNNNNNNNNNNNNNNNNNNNNNNNNNNNNNNNNNNNNNNNNNNNNNNNNNNNNNNNNNNNNNNNNNNNNNNNNNNNNNNNNNNNNNNNNNNNNNNNNNNNNNNNNNNNNNNNNNNNNNNNNNNNNNNNNNNNNNNNNNNNNNNNNNNNNNNNNNNNNNNNNNNNNNNNNNNNNNNNNNNNNNNNNNNNNNNNNNNNNNNNNNNNNNNNNNNNNNNNNNNNNNNNNNNNNNNNNNNNNNNNNNNNNNNNNNNNNNNNNNNNNNNNNNNNNNNNNNNNNNNNNNNNNNNNNNNNNNNNNNNNNNNNNNNNNNNNNNNNNNNNNNNNNNNNNNNNNNNNNNNNNNNNNNNNNNNNNNNNNNNNNNNNNNNNNNNNNNNNNNNNNNNNNNNNNNNNNNNNNNNNNNNNNNNNNNNNNNNNNNNNNNNNNNNNNNNNNNNNNNNNNNNNNNNNNNNNNNNNNNNNNNNNNNNNNNNNNNNNNNNNNNNNNNNNNNNNNNNNNNNNNNNNNNNNNNNNNNNNNNNNNNNNNNNNNNNNNNNNNNNNNNNNNNNNNNNNNNNNNNNNNNNNNNNNNNNNNNNNNNNNNNNNNNNNNNNNNNNNNNNNNNNNNNNNNNNNNNNNNNNNNNNNNNNNNNNNNNNNNNNNNNNNNNNNNNNNNNNNNNNNNNNNNNNNNNNNNNNNNNNNNNNNNNNNNNNNNNNNNNNNNNNNNNNNNNNNNNNNNNNNNNNNNNNNNNNNNNNNNNNNNNNNNNNNNNNNNNNNNNNNNNNNNNNNNNNNNNNNNNNNNNNNNNNNNNNNNNNNNNNNNNNNNNNNNNNNNNNNNNNNNNUUGCCAUCAAUAAUUCUUUAGAAAUUAUACAACUUUUAAAUGACCUAGACAUAAACCGAUUUAAAAAUCAGUUCCAUUAUCUACAUAUCGGACUUGUUCAAGUAGCCAUUAAGCCACUCUUUAGACAAGGGUUAGACAUCCCUGUCUGUGCUAUACUAAGAGAUGCUCGUCUAUUAAAUUUUGACGACUCACUCUUAGGAGUCAUUCAAAGUAACCUAGCCGACGGCCCGGUAUACUUUAAUUGUUACCCUAAUUUCUCAGUAGACAUUAAUGAUCCUAACAUCAUGGAUGUUUUAACUCUUAAUGUUAAAACAAAAAACAUGAACAGUAAGGAUAAUACUAGAGAAAUCGCGAUAAUAUACAGAGUAUACUAUCGACUAAUGGGUACAACUCUAGCACCUCAAGCUAGAUUCACAAGUCCUAGGGGUGUCACCACACUCAUGGAAGCCAAUAAGGACAGAACCAAUGUCAUUGUCCCUAAGCCUUUGGUUUGGGAUGAAGUCAUCCAUAGUAAUGAAUGGCACUUUGAUGCUAUCACCCAACCCCUUCGUACCUAUCCCGAGAAAUCUCAAAUACAACGAGUUAUUCAGCAUCCUGAUGGCUUGAUUGAUUUAAAGUUCUUAGGCUUCGACACCCCUCGGAACUCUUUGUUUCGACGGUCUGUCUCGUAUAGAGCUUCUACCUCAAAAACCCAGGAGGGAAGUGACGAAAAUGAUAAUAACAAUGACAAGGGCAAAAUAAGAGGAAUCGACUUCUCUGGUCCUGUCCCGAAAGUUUAUUAUCAGCAAACCACUAGGGUCCAUGAGUACCUAGAACCUGAAAAUCCUUAUGAUCCAGGCAGUCCUACAGCCUCUGAUAUAGAGCUUUCCCCUACCAUAUCCCGUCAAAAAAUUAAGACUGACCCCAGCCUACUCGUCAUCAAAUCUGAUGAAGAAUAUACACUUGACCUCAAAGCUCUUGAAGUCCACUGGUAUCUCCCUAAGGACGCAAUAAAGAGGAAAUGGUACACCAGUACCUAUUCCAAAGAACAACAAAAGGAGUUAGAUCGGCUAUGGAUAGACGAUAUGAAAAAACUAUGAUGUGACAUAGAAUUCUUUAGAUGGUUUGAGUUUACCGGAAGAAUGGAAAACCAGAAUGAAUCCCUUAACGUUAUCAUUAAUAAAUGGUAUACCCAGAGUAACAAGAUAAUUGAAUCCGUUACUCCUCCUCUUGAAGGGAUAAAAAUUCCUCAUUCCAAUGAAGUCCUCAAUGCUUCACCCUUUAAGAGGAAGCAUGAUAGACCUCUAUCAGCCCCUAUUAAUAGAGACCUCGAUAGGAUAGUUGAACAAAACAACUAUACUAAUCAGGUCCUUCACACUAUCUCCCAACAAAUAGGAGAUGCUAAAAACUCGAUACUUCCUUUUAGUUCCCCCACUCCUGAGAAAGGGACUCCAAGCCCUAAUCCUAUAGCCAACCCCAUCUUUAAGAUCCCUGAAUUCCAAAAGNNNNNNNNNNNNNNNNNNNNNNNNNNNNNNNNNNNNNNNNNNNNNNNNNNNNNNNNNNNNNNNNNNNNNNNNNNNNNNNNNNNNNNNNNNNNNNNNNNNNNNNNNNNNNNNNNNNNNNNNNNNNNNNNNNNNNNNNNNNNNNNNNNNNNNNNNNNNNNNNNNNNNNNNNNNNNNNNNNNNNNNNNNNNNNNNNNNNNNNNNNNNNNNNNNNNNNNNNNNNNNNNNNNNNNNNNNNNNNNNNNNNNNNNNNNNNNNNNNNNNNNNNNNNNNNNNNNNNNNNNNNNNNNNNNNNNNNNNNNNNNNNNNNNNNNNNNNNNNNNNNNNNNNNNNNNNNNNNNNNNNNNNNNNNNNNNNNNNNNNNNNNNNNNAAGAAGACGCUUGUGCCACUCUCCUAUACCAUAUAGCCAGACAUUUCAUAGGAGAGCCCAAAUUAUUCCAAGAUAGGAGCUUAGAGAUCCUCAACAAUCUCACCUAUAAAGACCUAGCAGACUUUCGAUGGUACAAAGAUACCUUCUUAGUAAAGGUCAUGAUCCAACCUGACUGCAACAAUGAUUUCUGGAAGGAACUAUUCAUUAGUGGUCUUCCUACUCUGUUUGCAGAAAAGGUUAGAACCUAAAUUAAGGAUAGAUUCGAGGGAAAAAUCCCUUACGAUAUCCUAACCUAUGGCGACUUGAUAAGUUUCAUCACCACCGUAGGGAUAGAUCUCUGUACUGACCUUAAGCUUAAGAAACAACUUAAGAAAGAUAGUACUUCCAAAUAUGGGUUAGGAACCUUCUGCCAAGACUAUGGUUUCACCAGCCCCAGCAAGAAGCAUAGGAAGAAGUCCUCCAAACCUCACAAGAGGACCACCUCAAACAAAAGGUCCUUCAAAAGGGAAUCUUAUAAGCCCAGUAGAAAGACCAAACGAAAAUUCUUCAAAAAUAAAGAUACUUGUUGGACUUGUGGCAAGGCAGGCCACAGAGCGAAAGACUGCAGGUCUAAUAAGAAUAAGAAGUUAAACCAAUUAGAUCUCUCUGAAGAAACCAGAGCAAAUCUAUUUUCCAUAAUGGAAGAUUCACUUGAGUCUUCUGAAUCUUCUGACUCCUAUGCCUCGUCCAGUGACGACUACAGCAAUAAAGAAUUCAUCAACACCGCUUAUGAGACGGAUCAAUCCCAAUCUGGACAAGAAUGUGCCUGUAACGGUACCUUUUGCAAUUGCACUAGAAAGGCUGUUAAUGUCAUUUCAGGAAAUCCUAAAGAAAUCAUGUUUGACAUUAUAGAACACAUCCAAGAUGAUGAAGCUAGAUAUAAAUAUCUUCUAGAACUCAAACGAUUAAUGCUUUCUCACGAAGAAAAACCCCCCCAAACCCAUUAUCCAGCCUUUUAGCAUGAAACAGGUUAUGUCUAGAUUUGACAAACCUGCGAAACCUUCUAUUGCUGAUCUUAAGGGAGAAAUCUCCACAUUAAAGGGAGAGAUCAAGAACCUCAAAAUCCGUCUGGAUCAAGUAGAACUUAGCGUUCUUACAGAUCAAGUCCUAAAAAGUAUACCUCUCCCCGAAAAGGCUUCUCCGCCAGAAUCACCUAAAGUCUUUCCAAUCAUCCCGAAUGAUCAUCUCUGAGAACCAGAGCCUAGUUCCUUUCCCGGCUCCGAUUCUCCCUCCACGUCUGGCAAAGCUGUUACGGCCAUAAAAGCCUAUAGCGAACAUAUAGCCGUGAAAAUUGUCAUAAAUAAAGACUUUGUUCUUAACAGAGUCGCACUUUUCGAUACAGGUGCAGAUAGUAACUGCAUUGUUAAAGGCCUAGUACCUGCAAAGUACCUUCAAAAGAGUACCUCUCGUCUUUACUCAGCCACGGGAGAAAAAAUGGAAAUCCAUUAUCAAAUCCCUAAAGCUCAUGUUUGUAACAAUGGCAUUUGGCUUGUUAAUGACUUCGUCAUCACCGAAGAUAUCACAGAAGAUAUCAUUUUAGGAUACCAGAAAAUGGAUCUUAAGAAAACUAUUUAUGUAAAGAGUAAAUAAAGAGUAAAUAGAUGAAAUCAACUUACAAAUUUAUUCAACUUCAAAACAUUACAAGAGAUUACAGGAGAUUGGGCAGGAGAGAAUUUCGAAUGUUAGGAAAUUUUCAGAUGCCUCUUCUAAUAUUACAACAAGUCUUAUAUAGACCAGAGAAAGAUAACAAGGUACAUCUUAUGCAUACAAAUGUAAGGCUGAGAUCAUUCAUCACUGAGAUUAGGGAAUUUUUUCUUUUGGAAUUCAGGGAUCUGGACUUUCAAAGCUAAUCUUUACAGUAAAUUUGAUAUGAAGUCUGGACAUGAUCUUUAUCAAGGUAGCUAUAAACCUAUUUGUAGAGCCAUUGAGUUAACUCUUCGUUUCGAUGGUCUGUCUCGCACAGAGCUUCCACCUCAAAAACCCAGGAGGGAAGUGACGAAAAUGAUAAUAAUAAUGACAAGGGCAAAAUAAGAGGAGUCGACUUCUAGCCAUCUUAUAUUUAUCUUUCUCAGCAAUUUGAAUUUGGCAAAAUCCGGACUUCAUAUCAAAUUUACUGUAAAGAUUAGCUUUGAAAGUCUAGCCAAACCGUCAACAUUCCAUUCAGUUAUUCCUCUACCAUCAUGGUUGAAAGUUGAGAGAUAGGGAUUUUUCUCAAAUUGAACAUCUGGAGGAGAGGGUUUUUUGUAAUAGUUUUUCUUGGUGGAAAAACGAUCACUGGUGAGUUUAGAAAGAGAGUUUUUCUGGUUGCUGGACUCUGCUUUCUCAGAGAUUUUAAACUUGGAAAGUUUUUCGUUGAUCUGUUCCAAGAUUUUUCCUGAGACUUUGAAGUCAUCACUGAGAUUAGGGAAUUUUUCCUUUUGGAAUUCAGGGAUCUUAAAGAUGGGGUUGGCUAUAGGAUUAGGGCUUGGAGUCCGUCCUACAGCCUCUGAUAUGAAGCCUCCCCCUACCAUAUCCCGUCAAAAAAUUAGGACUGACCCCAGCCUACUCGUCAUCAAAUCUGAUGAAGAAUAUACACCUGACCUCAAAGCUCUUGAAGUCCGCUGGUANNNNNNNNNNNNNNNNNNNNNNNNNNNNNNNNNNNNNNNNNNNNNNNNNNNNNNNNNNNNNNNNNNNNNNNNNNNNNNNNNNNNNNNNNNNNNNNNNNNNNNNNNNNNNNNNNNNNNNNNNNNNNNNNNNNNNNNNNNNNNNNNNNNNNNNNNNNNNNNNNNNNNNNNNNNNNNNNNNNNNNNNNNNNNNNNNNNNNNNNNNNNNNNNNNNNNNNNNNNNNNNNNNNNNNNNNNNNNNNNNNNNNNNNNNNNNNNNNNNNNNNNNNNNNNNNNNNNNNNNNNNNNNNNNNNNNNNNNNNNNNNNNNNNNNNNNNNNNNNNNNNNNNNNNNNNNNNNNNNNNNNNNNNNNNNNNNNNNNNNNNNNNNNNNNNNNNNNNNNNNNNNNNNNNNNNGAAGCUAUAUCAUGGCAGUUGAAGUUGCAGAAGUGUGUCGCACUAUCUACAACUGAAGCUAAGUAUAUUACACCUACUGAAGCUGGUAAGAAAAUAAUAUGGCUUAAGCGGUUCCUUCAAGAACUUGAAUUGCACUAAAUGGAGUACGUUGUCUAUUGUGACAGUCAAAGUGCAAUAGACUUGAACAAGAACUUCAUGUACUAUGCAAGAACAAAACACAUUGAUGUAAGGUACCAUUGAAUUAGUGAGCAAGUGGAGAAUGAAUCAUUCCAUGUUAAGAAGAUUCACAAGAGUGAAAAUCUCAGGAUAUGCUGACAAAGAUGAUGCCAAAAUAGAAGUUCAAAUUGUGCAAAGAACUUAUCUGUAUGAGCUCACUUUAAGAAGACAGGGAUACCUUCUUCAGAUGCAUGGGACUGAAGGGGGAGAUUUGUGGAGUCCAUUCCAUUCUUAAUUUUCCUCAUUGGUUGCAAAGGUGAAAAAAUUGUCAAGAUAAAAUGUCAAACAACAAGAUUUUCUAGUUGGUAGAAAUUGGUCAUUAAAUGCCUUCACUAUGAACACUUUAAAAUAUUAUUUUUCAGUGAUGUCAUUGCUGACAUCGAUAGAGGCAAAUUUUUCCUAUAAAAGGAGCUUCUCAGUUCAUUUGUUAAACACACCAAACAGAGAGAAAAAUAAUAUAUAGAGAGCAGUGAGGUAUUUCACAGACUGUGAUAAAAAAUAAUAGAGUGAGCAAUAUUUUAGUAAGGUGGGCAUCAAAAGAGGGUUAUUUCUUUUGAGUGUGUGUAGUCACUUUGAGUAUUGUACUUUCGACUAUGGUGUAAAGUUCCUUACUAUAUUAAUAUUAGUUGCUCCUCUUGGUCCGUGGUUUUUUCCUUAUUUAAAAGGAUUUUCACGUAAAAUUCUUGGUUUCAUUAUUUUCAUUUAUUUUUCUAUUAUUUUACCACAAAUACUUUUGUUAUUAUUCCGCAUUUACUCAACAAGGUAUUUAACUUCAUGCAAGGUGUCACAUCAGCACAAAAGAGUGAUAAAAAUAUGCUAAAAUUGAGUUCAGGGGAAACAGAAUCCCCGUAAAAUAAGAGUGUGUCGUAGCAACUUUAGUCAGAGUUCAGGGGAUACUGGAUGCUUAUUUAUUUUAUUUUAUUUUCAUUAAAAUGUAUAUUUAUUAUUUACUUUUUUUUAAUUAAACUGUUUAUAAUAUUAUGAUUUAGUAUAGGAAUCUUUUUUUUUUUUUUCAUUAAAAUGUAUAUUUAUUAUUUACUCUUUUUUUAAUUAAACUGUUUAUAAUAUUAUGAUUUAGUAUAGGAAUAAAAUGAUGAUUCAACUUUGCAUUUUGGAGCUUCCCACUUUUAAUAGUAUAAAAUAUGAUAUAAUAUGAUCAUAGGAUUAAAAUAAGAGUACGAUAAUACUAAUUUUAUGGUACCAUUAAACAAAAAAAAACAAUUAAACUGAUGUUACAGAAGGAUGUUGUUUGGAGCUUUGUGGUCUAUAAGAUGCCUUUACAAGGAAAAAGAUGCCAAAGAUCUUCUUGGUAUUUUAAAUCAAAUUAUCACCCAGCCAGAGUACAAACUAUAGUAUACCGAUGACAUUUCGGCAACAUCUGAGAAAUGUAGUACUCUAUUACUCCAAUUAGAUAAAACUAACUUAAAAAAACGAAAAUUAAGAAGAAUUUUCUGAUAGGCCUUGAGAUUUAAGCUAAAUCAAUUGAGAGGUCAUUUGGUAUUCCAAUGACAAAGCUAGAAUCAAGAGUUGAAUAUUCUAUCCAUUUCAAGUGUCUUUGUGGAGUUGCUGAGACCAUGAGAAGAUUGAUGUGUACGUUAUCAAGCAAAGUCAUUAGCUCCAAUAGACUUUUAACUUGAAUAUUAACAAAUCUUGGCCUUGUAUACACCUUUUAAGCAAAGUAACUUUUUAAUCUUUCUCCCUUGGUAAUUCAGUUGUUUCCUAACUUUCAUGGUAUCUCAAGAAAGUUGAGUAAUCGAAAGAAACAUUAAUACCGAAAACGACUAAAGUAGAACAUGUAAAAAAUGUUCUUGGUAAUUUGUAUCAAUAGAAAUUAUUGACAACUUAUUCACACCUACUGAAUUGUUUAUUACAAUGGUUGUUCACACCUGCAAUAUUCUUUAUUUGGUGACAAGGACAAACCAACAUAAUUUACUAGAUAGUACUUGUGUGUAAGAAGCAUCAAAUAUGCUGACUGAUAUAUUCAUAAAAAAGGAGUGUUGGAUUCUGCUUAUUAGUCAUUCCUUCAAUAUUAGUUGUUGAGGAAGCUAGCCAUGACAACAAGUAGUGUAAAGCUUCUAGGUGUAUGGGCAAGCCCAUACGUGAACCGGGUUGAAAUAGCCCUCAAGAUAAAGUCUAUUGAAUCUGAGUUUAUACAAGAAAAUAUGUUAAACAAAAGUGAGUUGCUCCUCAAAUCCAACCCUGUUUACAAGAAAAUCCCUGUCCUGUUCCAUGACGAAAAGCCCAUCUGUGAGUCACUUGUUAUCCUGCAGCACAUCGAUGAAGCUUGGCCGAGUGGCCCCUCCAUUCUUCCUUCUGAUCCCUAUGAUCGUGCCAUAGCACGGUUUUGGGCAUCCUAUAUAGAUGAAAAGGUGAGGACUUAAUUACAUAUCCCAUCUCAUAUCCUAUAAAUUGUAACUUACCAGAAACAAUCUCUCUACCUCGGAAGUAGGGGUAAGGUCUGCAUACAUUAUACCCUUCUCAGGCCCCACUUUGUGGGACUACACUGGGUAUGUUGUAGUUGAUUUUUUUAUUUUUUUUUGAUGACUUAACUUUCAUUAAUCAUCAAAAGUAAUAUUUACAAGACCAGUCAGAACAGCACUGUCUGCUGAUCCAAAAAGAAGAAGAAGAAGAAGAAGAGAUCCUAUCUUCUUAUCCUCUAUAACUCAUUUCUUACCAAAAUCUGAACUGCUGAAGAAAAAGAUUUAGGGCACAAUCAGCUCGAACAUGACAAAAUCAGGCUAUCUCUGGCUUGUGCAUCAACCGGUCUUCCAUUUUGUGUAAAGAUUUUGGCAUUUAUCUUCAUCCAAUCUGCAUGAAUAUACUCAGCAUACAUCAACUUGAGUAUUUUGGCUGUCUUUUUUGCCCUCUAGUGUACUUGAUCAGAAGCUCCCAAGAAUUGACAUCAAGUGUCCUUUAGUGGAUUUGUAGCUAGGCCAUAAGCUUGCCCCAUAAUGGUGUAGCAAAAUCACAUUCAACAAAGAUGUGAUAUCUUGUUUCAUCAGCUGCCUUGCAGAAGAUACACACAGUGCCUACUUGAAUUCCCCAUUUAUUCAGUCUAUCAGCUCUAAGCAGCCUAUUUUGUAGCUUCAGCCGCAUGAUAAAUACAGCUUUAGGUCUAGCAGAGUUGGAGCACAUCAAAUCUUUCCAUGGUACUCUGGGAAAGUCCCCUCUCAUCUGGAUAUACAUCCUUCUUAUGAUUCUUUUCUUCCAUGAUUUAUGUGCUGGAUGCUUCCCAUUUGGUCUCUCGAGCUAAAAAUUUUCUUAACCAUCCAACAUGCCAGUUGUGGGAUUGGCAUGGUUUCAAAAUUCUGAGUCUUUACAAUGUUGUAUUUGAAUUUGUAACUACUAACCUUGAAAUGUUGUUUGGACUAGUAUUUAAAAUUUAUGGUUAAUUUCACGUAUAGUCGUUGAACUAUAUUAUAGAACUGUUUUUCAGUAAAUGAACAUUACCAUACUUGAGAAGUCGUUUGGCCAAGUAGUAAUACGUUCACCAAAGUUACUUCUUCAGUAACCCCUUCUCUUGAAAAUCAAUGCCAUACUUGAGAAGUCGUUUGGCCAAGUAGUAAUACAUUCACCAAAGUUACUUCUUCAGUAACCCCUUCUCUUGAAAAUCAAUCAGUUUUGUGUACUGGAAUUAUCCAUUAAAUCUGACGAAAAUGGUUGCAGUGGUAUCCAUUGAUAGUGGACUUCACGAACGCAGAAGGAAAAGAAGCAAAAGCAGCUGUGCAAGAGAAAAUGUCUGAAGGGAAUUUGCUGCUGGAGGAAGCUUUUAUCAAGAUCAGCAAAGGUAAAUCUUUCUUUGGUGGAGAUAGAAUUGGUUACCUUGACAUUGUUCUUGGUAGUUUACUGGGAUGGGUGAAGGCAAUCGAGAUGAUGAAUGAAACGAAG
rnacentral:lncRNA from 1 species